rnacentral:lncRNA from 1 species
GGAGGGUGACCAGGGUUGUGACCAUAAUGUGGUGGCUUCUCUCCCUUAGGUGGUUUGCCAACUGGGGUUGGUGGCUUGUAUGAGUCUUCAGCAUUCUCAGCAGGAGGGUGACCAGGGUUGUGACCAUAAUGUGGUGGCUUCUCUCCCUUAGGUGGUUUGCCAACUGGGGUUGGUGGCUUGUGUUCUGGGAGUGGCUUCUCCCCCUUGGGAGGUUUUUCCAAUGGGGUUGGUUUGUGUUCAGGAGGUGGCUUCUCCACUGGAGGCUUGUGUUCAGGAGGUGGCUUCUCCACCGGAGGCUUGUGUUCAGGUGGUGGCUUCUCCACCGGAGGCUUAUGCUCUGGUGGUGGCUUCUCGAAUGGGGGAUGCUUAGGAUAAUCAGCAAGUGAGGGGGCGGUGAGAACCACCAGGCCAAGCAACACCACUAGCAAAUAUGUAGGAGACAUCUUUGGGUUUGGGCUCAGAUGGUGCAAAACUAGGAGAAUUGGCUAGCCUUUUAUAGCGGAUCGUACCCAAUAAUGAAAUGACACGUGUCAUUAUGACCCAUGUGUAAUGGGGUCGAUUUGGGUCCUACAGUGUUGAAAACUUCGACAUCCACUUUUGGCCUUUUGCUUUCUCUACAGCCGCCUUGCUUUUUCCCUCUUUCCUUUUGUUUUCCUCCUGCCCCAUUCUAUCAACUAAACACAAUUAUGUAGUUGUUUAAUUCUUAAAUGAGAUAUUAUCCGUCAAUCGUAUUAUAUUUUAUCAAGAGAGAACGGAGUGCAAUGUGGCUGUAAUUUUAUCGUUUAGUUUUAUCUCUUGGACCACUGCAUUUUUGUUAAGAGGUGCAAUAAUACACGUCUUUAUCUGCCAUUCAAUAUUUACAGUAAAGAGAGGGCACAAAACUCUUCACUUCGCACCAUAAUUAUUUUGUUUUCUGGACACCCCGGGGCCCUUUGGUUGGUUUGGGGGUCAGAAAGUGAACAUCAUAGGGGGUUUUUCCCUUAUGUGCAUUUGUAUCUGAUGGCUUUAACUCGCCUUGUUACUACAAAGAAACUGUCACAGAUAGGAACUUAUUCCAGGCUGAGUAUCUCCUCAUAGACCCUAUAAAAGAAGACAAGUCAUAAUGAACAUCUAACCUUUGUUCAAUUUGAUUCAAUGCCCCCAUUGUGUCCAUCUCACAAAUCUGAAUUAUUAUAUCCAUUGAAUACAUAAAUUAAUGAAGAAAAUAUGAAACCCAAGAUACAUCUCUGCACAACCUCAACCCUGGUUGCUAUGUUUCCCUUCUAUUCACAUGAUUUGAUGCUAAUUGCCAAACUUGCAACAAGCCCUGAGUUUGACACCUAGUAUCGAUGGGCGAAUUUAAAGUCUCCUCCAAACAUAUAUUCCACAGCUUGAAGCUCACAGAAGAUGUUACAGGCAGGGAAAAACCUUCAGAGUUCGCUACCAAAGAUAAUUAUUAAGGAGAUAUCACAAAGAGAAUUCCAAGGGGUCUGAAUCAAAGACAAAUUGGUCGUUCGUGGGGGUUCUUACUUUCUUUUGGGUAUAACUCACUGAGGGCACUGUCUUUGUUAUUUGCAUUUCACAUUUAGAGUUCUGUUCUGGAAACAUAUAAAAGGAGCAUCAUUUUGUUCUUGGGUAACCCAUAGUCGUGAGUGGGUCCAUUUGCAUGCUACUUAGUUGAAAAGUUGGACCAUUUGCUCCGACGCCUACCUCCCGGAUUCCAUGCUCGGAUAAAACAAGAAUAAAAAAAAUAUUUAUAAUUUACAAAUGGGGGAAAGAAAAAAAUGUCAACAACAAACCAGGAAAAAAGAGUAGUAAAAUUCAUGUCACAUGCUAGUGAGAGAAGGGGUUGUUACACUCACUCGAAGUUCUUUCCAAAAUAUCGCAUGGUAUUUUAUUUUAUGUGUCAGCGCAGUUGUGAAUGGAACGUGCAAAAGUCCAAAUUGGCGUUUUUCCUUUUCCCGUGUAGGAUGGCGACCUUUAAUAAAUAUUUAAAACAAAAAACGAAAAAAAGGAGGGAAAAGGGAUCAGAAAAGAUAAAACAAUGUGUACAAGAGCUCAAUUAGUUUGCAAAUUACUGUUUGGAUUUUGAUAGUAUUUUAUUUGUCCAUCUAUAUUUGAUGGAAAAGAGAAUUUAAGAUAUUUCUGAAACAAAAGCAUUAGUGUAAAACUAAAUUAAGGUAUAAUUAAGUUAGUUCAAUGCAUUAAUUUAAGAAACUUGAUCUAUCCAAAGUACAAAAUUAGAUGAAAUCCAUUUCAAUGGUUAAAAUGAUCAAAAUCAAACUUUUUCUAAGUAUUUUUUAAAAGCAUCAAUAUUAAAAGACAAUUUUAUAUUUAGUCGGAGUUUGGACAAAACCAAAAAGCACACAAAAUCCAAGCGACCAUCUCUAGCUUGGAUAGUCACUUGAUCCCACCUAGAGAUGUGCAUGAGUAAAAGGAUUUGAAAAUGGAAAUUGACUAAAUAUUUAGUUGAUCAAUUAAAUUUGCAAUGUCAUAUGCAAUCCUAAUAGCUAGUCAUCUAAUCAAUUAGGUAGUCAAUCAAGUGUUUGUAAUGACUAUUUUGUACAAAAAACCACAUGUAUAGUUAAAUAUAAUGCAUUUCAUUUAUAAAUCUUCUAAUUCUUGAAUAACGAUCCUAUCAUCCUUUGAAAAUUUUUAUUACACCUUUUUUACUUUUGUUCUAAAACUUACAUAUCACCCUUAAUUGUACCAUGAGAACCUAGCUAUUUUUUUUUUUUUUGUAAUUCAUCAAAGUUAGCUUUUGUAUUCAUUGUUGUAUUAUUUUUAGUAUAACUUAGAAAGCUAGUGUUUUCAAGUGAGUAAAAUUAACUUGUAAAUAUUGUAAAGAUUCAUUGAUAUGUAUCUUAAACUAAGUGUACAAAUUAAAACAUUUGCUAGUAGAUUUUCUCAAAAUUUAGAAUAGAGCUUGAGGCUAUUGAAAUAGGUGGGGUUACACCAAACCACAUCACAUCGUUGUUUGCACCUUUUUUCACUCUCUUUUACUUAGUUUCUCUAUAUUUGUUGUCUAGUAAUAUCCUAUAGGCUUGAUGGGUUAGGGAGCAUCCCUUUGUGAAAAAAUUUCAUUCAAUUCUUAGUUGUAUUACGCAUAUAUAAAAUGCCUCAUUGUUUUAAUGGUAUUCAGUCGUGGCAUCACAGAUAUGGGCAUCUAAAUUUUAAAAGUUUGAAACUUUUGUAAAGCAUGUUGAUAAAAUCCAUGAGAGUUGUGUACUUGGGAAGCAACAUCGAGGUGACUUUAUUUUUUUUUCCUUUUAUAAUGCCACACCUAAGUCCGGUUUCUAAAUGCUAAAGUGAAAGGGUAGGUAUGGACCAUUGAAAUGUGAUCACAACUUUUGGCCUUUUCCUUUCUCUGCAGCCAUGUUGUCUCUUUUUUCUUUUGCAUGAUUUUCUUACCAAAACAGAAUCAUAGACUUGUUUAGUCUCUAAGCUACUAUAUUAUAUCUCGGUGGACUUUUAAGAGUGCAACCGACAUAGAGCACAUGCAAGUGGGCAUAUGGGACAUGAAAUUUCUUCUUACAAAGAUUGCAUGAUUUUUAUAUUAGAGUUGUUCACGUGCAAUGUAUUUAGCUUGUUUUGCAGUUAAAUUAAUUGGAUAAGUAAACAUUGGCAUUUCUAAAUCGACUGUGAAGUGCUUCAUGUACGUGUAAAGUAUUAGAAAUUUCUUUCUUGGCAACUUGUUUUUUCCUUGCCAUCUACUGGUAGGUUUGACUAAAAUUAUAUUCCCUGUCAUGCUAAUUAAUUUUCAUGUGCAUGCUCAAAAGAAGAGUAUGACCUUAGUGCACCAAAAUCACUUUGAUUAAUUUGUGAUAGGUUUUUUUGCAUCAUUUAGAUAAUGUUUAGUUCUAAGAAAAAUUUAUAUAAAAAUGGUUUAUUUAUCUUACAUAUAUAUAUAUAUAUAUAUAUUUUUUUUUUUUUCAUUUUUUUUUCUUCUAUUUUAUUUAUUUAUUUUAUUUUCCUUAUGUUUUCCUCACAUUUUCCGGAACUAAACAUAGUCUUACGAAAUCAACAAUUGCCUUCAACUGAGUAGAUUCUGUUGUUUUAGCAAUGUUAGGCUGCUAACUUGUGGUGGUACGAACCAAAUGACCCAUGUUAAUCUUGGCUUGGUUUGAUUUGGCUCUAUCUCAGAGAGCUAAAGGAUCACGUCAACUCUGGUUUCUACUAUUCAGGUCCAUUCCCAGAUGAACUGGUUCAAAUUUGAGAAAAUGGUAACAGACCUUUAGUGAUGUUGGUUUGGAGCCAGUUGCCAAACCCGCCCUGAGCUUUACCACUAAUGUCAAGGGAGAAAGCCAUUUGAACAAAAACAAUAGCUUCAAGAGACUGAAUCGUGGAUGAAAUCUGAUCCACAUUUCUUCUCAUUUUGGGAAAAAAUGAGAACUUAACUACAAAGAUUCUACUGCCUCAUUCAUAGUGCUUUUCCUGAUCCAAGGUUGGUUCGUUUCCCAAAUUGUGAGGUGCACGUGCCACUCUCACGCUCAGGAGUGUAUCCACGUGGUGGACAUCAGAUGGUGGCUUAAUAUCUGGUGUCGGUGGCUUUACUUUACUAGGAGAGUAGUGUGUCUUCAUCUCAUUCACUGCCGGAGGGUGGCGUAAGCAGUGACGCUAAGGUGGGGCACAGUCAAUAUCAUUUGCAUUUGACCAUUAUAGUUUUCUCCCGGCUUGAAAGUAACCUUAUCGUGAUAAAGGAUUACUAGCACUAGUUCAGAUGACCGUCAUGUUAAUUCGGACCAUGUUUGUGUCACAUUAUCAGCAACCAUGUGUUUAUGGUUCAUGCUAUCUGCAACUAAACUUGAUAUAUAACCAGGUGAACUUCAAUCAAAAUUCUGGAAGUACUCUUGUGAUAGAUGGUGCCUGUCUGCAGAGUCCAUCAAUUGAAAAAUGGAGUGAGUGUAUCUAUAAGAGGGAAGGCUUGGCAAAUGUUCAGUUUUCUGGGAAUUCAACAAGGAUCUAAAAUAGAUUGUUUUCUUUGCCGACUUCAAUGGUUGAAAUUUGAGAAGAUUGUGUCCACAUAUCACAACUAUUACUGGUCCUUCUGUUGCAAUUUAUCCUGUAAGGCUCUAACAUGUCUUCCAAUUCCCACUUCCCUGUUACUCCAGGAAAGCUAUUUCUGUCAUUGUGAAGAAGAAAAGAGAAUGUACAUAUCGAUGCUUUUAAGUGACUGGAGCAUUCAUAUCAGGUGGUCUGCAGCCAUAUAUGCCACUUUGUGAAGGUUGGAACAGUCAAUCACUAGGCUAUAUAUUGGUGUGGCCCAGCCACUUCAAUCAAGGACAAGUCUUCAUACUUAAAGUCAAAUUCUGCCUUUAGUCUCAUUAUAAAUUGCUGUUUAAAUAUUAAGCAAACUUUUGUUUAAUGCGAUUAAGACAGUACUAACUCAAUACUUGUUCUAUUUUUGGAUGCAAAUGCUUGAUGGUUUCAUCAUUGGAUGGGAUAAAGGUGCAUUCAUGAUUAUGAAUACUUGUAGUUAUAUUUUCAUUCUCUUUUUUCUCAAUGAGACUUGUUGGCACAAUGUUGCUGUUCAGAAACCUACCUCUCCAUGGAAAAUAAGUUGCGAUUGAUAGUACUGGAUAUGUUCAAGAAAGCUAAAUAUAGAUAGCACAAAAUAUUAUCGAUAUAAAUAGCAUUAACAGCGUACGUAUGUCUCAAUGCUCAUCAGCUAUAAGCAUGGGACAAACACUUACUAUGAGCAACUUACGUCAAAAUUCCAGAAUAGGACAUAGAAGUGACAGAUCUAUAUAUAUAGAACACUGCAUAUGAGUCACAAGAAAGGAAAUUACGGGUGCAUAGCAGCUCUUAUUUUACAUACUACUACUCAUACUGAUCAAAGUCACUCAGUUGGGAUGGGUGGGAGUAGGAGGUUUGUGGGGUGGCUUGUGCGGAGGAGUUGGCAGCUUCUUUCCAGGACCUGGUUGCUUCUCUGCUGGAGUUGAAGGAGGCUUAAUCUUCCGAGGUGGCUUGUAUGAGUCUUCAGCAUUCUCAGCUGGAGGGUGACCAGGGUUGUGACCAUAAUGUGGUGGCUUCUCUCCCUUAGGUGGUUUGCCAACUGGGGUUGGUGGCUUGUAUGAGUCUUCAGCAUUCUCAGCAGGAGGGUGACCAGGGUUGUGACCAUAAUGUGGUGGCUUCUCUCCCUUAGGUGGUUUGCCAACUGGGGUUGGUGGCUUGUGUUCUGGGAGUGGCUUCUCCCCCUUGGGAGGUUUUUCCAAUGGGGUUGGUUUGUGUUCAGGAGGUGGCUUCUCCACUGGAGGCUUGUGUUCAGGAGGUGGCUUCUCCACCGGUGGCUUGUGUUCAGGAGGUGGCUUCUCCACCGGAGGCUUAUGCUCUGGUGGUGGCUUCUCCACCGGAGGCUUAUGCUCUGGUGGUGGCUUCUUGAAUGGGGGAUGCUGAGGGUAAUCAGCAAGUGAGGGGGCGGUGAGAACCACCAGGCCAAGCAACACCACUAGCAAAUAUGUAGGAGACAUCUUUGGGUUUGGGCUCAGAUGGUGCAAAACUAGGAGAAUUGGCUAGCCUUUUAUAGCGGAUCGUACUCAAUAAUGAAAUGACACGUGUCAUUAUGACCCAUGUGUAAUGGGGUCGAUUUGGGUCCUACAGUGUUGAAAACUUCGACAUCCAGUUUUGGCCUUUUGCUUUCUCUACAGCCGCCUUGCUUUUUCCCUCUUUCCUUUUGUUUUCCUCCUGCCCCAUUCUAUCAACUAAACACAAUUAUGUAGUUGUUUAAUUCUUAAAUGAGAUAUUAUCGGUCAAUCGUAUUAUAUUUUAUCAAGAGAGAACGGAGUGCAAUGCAGCUGUAAUUUUAUCGUUUACUUUUAUCUCUUGGACCACUGCAUUUUUGUUAAGAGGUGCAAUAAUACACGUCUUUAUCUGCCAUUCAAUGUUUACAGUAAAGAGAGGGCACAAAACUCUUCACUGCUCUGCAUGUGUCCCAAAAAUGCGAUUGGACAAAUUAUGAUUUGCAUGCUAAAAAGAGGCAAAUGAGGUUAAUUCGCACCAUAAUUAUUUGGUUUUCUGGACACCAUAAAAAGAUGUUAUACAGGCAGGGAAAAACCUUCAGAGUUAGCUACCAAAGAUAAUUAUCAAGCAGAUAUCACCAAGAGAAUUCCAUAGAGUCUGAAUCAAAGACAGAUUGCUCGCUCGUGGGGGUUCUUACUUUCUUUUGGGUAUAACUCACUGAGGUCACUGUCUUUUUUAUUUGCAUUUCACAGUUAGAGUUCUGCUCUGGAAGGUUUGUUCUGGAAACAUAUAAAAGGAGCAUCAUUUUGUUCUUGGGUAACCCAUAGUCGUGAGUGGGUCCAUUUGCAUGCUACUUAGUUGAAAAGUUGGACAAUUUGCUCCGACGCCUACCUCCUGGAUUCCAUGCUCGGUAAAACAAGAAUAAAAAAAAAUAUAUAAUUUACAAAUGGGGGAAAGAAAAAAUGUCGGAAAAAAUAGUAAAAUUCAUGUCACAUGCUAGUGAGAGAAGGGGUUGUUACACUCACUCGAAGUUCUUUUCAAAAUAUCGAAUGGUAUUUUACUUUAUGUGUCAGCGCAGUUGUGAAUGGAACGUGCAAAAGUCCAAAUUGGCGUUUUUAUUUUUCCCAUGUAGGAUGGUGACCUUUAAUAAAUAUUUAAAACAAAAGACGAAAAAAAAAAGGAGGGAAAAGGGAUCACAAAAGAUAAAAUAAUGUUUACAAAAGCUCAAUUAGUUUGCAAAUUACUGUUUGGAUUUUGAUAGUAUUUUAUUUGUCGUUCUAUAUUUGAUGUAAAAGAGAAUUUAAGAUAUUUCCGAAGCAAAAGCAUUAGUUUGCUCUGUGAUGUCCCACAUCGAAUAGGGGAGAAAGUUUCUGGCGCUAUAUAUGUAGAGGCUCCUCUUAACCAAGUAGAUGCGUUUUAAAACCAUGAGGGCCCCCUUAGGUCCAAAGCGGACAAUAUCUACAUGAUUGGGUGUAAGUCAUUACAAAUGGUAUCAGAGCCGAUCCCCGACCCCGGUGUGGGGGUUUGUUUGGCCCUGUAAGGGGUGUUUGUCUGUUUGACCCCACAAUCCCAUGGGACACAACGAGGACGUUGUGUCUGCAUGGGGGGGCGUUUGUGAUGUCCCACAUCGGAUAGGGGAGAAAGUUCCUAGUGCUAUAUAUGUAGAUGUUUCUCUUAACCAAGUAGAUGCAUUUUAAAAUUGUGAGGGCCUCUUUGGGCCCAAAGCGGACAAUAUCUACAUGGUUGAGUGUAAGUCAUUACAUGCUCCAUGUCAAUUUCAGCAUUUCUCAUAUGUUUCACACAUACACAGAAGAGCAUCGUUUUUUAAAGCAUGCAUUUAUGUUGGAUUAAUUUGGAUUUUGUGGGAACUGGGGCAAGGAUCACAUGGAAGAGAGGUUGACUUUUUUCAGUACUUCAAUGGUUGAAAUAUGUGAAGGCUUGAUUGAUACUAAAGCUUGAAAUUGCGACUCUGUCAUUUGUAAAAAAAUAUGACAGCUUCCAUGCUCUCGUUUGGUUGCAUUGUCCGGUCGAGAGGUGCAAAAAGCAUUCUCUCUCUUCUAAUAGUCUUUUCGUUUAAAUCAAGGGAUUUGCCUUCCCGGUCGAGGUCCAAUAGAGGGUAACGGUCACCUACUAAACAUUAAAUGCUCCAACAACUAGUGAACUGAUCGACCCCAGCUCGACUAGUUGAGGUUACUUUUUGGUUUUCUUGUCUCCCGAGGUUAGAAACCUAUAAAUAGAGAGCUUCACUUCAUUUAUGAGUAAGAGAACACCUAAAUUUAUUUGUUUACCUACUUGUUUUUGCCAUAAAAGCUCUCAUUUCUUUUCUUGGUGUAUUAAAUCUCCAUUUGCAUAUCCUUUAGUGCACCUUUGUGAUUCAUUCUAGCCUUGAGUUGUAUUUAAGCCUUUGUUGAGCUAGGUUGAGAGUUUCAUACUUGUUUAUUGAGUGUUAAAGCCUUCAAGUGAGUUAAAACUUGAAGAGAUUGUGUAAGAGCCCAUUGGAGUCGGAAUCCAAGUGUAAAGGUGAUUAAAAGCUUGGUUGAAGCUUCAAGUUAGUGGAACUCUCACUCGGUUAUGAGCUUGAGAAGAGUGGACAUAGACAAGGCAGUGUCGAACCACUAUAAAAUCUGAGUUUGAUUUCUCUAACCUUAUCUCUUUAUAUUUGCUUCUCUUGUGCUUAAAUUUUUUGUGUUUAAAAAGAAUUUUUAAAAACUCAAUUCACCCCCUUCUUGGGAGUUUUUCUCUUUUAAGAUCAGCUUUUAUUUUCUCAAUUGGUAUCAGAACUAUGCCUCUUGUUUAAGACUUAAUCGUCUAAGAGGAAAUGGCUAAUCCAUCAAGUUCAUCUCACAUUGAAAGUUUUGCAACCAAUAGACUUCUUUUUUUUUUUUUGCGGGAACUGAUUAUCCCUAUUGGAAAACUAAAAUGACUUGGUUUUUACAAUCAAUUGAUUUAGAUGUAUGAGAUGCCAUUGAAGAUGACCUAACUUUUCCUUCAAAACUAGUUGAUGGAGUCAUGGUUCCAAAACCUAAGCAAGAAUGGGAUGAGCGUGAUUGAAGAAAUUUUCAAUUAAAUGCUAAAGUCGUUUAUACUUUGCAAUGCUCUAUGGACAGAAAUGAAUAUAAUAGAAUAUGUCAAUGCAAAUCGGUUAAAGAAAUUUGGAGAUUGCUUGAAAUAACUCAUAAAGGAACAAAUCAAGUUAAAGAGUCAAAAAUCAAUUUACUUGUUCAUAGAUAUGAAUUGUUUUUUAUGAAAGAUAAUGAAACUAUUGUUAAGAUGAUCACUAGGUUCACCAACAUUGUUAAUGGUCUUAAAGCCUUGGGAAAGACCUACAAGGAAUCCGAAAACGUGAUGAAGAUCUUGAGGUCACUUCCAUCAAAGUGGCAUACCAAGGUCACCGCAAUUUAAGAAGCAAAAGACUUGAUCAAGCUACCUUUGGAGGAGUUCAUAGGGUCAUUGAUGACAUAUGAAAUCAAUUUGGCAAAGAAGUAACAAAAAGGUGAAGACAAAAAGAAGAAGAACAUAACUCUCAAAGCUACAACUAAGGAAGAAGAAGUUGAAGAAGAAAAACAAAUUGAAGAAGAUGAAGAUUUAGCCCUCAUCACAAGAAAGUUCAACAAAUUCAUGAGGGGUGAAAGGUUUAGAAGAAGAAGGUUCACUUCUAGAAGAGACUUUUCUAAAAAGGAAUCUUCAUCUAAUGGUGACAAAAAGAGAUGGGAAGAGAAAAGAGACUUGGUGUGUUUCAAGUGCAAGAAACCGGGACACAUUAAAUAUGAUUGUCCUCUCUACAAAAGUGAAGUCAAGAGGAAAAAGAAUAAGGCAAUGAUGGCCACUUAGAGUGAAAGUGAAGAUGAAUCAUCCGAAGAAGAAAAUGAGAAAGAAGUGGCAAACAUGUGUUUCAUGGCAAUAGAUGAACUUGAUGAGGUAAAAUCUAACCUUAGUGAUUAAGAUAUACAUGAUGCAUUUGAAGAAUUGUAUGAGGAUUUUUAAAAACUUAGUUUGAAAAAUAUUUCUCUUAAAAAGAAAGUUCAACAACUUGACAAAGAACUUAGAGAAGUAAAAGAAAAAUUUUCAAAUGUUAAAGUUUCUAAAACUCAUCUUGAAAAAGAAAAUGAGAUUCUAAGAAAGAAAAAUGAAUAGUUGAACUCCUCUCUUUCAAUCUUUUCUUCUAGACAAAAAUCUUUUGAAAUGAUUCUAACUAGCUAAAAAUGUGUUUUUGACAAACAAGGGUUAAGAUUUAAAUCUUCAAAAAAUCAAAAGUAUUUUAAAAACUAUUUUGUAAAGGAAUCCACAAGUGCAAGUCCUUCCACUACUUGCAACUUUUGUGGAAGAGAAUGGCACAUUAGUAGUACGCCCUUUAAGAAAUGGUUCUCAAAAGAAUUUAAAUGCAAAAACUAAAAAAGAUUUGGAUUGAGAAAUCCAAGGUCACUAACCCUCAAGGACCCAAAAAGAUAUAGGUACCUAAAUCAACUUGAGUUUUAUGUUGUAAGGUUCAAAGAAUGAUAAGUGGUUCUUAGAUAAUGGUUGCUCAAGACACAUGACCGGAGAUGAAUCCAAGUUUGCUUUUCUUAAAAAGAAAAAUGGAGGAUAUGUUACCUUUGGAGACAAUGCAAAAGAAAGGAUGAUUGGUCAAGGCAACAUUGGUAAUGGCACAUCCUCUCUCAUUGAAAGUGUUUUAUUAGUAGAUGGUUUCAAACAUAACCUUUUAAGCAUUAGUCAAUUUUGCGACAAAGGUUUUUAAGUGAUUUUUUAAGCAUCUCAUUGCAUCAUCAAGGAUAUUCAAAAUGAUAAAACCAUUUUCAUGGGCCAUAGAUGUGAUAAUGUUUAUGCUAUAAAUAUUUCAAAAUAUGAUGGCCAUGAUAGAUGUUUUUCAAGCAUGCAUGAUCAAAGUUGGUUGUGCCAUAGGAGAUUGAGACAUGCUAACAUAGACCUCAUUUCCCAACUCAACAAAGAUGAACUUGUUAGAGGCCUUCCCAAAAUAAUUUUUUAAAAAGAUAAAGUUUGUGAAGCUUGUCAAGUGGGAAAGUAAAUCAAAAACUCUUUUAAAAACAAAAACUUCAUUUCCACAUCUAGGCCACUUGAGUUGUUGCAUAUGGAUUUAUUUGGUCCCUCUAGGACACCAAGUCUUAGAGGAAAUUCUUAUGCAUAUGCUAUUGUGGACGACUUCUCUAGAUACACAUGAGUCUUGUUUUUUAGUCAAAAGAAUAAAGUUUUUUAUGAGUUUUCAAAGUUUUGCAAUAAGAUUCAAAAUGAAAAAGGUUUUUCAAUUACUUAUAUAAGAAGUGAUCAUGGGAGAGAAUUCGAAAAUAUUGAUUUUGAAGAGUAUUGCAAUGAGCAUGGAAUUGACCACAAUUUUUUGGCUCUUAGAACUCCUCAACAAAAUGGGGUAGUUGAAAGGAAAAAUAGAACUCUUCAAAAAAUGACAAGAACCAUACUAAAUGAAAACAACUUACCAAAAUAUUUUUAGGCCAAAACGGUUAACACUUCUUGUUAUGUUUUAAAUAGAGUAUUAUUGAGGCUCAUACUUAAGAAAACUCCCUAUGAGCUUUGGAAAAACAAAAAACCCAACAUUAGUUAUUCCAAAGUCUUUGGAUGCAAUAUUUUAUAAUAAACACCAAAGACAAUCUUGGAAAAUUUGAUGCAAAAUUGGAUGUUGGAAUUUUCCUUGGUUACUCAACUUCAAGUAAAGCUUUUCGAGUUUUAACAAAAGAACCAUGGUUGUAGAGGAGUCCAUCCAUGUUAUUUUUUAUGAAUCUCCAAGAAAGAGAGAGGAUUGAUGAUGAUUUAGGUUUGAAGACCUCUAUAGGAAGAUUGCAAAUCGAAGAUAGAAGACAACAAGAAGAAAAUGGAGAGAAUCCAAAGAAAGAAGGAUCACCAUUGGCACUACCCCCUCAUCAACAAGCGCAAGGUGAAUCAAGUCAAGAGCUUCCUAAAGAAUGGAAGUUUGUCAUCAAUCACCCACAAGAUCAAAUUAUAGGCAAUCCAUCUAGUGGGGUAAGAACUAGAUCCUCUCUUAGAAAUAUUUGCAAUAAUCUAGCUUUUAUCUCUCAAAUUGAGCCUAAAAAUAUAAAUGAUGUUUUAGAUGAUGAAAAUUGGAUAAUUGCAAUGCAAGAAGAGUUAAAUCCAUUUGAAAGAAGUGGAGUAUGGGAAUUAGUACCAAGACCUUCAAAUCAAAGUGUUAUUGGAACUAGAUGGAUCUUUAGAAAUAAAAUGGAUGAAAAUAGCAUAAUUGUUAGAAAUAAAGCAAGAUUGGUAGCCCAAGGUUUUAAUCAAGAAGAAAUGAUAGAUUAUGAAGAAACCUUUGCCCCCGUAGCUAGGUUGGAAGCCAUUAGGAUGCUACUUGCCUUUGCAUGUUUUAAAGACUUUGUUUUAUAUCAAAUGGAUGUGAAAAGUGCUUUUUUAAAUGGUUUUAUAAAUGAAGAAGUAUAUGUUGAACAACCACCCGGUUUUCAAAGUUUCAACUUUCCUAACCAUGUUUUUAAACUUAAAAAGACACUUUAUGGUUUGAAACAAGCACCUAGAUCAUGGUAUGAAAAAUUGAGUAAAUUUCUUUUGAAAAAAAUGUUUUAAAAUGGGAAAAAUUGACACAACUCUUUUUAUAAAAACCAAAGAAAAUGAUAUGCUCUUAGUUCAAAUAUAUAUUGAUGAUAUCAUUUUUGGUGCUACUAAUGUCUCUCUUUAUGAAGAAUUUUCUAAGUGCAUGCAUAGUGAGUUUGAAAUGAGCAUGAUAGGAGAACUCAACUUCUUCCUUGGACUUCAAAUCAAGCAACUAAAGGAAUGAACCUUCAUCAAUCAAGCAAAGUAUAUAAGAGAUCUUCUCAAAAGGUUCAACAUGGAAGAAGCCAAAACAAUGAAGACUCUAAUGAGCUCAUCCAUUAAGCUUGAUAAGGAUGAGAAAGGUAAAUCCAUUGACUCUAUUAUGUAUAGAGGCAUGAUAGGUUCUUUGCUCUAUUUGACCACUAGUAGACCUUACAUUAUGUAUAGUGUGUGUUUGUGUACUAGAUUUCAAUCUUGUCUUAAAAAAUCUCACUUAAGUGUCGUGAAAAGAAUCCUCAAAUAUUUGAAAGGGACAAUGGACAUAGGCUUAUGGUAUCCUAAGAGUGAUAACUUUGAAUUAAUUGGUUUUUUGGAUGCUGAUUUUGUCAGUUGUAGGGUUGAAAAAUAAAACACUAGUGGCACUUUUCAUUUCUUAAGACACUUACUUGUCUCAUGGCAUAAUAAGAAGCAAAAUUUGGUAGCUUUGUCAACAGCAGAAGCUAAAUACAUAGCAACUGGUUUAUGUUGUGCACAAAUCCUUUGGAUGAAAUAAACACUUAGUGAUUUUGAUUUAUCUUUUGAGCAUAUUCCUAUUAAAUGUGAUAAUAGUAGUGCCAUAAGUAUAUCAAAAAAUCUCGUGCAACACUCUAGGACUAAGCAUAUAGAGAUUAGACAUAAUUUUCUUAGAUAUCAUACACAAAAGGAUGAUAUAACACUUGAAUUUGUAAGCAUAAAAGACCAACUUGCCGAUAUCUUUACAAAACCUCUAAGAACAUUUUGUUGAUAUUAGAGGACAAUUAGGAGUGAUUUCUUUAUGAUCUAAUGUGAUGAAUUCUUGAUGAAUAUACUUUUUGAUUGCAUGAAUUUCAUGUCAUAUAUGCAUCAUAUAGAAAUAUACUUAGAUAAUGGUCAAAUUUCGACCAAAAAUCAAAAUUCCCAUGGCAUUAGGCAUAAAAAUUUUGGAAUUUCAACUGAAAAUGGUAGGAGGAGGAUCACAAAAUGAGAAAGUAUGCAAAAAUUGAAAAAUCAAAACGUUGACCAAGCGGUCAAUCGGACUAGACCGAUCGACUAGUUUGUCGAGAUUUAGGAUUUUUAAGAGACUCCAACGCUUCAAUUUUUGCACCGUUCUCCUCUAUUUCUUCACGGUUUCUCUGAUUUUGUCUUUUAGAGACUAAUUUGAGUGCGUUUUGGAUCAAUUGAAGCAUUUUGGAUUGGAUUUUAGGAAGAUUGAAAGUUAAGGUUUCGGAUUUGGGUCGCCUUCUCUUCCUCUCGCGUGUCACAAUCAGCUUUAGCAUUGUUCUCUUUCCAUUUUCACACACCUAGGGUUUCAGUUGUGAGCAUCUCUCUCUCUUUACCAACCACUACUCCCUUGCUUCUUCCAUAUGGCUCCUAGGCGAGAGUCCGCUACUUCUAGGGCACAAGGCAAGCACCCAACUGAGUCGUCUCAGUCAAAGGCACGUCGAAAAGUGAGAUUUGACAUUGCCUUGUUCAGUUCCAUGGAGGACUACCAACUAUACAAGCAACACUUUGCUUAGAGACGAGUAGUUCCCAAGAGAAAUAUUAAUUUUCCUCAACUUCAGCAUUUCGAAUUUAAGGGUCUAUUUACUAGGAUGGUUGGUUGUCUAUUGUCACAAUUUCGGAGCCGGUUUUCCUGACCUUAGUGCGAGUUUUUUACUCGAGGGCGACUUAUGGCAUGGGUGGCAUGAUCAUUUCUACUGUUGGAGGAGUUGAGAUCUGUCUGGACCCAGAGAGCAUCUGCCAUAUUUUCGAUAUUGCUCUGGUUGGACUCAAAGUAUACAAGUCCAAAAUGUGGCCCAUUGUGCCAGGAUUUGAGCUUAGAGAGGUCAUUCAGAGGAUUUGUGAACUUCCAGACGCCCAGGAGAUGGGCAAACCAUUGCCACACAGUUUGACGGUCAUCAACAGGGUGCUACACCAUAUAUUGUGCUCUAUCUUUCUACCACGAAGUGGACAUUGAGAUGAGGUCUCUUAUUAUGAGGCAUUCCUUAUUGACUCCAUUCUAACGGAGAGACGAAUUCAUCUACUAUGUCAUCAUUCACUAAGCCUCCUCACAGUGACAUACCACCUCAUCAGGCACCUCUUGCUCCUGACCAUGCUCCAUUGAUGGAUUUAUUUACUCAUAUUAGCUCUCUAGGCACUCGCAUGAAGGAGUUUGUUGUAGUUAGUGAUACAUGGUUCUACUCCAUAGAGGAUCGCAUGGAUCAGUAUCAGACUGGCUUCACGUCACAGUUUGAGUAUCUCCAAUAGAGGAUUGAGCAUAUUGAGGAUCACUUGAGCAUGAGAAGAUGAUGGCUUUUCUAUGCUCUGUGUUUCCACCUCCACCUCGUCAACCUUGAUUUCUUAGAGACCCAUUGUUUUCAUUUUGUAAUGUUGCCAAAAGGGGGAGAUAUUUAGGAUCUAGGACUCUAUAGGAGACUUACAUGCAUAUCAUUUUCAUAUCAUUGUUUGGAUCGUACAUAUUGGAUAGUGAUACUUUUUACUUAUAUAUGAUAUGCCUAUAUGUUUCAUGUCUUACAUUGUUUCUUAUUGCAAAUUAUCUCUAACAUGUCUUGAUUAUCUUUUUUUUAACUUCAUAAAUUUUGAUUGUUAACCCAUGAUUGGUUUGAGGGGAAGAUUCUUCUUCUCCUAGAUAACCAAGGUUUGUCAUCAUAAAAAAAUUGGAGAUUGUUAGCCCAAGGGUUCUCCUAAUCAUGUUUUGAUGAUAACAAACCAUGCUUAAGUUACUAAUUGGUUUGAAUUAUAAAGAAUUUCAAGUGUUAAUUUGAAAAUUCAUCAAAGAACCUAAUGGAUGCAAGAUCAAGAUUUUUGGAAGACCUUUAAUCAUAAGAAACAUAUGUAAGAUGAAUGCAUGGGUGCACUUAAGAUUUGCAUAUCAUUUCAUGCAUAUUUGGAAAACACGGUUUAUGCUUUAAAGUUACAUUUCCAUCAAAAUUUGAGAUCCAUCAAAUGAACCUUAGGAAAAAUGUUUUAAAAUUGGCAUAUAAUUUUACCUAAAGACCUUGCCUAAGUGUUAGAAGCAAAAGGACAAAAAAAAUAUAGGUUUUCUGGUCAAAAAUGGUGAACCAGUCAAGGCAUUGUCUAAAUCAGCUCAAUCGGCCAAGGUACCGGUCGAUCGGUUUCCCUUUCCCUGUCGAGAUCUAGUCAAGAGGUACAAAAAUCACAAUCUCUGUCUCUUUCUCUCUUUGUCUAUCUUCCAGUAGUCUUUCCUUCCCGGUCGAGGGAUUUGCCUUCCCGAUUGAGGUCCGAUUGAGAGUAAUAGUCACUUGCCAAAUAUUAAAUGCUCCAACAGUUAGUGAACUGGUCGACCCCCACCUUGCCCAGUUGAGGUUACUUUUUGGUUUUCUUGGCUCCCGAUGUUAGAAACCUAUAAAUAGAGAGUUCCACUUCAUUUAUGAGCAAGAGAACACUUGCAUUUAUUUGUUUACCUACUUGUUCUUGCCUUAAAAGCUCUCAUUUCUUUUCUUGGUGCAUUAAAUCUCCAUUUUGAUAUCCUUUAGUGCACCUUUGUGAUUCAUCUUAGCCUUGAGUUGUAUUUGAGCCCUUUUUUUAGCUAGGUUGAGAGUUUCAUACUUGUUAAUUGAGUGUUAAAGCCUUCAAGUGAGUUGAAACUUGUAGAGAUUAUGUGAGAGUCGAUUGGAGCCGAAAUCCAAGUGUAAAGGUGAUUAGAAGCUUGGUUGAAGCUUCAAGUUAGUGGAAUCCUCACUCAAUUAGGAGCUUGAGGAGAGUGGACGUAGCCAAGGAAGUGUCGAACCACUAUAAAAUUUGAGUUUGAUUUCUCUAACAUUGUCUCUUUAUAUUUGUUUAUCUUGUGCUUAAAUUUAUUGUGUUUAAAAAGAAUUUUUAAAUACCCAAUUCACCCCCCUCUUGGGUGUUUUUCUCUUUUAAAAUUAGCCUUUAUUUUCUCACAAACUAUUGUAGUAUAGUGGUUUUUAGGUGUCAUCCAUUAGGAUGAAUUGUUCUCGGUAAUUAAGGCGUGAAUGAGAGGAGAAUUAAUGAUUGUGAUUAAGUAAAAUUGAUUUGAAAAUUCAUGGUGAAAAAUCAAUUUAACAAUGGUUUCUAAUUGAGAAAAACAAUGAAAUGUGAAAUAAAAUAAAAUUAAUAGGAAAUGAAAUUCUCGAAGUUAGAAUUUUCUAAAAAACAAAUUCCAUGGUGAAUGGAUGUUGAGAUCUAAUUUUCAUCAAGUUAGAUUGAAAACCGAAAUUUUCAUAUAAACUGAUUUUUUAUUUAGUUUUAGGUCUAGAUUUAAUUUCCCUUAAAAUUAGGUUAUUUAAUCCAAGAAAUCAAUUCAAAUCAUAUAUUCAAUUCAUCUUAAAUUAUCUUCCAAUUAUUCACACAAUGCAACUAUUCAAUCUCAUCAAAUCUAGCUUUUAAGAAUUUAAUGAAUCUACCUAGUUUGCAUUGUAAUAGUCAUCCAUGACAAUUUGAAGAGAAAAAUAAUUCAAUUAAUCAAUCACUUGGAUCAAAUUACCUUUGCAAUUAAAGUUCAUUUCUCUAAUUCACCACAGAUUUUGUCUCUAGAUCCUCCUUUCUCAAAGAAAAAUGAGAUUUAGCCACACAUGAUUGGAGAUUUGGUCUCAUAAGGCAUGUUUAGCUAGUGAUAAAAUGAGAGAAAAUAAAGAAAAAUAGAGAAUUCGAUUAAGAAAGAAAAUCUAAAAAAUUCUACAAUUAGAAAUGUCCAAAAAGCUUUUUCAUGAGAAAAUCAAGUUUCUAUUUAUAGGCCAAGGUCAAGUGGACACUUGACAUCAUCUAAGAGGUCUUCCGGAAGCUUCUUCAUCAAGAAAUCUGGAGUUUAAUAAUAAAAUGGUCAUUUCACAAGAGCUCAAACAAUUUCGCAUGAUUAUGUGAAAUAAAAAAUGCAACAACAGCAAUUUACAUCUUCUUGGAGCAUUUCGCAUGACUGUGUGAAAUUUUCACAUGAUCAUGUGGAAUCGACUUGACAACUCUCAUUUAGCCUACAACAUAAUUCCACCUUUUGGUCCAUUUUUCAUAGUCAUGCGAAAUGGAAAUAUUUGAUUUUUAAGUUUUCUUUUGUCAUUUCUUUCAUUUCCUUCUCUUGAUUCCACUUCAACUACCUCCGAAUCCUGGUCCAAACCAAUUGCAUUACUUCUUUCAUUAUGCAUUUGGAUCAUCAUCAACAUUAUUUGUUCUCUUCAAUUUGAUUCAUCUCUUUUGUCACCAAUUUAUCAAAAUCAUACCUUGAAAUGACUCCAAAACUUCAUAAAACUUGUUAGUAACUCUUGCAAGGGCAACAACAUAUUAAUUAAGUGUUUUAGGCAUAGUUACUACUCAAAAGAUGCGAAACUCAUGAUAAUUAUUAUAUAAAAUAUGCUCUUUUUGAGUAGUAAUCAACUUUCUUGCAUAAGCAGACCUUUUAGGGUGGAGUACUAAAGACCAAUAUGCUUGUCCUUGUUGUAAUAAAGAAACUUGCUCUUAUUGAUUGCACCAUGGGAGAAAAUUUUGCUACAUGAGUUAUCAUCAAUUUCUUCCCACCAAUCAUAGAUUUAGACGUGACAAGAGGCCUCUUAAUGGCAAGGAGGAACUGACACUCACACUUAUACAAUUAUCGGGCAUUGAUGUGUUGCAACAAUUAGAAUAACUUACACCAAUUAUGUUGGGGAAGUCACAAAAGGCAAACAUGAAAACUAAAAGGAAAAAAGAAAAAUGUUACAUAUCACCACAACUGGAAAGAAAAAAGUAUUUACUUUCAUUUGCCAUAUUGGAAAGCACUUAUUUUACAUCAUAAUAAUUUAGACAUAAUGCAUAUUGAGAAAAAUGUGUGACAAUAUAAUUGAGACAUUGUUCAGUAUUGACGAAGAAACAAGGACAACCUAAAUAGUCAUCUCGAUUUACAAGCUCUAACUAUUAGAAAUGAGAUUCACCCAAUAGAAAGCAGGACCAAAUUUAUUUUGCUUGCAACAUGCUACUCACUCACCCCAAAUGAGAUUAAGGAAUUUUGCAAGUUUUUGAAAUCAAUAAAGGUCCCCAAUGGCUAUUCUUUCAAUAUCUCUCGUUAUGUGCAACUCAAUGAAAGGAAGAUAUAUGAGCUCAAAUUGUAUGAUUGUCAUGUCCUAAUGCAACAACUUCUCUCACUUGUAGUUCGUGGAGUUCUACAUAAGAAUGUUUGUGGAGUUAUCAUAGAAUUGCGUAAUUUUUUCAAGCAAUUGUGCUCAAAGGUGUUAGAAACAAAUCACUUACACCAACUUGAGAACAAUAUUAUUGUCAUACUAUGUAAAAUGGAGCAAAUAUUUCUUCCAUCAUUCUUUGAUAUUAUGGUGCAUUUACUUGUGCAUCUAGUAAGGCAAAGGUUGCAAGACUUGUGCAAUAUUGUUGGAUGUACCUAAUUGAACGAUAUUGUUAUAAUUUCAUAUGAAUCAUUUAAUUUUAUUUUAUAUUAUGUUCAGUUCAUUAACAUGUACAUUGGUCUACAUAUGGAUGAUGAUAGGUACCUAAGCACUUUAAAGUCAUAUGUGCGUAAUAGAACUUUUCUAGAAGGUUCUAUUGUAGAAAGGUACCUUGCAAAAGAAUGUACAACAUUUUAUUCUAGGUACUUGAAUGAUGUGGAAAUAAAGUAUAAUCACAAUGAUAGAAACUUUGUUGGUUUCAACACUAGAGGAGAUGAAAGGGGUUAUCUUUAAACAUAUUGGACAUGCAUUGGGAAAGCCCAUAUUUCAUUAACUUAGUUCAAAAGAGUGGUCACAAGCACAUUUAUAUGUGUUGACAAAUUGCGAAGAUGUCAUACCAUUCAUUGAGUAAAAAAUUUAUUUGAAUUUUAAUUAAAGCUCUAGUUUAUAUCCUUAAUCAAUGUUUUUUAAAUUCACAAGGAGCACAAGCAAACCAUCAAGGCUAGACCACAUAUACGUGUUUGAGACGUAGAUUUAAUUCAUAACAAGGAAUUUAUCAAGUGGUUUGAAAGACAUGUAAGUAUAUUCCUUAUUAUAAGGGAUUUAUUUCACAUUAUGUUUAUAUUGAAUCCAAACCUAUUAUUGAAUUGUAGGUUGAACAAUUACAUAAUGAAGGUCAUAUAUCUGAACACCUUCUCACAUUAUCAUGUGUUCCAAAUUCAUUAGUUACAUGCUUCAAAUGAUAUAUUGUCAAUGGAUUUAGAUCCCACAUUAAAGAACGUGAUAAAAAAGUUUUUAAAAAAAGACUCAGAAUAAUGGAAUUGUUGUAGUUGCAAAAACGUCAAGCUUUACAAGUGCAUGUGAUAUGAGUCCAAUUAUUAGUGAUGCUCUCUACUAUGGUGUUCUAACUAAAGUUGUUGAGUUACAUUAUCUUGGUGAAAAUAAGGUUGUUUUAUUCGAGUUUGAUUGGUGGGAUGUUACAAAUAUUGGAAAAUUGAUAAAAGAUGAUGAGUACAAUUACACAUUUGUUAACUUUGCAUGAAUUCUAACCACGAACGAACGAUUUGUACUUGCAUCUCCAGCAAAGUAAGUGUUCUAUGUGAAGAAUGCGAAUGAAUCAGAUUGGCAUACUAUCAUGGAGAUGCAACCUCAAGACCUCUAUAAGAUGAACGGGAUAGGAUCCAAUGGUGAUUUUGAACCAUUUCAACAAAGUGAACUACAUGAUCACUAAUAUAUCUCAGAUUUAGUUGAUGAAGAUAUAAUCAAGUGGAACAAAAGUGAUGUUUUAGGACUAAUCAUCCUAAAAAAUAUUGUAGUUUCUUAAAAAAAAAAUGAAAAUGAAGAAGAUAAUUGAACCUUUGUCAUACUUUAAAAAGCAACUAUGCAUUGUUCAUUUUGUAUGUUUUGGUUUUCUUCAUUUAAUUUCCUGAUUUUUGUGAUUCAAUGUCAUAUUAUUGAUCUUGAAAUAUUUUUCUAAUUUUUCAUUCUACGAUGGUUUCAACAAGGAUGACAUCAAGUCAAAAAAGGAAAUGUGGUCCCACACACAAUAUUGCAUUACAGGGAUUAAGGUCAGGGAAGAAGGUAAAAGUUGCAUUUAAUGAGUACAAUCAAUUGGUUAAACAGAAAAAUGGAAAACACUUAUCGAGCUACAUAGGGACACUUGUAUCUAACCAACACAAUGUACCUCUCCAAGCUAGUGAUUGGAAAAAUGUUCCAAAUGAUGCAAAAGAGAAAGUAUGGCCUUUGUUUUGGUAUGUUGUAUUUCUCACUAUAUGAUGUCAUUUCACUGUUAUUCUAUUUUGUGACUAACGUUUGAAUCAUAUGUAAGAAAAAUUUGAAGUAGAUAAAGACUGAAAAGAUUACAUGUUGGGUAUAGCCUCAAAUAAAUAUAGAAGCUAUAAAAAUAUGAUGAAUGCAAAAUACUAUGACCCUUGGCAUAAGGAUGCAUGAGGAGAGGUUAAUACAUAAAUCACCAUUUGUCUCUGAUGUUGAUUGGAAGUGGCUUGUCUCUGAUGCAUAAACCAAAUCCCCCACUGAAUGUUUGAUAUUUGAUAGCAGGAAAAACACACCCGCAGCUAUACACCUCCAUCAUUCAGAUAAUUAUAGUGGGGGAGAUGAUUCAUGGUUGCCCUUAUACCCUUUAUUUGCACCAUCUAUUGAGAUUCUUUAUCAUGGCCAGGUUUUACUGCAGCAAUAAGAUAUGGUGGCAACAAUUUUAUCUAUAGGUGCGGUUCCAGACCGCCUCCAUAGGUGCGGUUCCUGACUGCCUCCAUAGGUGCCUCUUCUUGUAAUGUUUGUUCUGGGAAUUACACUUGAAAGCCUUAUCGUGAUAAGGGAUUACAAACACUAGUUCAGAGGACAGCCAUGUUAAACUUCCACUAUGUUUGUGUCACAUUAUCAGCAGCCUAGUGUUUAUUGGUCAUGCUAUCUGCAACUAAUAUAACCCGGUGAACUUCAAUCUAAAUUCUGAAAGUACUCAUGUGACAGAUGGUGCCUUUCAGCAGAUAUCAUCAAUUUAAAAGUAGUGUGUGUGCCUAUAGGUGGGAAGGCCUUGGCAAAUGUUCAGUAUUCCGGUAAUUCAAGAAGGAUAUAUCUAAAAUAGAUUUUCUUCUUGCCCAUUUCAAUAGUUAAAAUUUGAGAAGAUUGUGUCCACAUCACACAAAUAUUAUUGGUCCUUCUGUUGCAAUUUACCUCUGAACAUGUCUUCCAAUUCCCACGGUCCUGUUACUCCAGGAAAACUAUUUCGGUCAUAUUGAAAAAAAAAAUAUUAAAGAAGGUACACAUGCUUUUAAGUGGACUGGGGCAUUCAUAUCAGGUGGUCUGUAUCCACAUAUGCCACUUCGUGAAAGGUGGAACAGCCUAAUCACUAGGCUAUUUAGUGUGGCCCAGCCACGUUAAUCAAGCACAAGUCUUCAUACUUAAAGUCAAAUGGUGUCUUUAGUCUCAUUACACAUCGCUAUUUGAAGAUUAACUCAUCACUAGUGUAAUGCGAUUAAGACAGUCCUAACUCAAUAUUUGUUCUAGUUUUGGAUGCAAAUGCUUGCUGGUUUCAUCAUUGGAUGGGAUAAAGGUGCAAUCAGGACUAUGAAUACGUGCAGUAAUACUUCAUUCUCUUUUUUCUCAAUGAGACUUCUUGGCACAAUUUUGCUGCUCAGCAACCUACCUUUCCAUGGAAAAUCAGUUGUGACUGAUAGUAAUGGAUAUAUUCUAGAAAGCUAAACAUAGAUAGCAUUCAAUAUUAUCGAUAUAACAUUAACAGCGUAUGUCUCAAUGCUCAUCAGCUACAAGCAAUGGACAAACACUUUGAGUAACUCACAGCAGUCAAAAUUCCUAAACAGGACAGACGUGACAGAUCUAUAUAUAGAACACUGCAUAUGAGUCACAGGAAAAGAUAAUACGGGUACAUAGAAGCUCUUAUUUUACAUAUUACUCAUACUGAUCAAAGUCGCUCAGUUGGGAUGGAUGGGAGAAGGAGGUUUGAGGGGUGGCUUGUGCGGGGAAGUUGGCAGCUUCUUUCCGGGAGCUGGUUGCUUCUUUGCUGGAGUUGAAGGAGGCUUAAUCUUCCGAGGUGGCUUGUAUGAGUCUUCAGCAUUCUCAGCAGGAGGGUGACCAGGGUUGUGACCAUAAUGUGGUGGCUUCUCUCCCUUAGGUGGUUUGCCAACUGGGGUUGGUGGCUUGUUUUCUGGGAGUGGCUUCUCUCCCUUGGGUGGUUUGCCAACUGGGGUUGGUGGCUUGUGUUCUGGGAGUGGCUUCUCCCCCUUGGGAGGUUUUUCGAAUGGGGUGGGUUUGUGUCCUGGUGGUGGCUUCUCUCCCUUGGGAGGUUUACCAAUUGGGGUCGGUGGCUUGUGUUCUGGGAGGGGCUUCUCUCCCUGGGGAGGUUUAGUGGGUGGCUUGUGUUCUGGAGGUGGCUUCUCCACCGGAGGCUUAUGCUCUGGUGGUGGCUUCUCGAAGGGGGGAUGCUCAGGGUAAUCACCAAGUGAGGGGGUGGUGAGAACCACCAUGCCAAGCAACAACACUAGCAAGUAUGUAGUAGACAUCUUUGGGUUUGGACUCAGACAGUGCAAAACUACGAGAAAUCGCUAGCCCUUUAUAGCGGCUCGGACCUAAUACUGACAUAAUAUAAAAUAAAUAUUAUAUUUUAUCAAGAGAGAACAGAGUGUAAUUUUAUCAUUAAUACCGAUCGAGGCCAAAGAAAGAAGACCCAUAAUCCAUUUCCCACAAGCAUACACAAUGCAGCUGUAAUUUUAUCAUUUACUUUUAUCCCUUGGACCACUGCAUUUUUGUUGAGAGACACAAUAACACAUUUUUAUCUGUCAUUCAACAUUUACAGUAAAGAGAGGGCACAAAACGCAAUUAGAUAAAUUAUGUUUUGCCUGCUAAAAAGAGGCAAAUAACUUUAUUUGCAACAUAAUUAUUUUGGUUUCUAGUGACCCCGGGGCCUUUCGGUUGGUUUGGGAUCGGAAAAUGAACAUCAUAGGGGGGGUUGUGCCCUUAUGGGCAUAUAUAUCUGAUAGCUUCAACUGGCCUUGUUCCUAGAAAGAAAUUGCCAAAGAUAUAAACUUAUUCCAGGCUGAAAGUAGAUGAGAGUCAUAAUGAACAUCAACCUUUGUUCAGUUUGAUUCAAUGCCCCCAUAGUGUUCAUUUCACAGAUCUGAAUGAUUAUAUCCGUUGAAUACAUAAAUUAAUGAAGACAAAUAUGAAACCCAAGAUACAUCUCUGCAUAACAACCCCAACCCUGGUUGCUAUGUUUCCCUUCUUCUAUUCACAUGAGGAUACUGGUUAUAAUUGUCAAACUUGCAACAAGCCCUUUGACACCUAACGUCAAUGGACGAAUUAAAAGUCUCCUUCAAACGUCUAUUUCACAGCAUGAAGCUUAUAAAGGAUGCUGACAACCUUCAGAGUUAGCGACAAAAGAUAAUUAUCAAGGAGAGAUAGUUCCAUGAGAAUUCCAAGGAGUCUGAAUCAAAGACAAAUUGCUCACUCAAGGGUUCUUAUUUUCUUUUAGGUACAAAUCUCUUGAGUGUUGUUAAAGAAACACGUCACUGUCAUUUUGAUUUGCAUUUAACAUUUCACUUUUGUUCUGGAAGGUUUGUUCCGGAAACAUAUCAAAUGAGCAUCAUUUUCUUCUUCGGUGACACAUGGUCGCGAGUACGUGGGUCCAUUUUCAUGCCACUUAGUUGAAAAGUUGGAAAGAAAAAACAUGCCAACAAGAAGAUAGUGAGAGAAGGGGCACUUCAAGCCUUUAACAUGAACAAACAGUAAAUAAAAGAUGUUUCUCCACUCAUAAAAGUGUGUUAGAUAGCAAUAUAACGAAUCACAUCCAAAAUCUUUACUAGGCUCAAACAUAAAGAAGACUCAUUUUUAAGAAAAGAUAAAAAUGGCAUUGUCUGAUAGUAUCCAAUACACGAGAUGGCACUUAAUUUGUACAAGAUCUGUCAAUGCUGACGCACAUUUUCUGAUUAAAAAAAAACUGAUCAGUCAAAAGCAAUGAAGAGAAGUGAUGACAAUGAAUGAUGCUUCCAAUAUUUUCACCCCUUAUAGUGUUCUUCAUGAUUCAGAUAUAUAAUUGGAAAUAGAACAACCCUAUGCCAUACAUUCGUCUAAGUAUGGUGUCUAAUUUUUUGUGUCAGCGGUUGCGAAUGGAGCGUGCAAAAGUCCAAAUUGGCGUCUCUCCAUUUCCACAUAGGAAGGUGACCUUUAUUGACAAAUACCCAAUAUUUGUAGACAUUCCUUAAAUAUCAUAACUUCUUGUUGAUUUGAAAAUCAUUUUUCAACUACCAUGUUUUAAUAAAUAUUUUUUAAAAUGUAUUUUUAUCAAAGUCCACCAUGAUGGAUAAUAUUCACCAUGCAAUAAUUAAUAAAGUACAAACUAAGCGAAAUGAAAAGCAUUUUCUUUGCUUUGAGUUGAUUUUGGUUGCAUUGAGUUGAUUUUGGUUUCAUGGUUUUUUCAACUCUUAUUUUGAUUGGAAGAUGUCAAGAAAAGAAAACAUAAAGAAAAAUUAAAAGGGAAAAAAGAAGAAAAAUAAAAAAAAAUAGAUUUAAAAGUUAAUAAAUUAUUUUUUAUAUUUAUUUUAAUUCAUUUCACUUAUUUUUCUUUUACUAUAUAAAAUUUAAAUAAUUUAAAUUUUAUAAUUAAUUUAAUUACAUUUCAUUUUCUUCUAUAUUUAAAUAUUGGAAAAAUAUUUUACUUAAUAUUUUUUUCUUUAAUUUCUUUGGCAUUUUGGGAACCAAACUUAGCCUUUAAAAUAAAAAACAAAAAAAAAAUGAAAAUAAGGAGGGAAAAGUGAGAAAAGAUAAAAACAAUAUGUAAAGGAUUUGAAAAGUAUUAGUUUGUAAUUACUAUUUGGAUUUCAAUAGUAUUUUAUUUGUCUUUCUAUAUUUCAUGUAAGAGAGAAUUUAAGAUAUUCCCCAAGGCAAAGCAUUAGUUACCUGCAAUCAGUGGUGAUAAGGCUCCAAGCCAAUUUUGGGCCCCAUAUCUUAAGACAGUACAAUUUCCAUUUCAACAUUUCUGAUUUCUCAGAUGUUUCACAUACCACAGAAGAACAUUGUUUGUGAAAAUAUGCAUUUAUGUUGGAUUUUGUAUGCUGUGGGGACUGGGGCAAGGAUCAUAUGGAAGAGUGGUUGACUUUUUCUGUACUUUAACGGUUGAAAUAGGAUAAGCACGGGCAUUUGUGAGGCUUAAUUGAUUUUGAAGCCUGAAAUUGCGUUUCUGUCAUUUUGUCAAAAAAAUGGCAGAUUCCAUACUCAUAUGUUUGGCCUGUGGCCAUGUACAGAUGCCAUUUAGUGACCAGUUUGUAACUGUCAAUCGUUGCGUUUUGACUCUGCCUCAACAACAUCUGCCAUUGACGGGUUUUCAUACUUGCAAAUCAAAUAGUCUUUCGUCCCAUCAGGAAUUUCGGUUUAAAUAUUAUUAAGCAUACGUUUGGCUGACAAUCAUUAUCCAGUUCAUGAUUUGGUUUCUUACCCUUAAUCAAUGGUUUCUAAGUGAAUAUAUGUAGAAGGAAAUCCGAAGUGUAGACAGUAGUAUCGAUAACUCUCAAUAUUCUCUAUAUAAUAGAAUAAACAGCGUCAUAGUGAUCGUCGCCUACAAGCAAGGUACAAAUACCAAAACGAGUGACUCACAUAGACAUCUCCCAACAAGAUGUAGUAGUGACUGACACAUGGACACAAUUAACUCGUAGAAAAGGAUAAGACCAUUGCACAGCAGCUCUUAUUUUACAUACUACUUAUGCUAACCAAAGUCAAUUAGUUGGGAUGGGUGGGAGAUGGAGGUUUGUGCGGUGGCUUGUGGGGCGGAGUUGAUGGCUUCUUUCCAGGAGCUUCUGGCUUUUUCAUCGGAGCUGAAGGAGGCUCAAUCUUAUGAGGCGGCUUGUAUGAGUCUUCUUUACUCUCGACAGGAGGGUGGCCAGGGUUGUGAUCAUAAUGUGGUGGCUUCUCUCCCUUAGGUGGCUUGCCAACUGGGGUUGGUGGCUUGUGUUCAGGAAGUGGUUUCUCUCCCAUGGGAGGUUUAGCAAUUGGGGUUGGUGGCUUGUGUUCUGGGAGUGGCUUCUCUCCCUUGGGAGGUUUAGUAGGUGACUUGUGUUCUGGAGGUGGCUUCUCCACCGGAGGCUUGUGCUCCGGUGGUGGCUUCUUGGUUGGAGGGGGCUUGGGGUAAUCAGCAAGAGAUGGGGUGGUGAGAACCACCAGUCCAAGGAACAACACUAGCAAGUAUGUGGGAGACAUUUUUGAGUUUGGGCUGAUCAGAUGAUGCAAAACUAAAGCAUUACGUGACCUUUUAUAGCAUGUAGCUCCCAAUACCCACUAAGUAUUGUGGGGUCCAUUUGUGCCCUACGGGGUUGAAAACUUAGACAAUUGGGCAAGGACCCACCUGACUAUGGAGGACUAGUGAGGUGUGAUCAUAGCUUUAGGAUUUUUCUUCCUCUGCAGCCGUCGUGCCGUUGGCAUGAUUUUCUUAAUCUUAAAUAAAGGCAUAGUUAUAGAGUUGUUUAAUCUCUAAAUGGGAUUUUAUAUAUAUCUUCAGAUAGCCAUUAAUAUAUUUGAUGAAGAAAGAAAGACAAGUGCAUACAACAUGUAUACGACUAGCUUUCAUGGAGUUCAUUUAUGAUCAGUUUUCCUGUACAUGUAAACCAGGAUCAUAUAUAUGUUUCUGUUCCACAACUAUUUUGGAAUCUUGUUUAUCAGUUUUUAUCAUUAUAAUGUCACAUAGGCUGCCAACUUGGGCGCUAAAAGAACCAGUUGGGCUAGUUCGUUUCAGAAUUUCAAUGUGGAUUCAGGAAUUGUUUUGUAAGAUAUGCGAAAUAGUAGAGGGAUGAAUAGUGUUUCAUUAAUAAAAGUGUCCUGUAAAUUAGAAGGUGUCAUAGAAACUAUAAUCAAUAAAUAACUUUUUUUCCCCACGGGUGGUGUUUCUUGUGGGGAUCAGUGACUGGUUUAGGUUCACCCAAAAUGAGUUCAGACUAAAAUUGGUUUGAGUCAAUGCCGUGUCUCUUUUUUCCAGAAAUCAACUAUUUUAUGCAUUGAAUAAAUCAUACAAAGAAAAUAUGAACGCCCGCAAAACCUAAACCCUGGUUGCUAACUUUCUAUGUUUCAGUUCUAUUCACGCAAGAAUAUUAGUUUAAGUUUGGGAAAAAUGGCAACUUACCUAGUGAUUACUUGGUUUUGGUUUGCGACUAUUUACGCAACCAACCAUGAGUUUGACUUUAACGUCAUGGGUUGAAGCCUCCUACAGGAAGGGAGAAAGCUCCACAGCUAGCUCCAAAAGAGAAUUAUCACAUUGAUAGCUCCAGAGAUUCCCAAGGGGACUGAAUCAAAGACAAGUUCCUCACUUUUUCUUCUUUUGAGGCCAAAUAUGAACCAAGGAUCACACAACCUCAUUCAACUUCAUAAGUUUGAUUUCAUGCAGUUGAACACUGGGUGAAGGCCAUGACAAGAAUUGAUUCAAAAAUUCUAUCACUCUUUUAAGUAAUGGAAGAUUAUUAUCUCUGAUUGGCAUCACAACAGCACAUGCUCCUAGAUCUUUCUAGACACUCCAUGCAAUGAAAGCACAAUGGAUCUUGUAACGAUAGAAACUAAGCCAUGCUACAGUACUAGAUGAUGAGGUAAAACUAGUAGACACGGGUGGCAGCCUAUAUGGGAGGGACACAAGUCUAAUUGAUUUGCAUUUCAGCAUUAUAGAUAGGUAUGUUUUGGAAGAUUUGUUCUGGAAAUACCGCACCAAGUAGGAUUCUUUUUCUCUUUAGUGGGUCCACUUGCAUGCCAAUUAACGAGUUGAAAAGUAUGAGCACCUACCUCGUGCUCGUGGAACCGAAGGUCAGUGAAGUGGGGCUCCUUUUGGCCUCGUGUAAACUUGAUUCAGAAGUGAAGUUAAUAGUCUUCCAUUCAGAUGGAUACAUGGGAAUUUUUCUCUUUUAUUUAUUUAUUUAUUUUUUUUUUGUGUGUGUAUGUCAAAGGAUAAUGAAUGAAGCGCGUUAGCUUGUUUUCUGACUGGAACCGCAGAUGUCCAAAUUGGAGUUCCUUCAUUUCUUACUUAGGAUUGUUACAUGUAUAAACAAGGUAUAAGAAAUAUGCCAACGUGUCUUGAGGAGUUAUUGAUUAGAAAUAACAAGUCACCCGACUGUAGAGUUCCAAGAUUUGAAUCUUCAGACCCUAUAGCAGCCUCUGGGGUACGUGGCAUCCUAUAGCAUAUUAAUGAAGGCUUUUUCGAUUUAGACUUCACAAUACCAAUUAAUAUGUAUGCACAAAAUGGAGAUGACCCCAAAAAAAACAGAAUCGCCAUAGUUUAUGAGGUUAAGGUGAUUCUCCACUUAAUAUCUACAUUAGCUAAUUAUGUAAAUCAAAUGAACUUCUAUUUUUCCUUUUUUUUUUUGGUUUAUGUCAAAUAGUAGCCCAUAAUUAACCCAACCAUUAGCCUGUUUGAAUUGAUUUCACAUGCACAAUGUUGUAGUAGUUCAUAUUUUGAAUUUUAUUUUUACAAAGGUAGUUAAGGAAAAUGAAGUAUAAUAAUUAUAAAAGCAGACUAUAUACACUACAAUAAUUGUUAGAAUGGUAUCUCAAAUUCUAAUUUAAAAUAUUAUUUUUUGUAAAAGAAAUAUUAUAUAGAAUAUUUCCUAAUUUUAUAAAUGAUUAUAAUUAGAUCUUUAUAAAAUAAGGAAAGUUGGUAAGAAUAUCUUUAUAAAUAUUUUAGGUCAUGAGAGAAAGAAAUGGGAUAAAAAUGUGAUGAAGAGGUGAAAUAAGAGAGUUGAUUAGGAUAUAGAUGUGAAGAAGAAAGGGAUUCAAUAUAUAUAUAUCUUUCAAUUACCACAUUAAAACCCUGUGAACCUUUUAUAUGGUUUACUUUAUUUUUAUAUUCCUCCUUUAAUAUAUUUACAUUAAUGCUUCCAUUGGCACAACAAUAACGAAUUACAAAUACAAGCAACAAGUCCCAUGUUUUAUUACCAAAAGCAGGUAAAAUCCACCUAAUAUAUUACAAUAUAUUCAUCCAAUAUUUUAGACCAAUUCUUCACCAUAAAUAUCAUAAUGUGGCUUUUGUUCUUUCUUAAAUUUAAAUUGAAUUGUCUUAUAUCAAUUUGUUUGUGAUUUUUUCAUUAACUUCACUUUCAUUUGGUUAUCUUUGGUUUUUGAAAAGUAUUAAGGAAUUAAUUAACAAAAUAAUGUUAAGAAAAAUAAUUUUCUCUCUUUUGAUUUUGAUUUUGUAGUAGAAAAAUAUAAUUAAAAUUAUUUAAAAAGUAUGUAAUUUUAAAUUAUUUAAUAUUUAGAUAAAAAAAAUAAGUCUAAUGAGUUUAAAAUAACAUAUAAAAAUAAUUUAUUUAUUUUAAAUUUAUUUUUUAUUUUCCAUUAUGUUCUCUUUCUCUUUUACUUUUUCAUAUUUUUUCUUACGAAGAAUCAAACACAACCUCAUAUUAUAUGUCAAGUGUUUGUCUAUAUUUGAGCAAUGUUAGAUACGGCCAUGGAUUCAUCAAACUAAACUGAUUUUAAUAGAUACUUCACAAAUUGAUUUAUACACUAAAUCAUUGGAUAGCAAUGAUGCAUUGGAAUUAAACGUAGGAUGAAGCUCGAAGAACACUGUUUGUGUAACAACAUAUUUAUGAAAUUAUGCAAAGGAUGAGCUUCGGGGUAGUAGUACAAGGUCAUUAAUGGAGAGCCGUGUUAAACCUUGAUUGUGAUUGGAUUCCGUUAUCAGCAACAGCAACCUUGUUUGUAACCUUGAAAGUCAUUCUGUCCACAUCGAAACUCCAAUUUGACGUUUGUAAUUACCAUUCCUGGAGUGUUCCUUGAUUGAAAUUUAAAUAAUAAUUGCGGCCCACAAGGAAUAUUUUCGAUUCUGUGGGAAUUUGACAAGGUUUGUUAGAGAAGACUGGUGACAUGUUGACUUCAAUGGUUCAAAUAGGAGACGUAUGUGGAUUUGGGGGGUUUAAUUGAAACUGAGUCCCUAUGGCUUUUUAAUAUUUGCAUUGAGCAGUCUCCAUGUGACUUCCUAAUUCCCACCAACCCUCCUGUCCAUGCUGUGAAACUAAAUUGUAAUUUAUCAGCCUUUGUCAAUGGUUUCUAAAUUAAAGAUAUAGACCAUGCAUGUACUUUAAUAAAAGCAAAUCUAAAGUGUAGAUAGCAGCAAUGGUGACACCCAAUAUUCUCCAUAAAAUAGAAUUAGAAUAAGCAGUGUUACAUUGUUCAUGAUCACCUACAAGCAUACAAGAACUUCCAUGAAUAACUCAUAGCAAUUGCCAACAGGGCGUCGUAGAGACUCAUACAUAGAACACUAUCCACCCAGAGGAAAGGACAAGACCAGUGCGCUGCAGCUCUUAUUUUUCACAUGUAUACCACCACUCGUAAUAACCAAAUUCACUCAGUUGGGAUAGGUGGGAGAUGGUGGUUUGUGGGGUGGCUUGUGGGGAGGAGUUGGAGGAGGCUUUAUUUUCUGAGGCGGCUUGUAUGAGUGUGCAGGAGGAUGCCCGGGAGUGUGACCAUAAUGUGGUGGCUUCUCUCCCGUAGGUGGUUUGCCAAAUGGGCUUGGUGGCUUCUCUCCCUUAGGAGGUUUACCAAUUGGGGUUGGUGGCUUGUGUUCUGGGAGUGGUUUCUCUCCCUUGGUAGGUUUGCCAAUUGGGGUUGGCGGCUUAUGUUCUGGGAGUGGCUUCUCUCCCUUGGGAGGUUUGCUAAUUGGGGUUGGCGGCUUAUGUUCUGGGGGCGGCUUCUCUCCCUUGGGAGGUUUGCCAAUUGGAGUUGGCGGCUUAUGUUCUGGGAGUGGCUUUUCUCCCUUGGGAGGCUUGCCAAUUGGGGUUGGCGGCUUAUGUUCUGGGGGUGGCUUCUCUCCUUUAGGAGGUUUGCCAAUUGGAGUCGGCGGCUUAUGUUCUGGAAGUGGCUUUUUUCCCUUGGGAGGUUUGCCAAUUGGGGUUGGCGGCUUAUGUUCUGGGGGUGGCUUCUCUCCCUUGGGAGGUUUGCCAAUUGGAGUCGGCGGCUUAUGUUCUGGGAGUGGCUUCUCUCCCUUGGGAGGUUUUGUUGGUGGCUUGUGUUCUGGAGAUGGCUUCUCCCCUGGAGGCUUGUGCUCCGGAGGUGGCUUCUGAAAUGGCGGGGGCUUGGGGUAAUGAGCAAGAGAUGGAGUACUGGUGAGAACCACCAUUCCAAGCAACAAUACUAGCAAGCAUGUGGGAGACAUCUUUGAGUAGUUGUAGCUAAGAUGGCGCAACACUGUAGGCAUUGGGUGGCCUUUUAUAAAGGGCUGGACCCAACAGCCAUAUGACACGUGUCAUGAUGACAAAUGAAGUUGAGGGGAUCCAGAUGGGUCCUACUGAGUCGAAAACUUGCACUAAUUGAUCUGGUGAGAUGACUAUUUCUGUCCUUUUGCCCUUCUCGGCCACCCUGUGCUGUUUUCCUUUUGCACGAUUUUCGUUGCCAAACAAGCAAAUAAUAUUUCGCCAAGAAAGAGGAGAGUGAAUGUGGAAUGCAUCAAGUCCCAUCAAGGAUGGCAGAGAAGAAAUAGAAGAUUGCCCAACUGUGAUAAACAUAGCAUACACGUAGCACCAGGAACUUCAUUUACUUCCAUCUAAUGGAACAUAACAAUCUUCUAAAGUUUUUGCAUGAUUUUGUUAUAUGUCUCUUAGCCUAAAGUUGGAAAUGCGCAACAAAUUUUGUCACUUCUCUAUUUCCCACUGAUGAUGUUAAUUAGCCUUCAUAGAUAUCAUCCUUUCUACAAAGUGCUUCAUUUGUGUGUUAUUGUAAAGUGUAAGAAAAGUAAUUGAACAUGUUCUUUUUCCUUUCAUAGAUGACUUUUGAUGUGCAUUUUAAAAGCAGCGCUGUGAGUCGGUGACCUUGAUUCACACGGAAACUAAGGCUCCUAUAGGACCCACUUUUAGCUGGUUAGGGGUGAAGAAAAUAUCAACUUUUCAGAGUGAUUUAAGUCAAGGCCAAGCCUCACUGUGUCAUUACUCGUGUGAAUUUUAUAUGCACAUACAUACAUAAAUAAAGUAUGAGACCCAAAUAACACCUUCCCUUUACAAACUUAACCCCAGCCGCUCUCUUUCAAUUCUUUUCACACAAGGGUAUUGACUCUAUAAAGGUCAAGAAAAUCAUAAUUUCCUAGGGUUUACAAGGUAAUUGGCUUAAUGCUAAUGUGAAAACAUAAAAGAUAAUAGUAUAUUGUAAGCUAACGAAUAUUCUAUAGUUAUAAUUAUUUGUGAUGUGCAUAAAUAAAUCUUCAUAUAUAUAAUGGAACAAUGAAUAAAGAACCAAUGAAAAAAUACUAUAUAUCAUUGCUUGGCAUUUAAACCGUAUAUGCUGCUCUUUCUAGCUACUCCAUCCACUGAAAGACAACAAGGUAAUCCAUGUUAUAAUGAUAGAAGAUACUGUCUCUAGGCUUUUUGUGAUGAAAAAUAUAAGAUAUGGGUAGGGUUGACCCUUGUAUGUUUGUCCUAUAAACACUUCAAAGUAACAUAUUUUUCUUCUUUAGCAACUCAUAAUGAUGGGGUUCAUUUGCAUGUCACUGAGUUGAAAAGUUGGACAAUUGCCCAUGUCGCCUUCCUCCUAGAUUCCGUAGUUCACGGGAAGGUAACUCAAGUUUGACAUAUUUUGAAUUCUUUUCACUCGGACGUCUUCAUAACCUGACAAAACAAAAAUGAAAAACAGAGGAUUGGUAUAUUAUUCAUGGUAAGCCUCAAAUUAUAGUAGUAUGAGAAAGGAGAAAAAGAUUUUGGGAACUCCAAUCUGGAUAAUUCUCGUUUCUUCUCUUGAAUAAAAAUUUCACUUACCUAACUUCGUUUGGAGAAAUGGCAUAUUUUAAUUUUGUACGUCAUUGCUAAUAAAUGGAGCAAUUUAGCAUGUUUUGUGACUGAAACUGCAAAUGUCCAAUUGGCAUUUCUUCAUUUCCCACUUAGGAUCUGAUCUUGUAGACCAUAUAACGAUAUGUAUCUGUGCAAGCAUUGAAAACUAAUGUGAACUAUGAGGAGUUACAAGCCACUGGACUGUAGAGCGAGUGCCAAGAUUUAAAUCUUCAGGCUCUAUCUGGGUAAGGGGAGGAUAGCGACCUAACCUUUUACCAAAGGCUUAGAAUUUAGACUUUUGGAAAAAAAUUUCUCAUGUUUUGGCUGGAUUUCUUGUGCUUGGCGCAAAAAGGAGAUGGCCUCAAGAAAUAGCAGACUCACUUUUGUUUUCAGCCCUUAAUAAUUCUCCACUGCUUUCCAUAACUACAUGGGUUAUACAUGCAGUCUGCUGCAAUAUUCCAGUUAUAUUUAUUAUUUCAAAGAGGGUGAAUGACUUCACAUGCAAUAUGUUGCAGUAACAACCCAAAUUUUGGCACACCAUCUUAAGAAUAGAAAAGUAUAAUAAAAGAAAUCAAUCAGAGAAUCACUUUGCAUGCAGUUCAUAGAGUUCGCCCAAAAUGGAGCCACAUGUACGGACAACCCCACAAUAGACAAUCUUCUCUAUACAGUAAUAAAAUACAGAAAUGGUUAAUGAAGCUCUGUAUUUCCUUAUCAUAUAUGACCGGUUGAAAACUCAGCAAGUCUUCCUCAAUCACAGACAGUUGGAGUUGCUUCAUCAAAAUCAUGCCUUCAUUACUGGCUUCAUUUUGGUUUCAAUGUCUGUUCUACCCUUAAAUUGGGUCUCUGCUUACUACCGGGAUAUCCUUUAGCGUCCUGCAAUUCUACUAGAUUAAAGAGAAUGACUUAAUUCUGCAUUCUGCCGUCCCUAGUCCAAGUGGUACUAGAAUUGAUGUUUCCUUUAGUGUCCUUUCUUCAUACUUUCAGGUUCUUCCCUUGUUUCAAUAAUGCUGUUUUCCUUCAUGUUUAACCUCUGUUGAACCACUUAAAACAACACAAUUUGCACACCAAUGUUUCUUUACAGAAAAGACUGUUUGCAAAAAUGCACAUGUUAUAAGGUUAAUGGAAGAAUUAAUUUGGGGAUAAGGGACUAGGAUUGGGCCAAUGAAGUUUGGUGUUAAAUUUUGAUUAUGAUUGCUUUUCAUUAUCAGGUACCUUAUAUUUGCUGAUGCUAUCUGGAACUAAAUUCAAAUCAGACAUUAUCCGAUUACUAACAGGACAUAUCAUGUCCCUCUGCAGAGUUUCUAAACUAACAUGUAUCGAAAUGUGGCCCCAAAAGGAAGGCUAGGAAGAUGGAGGAUUUUGUAGGAAUCGACCAGAAUCAGAUGGAAGAGAGAUAGUCCUGUUGACUUUAAUGGUUGUGAUAGGAACAUGCAUCAUUAUAUGAGAAGUUGCAUGAAUUUAUGUAUCCUGUUAUCGUUCCUUGACGAUUUCCCAAUGCAAUUUCACUGUCCACAAGACUAACCUCUCCAUGCAGUCAAAUGAAUUGUAAUUUCUCUAUUGGUACCAGUAGUACAUUUCAUACCAAACAUAUAGUAAAUAUAAAAUAUAAAUAGAUCAAGGAAAUCUGAAUUGUAGAUAGCACUGCAAGUAACACUCAAUAUUCUCUAUAUAUAAUAAAAUAAACAGUGUCACAAUACUCAUCACCCAGUGGCAAGGGAGAAAAACCUACAAUGAGUACUCAAAUCACCAUUCUCAAACAGAAACAUAGCAGUGACUGAUACAUAGAACCUAUAUGCUCACAGGGAAAGAAUAAGAUGACCAGUGCACAGCGGGCAGCAGCUCUUAUUUUACGUACAACUCAAAUCCCAAACUAACCAAAGUCGCUCAGUUGGGAUGGGUGGGAGAUGGUGGUUUGUGGGAUGGCUUCUGGGUAGGAGCUGGUGGCUUCUGUCCCUUUGGUGGUUUGCCUAAUGAGCUUGGUGGCUUGUGCUCCGGGAGUUGUUUCUCUCCCUCGAGUAGGUUUCGAGUCUUGUCAGAUGGCUUGUGUUCUGGUGGUGGCUUCUCUCCCUGGGGUGGUUUGCCGAAUGGGCUUGGUGGCUUGUGUUCGGGGAGUGGCUUCUCUCCCUGGAGAAGGUUACGAGUUUUGUCAUAUGGCUUUUGUUCUGGUGGUGGCUUCUCUCCCUGGGGUGGUUUGCCGAAUGGGCUUGGUGGCUUGUGUUCGGGGAGUGGCUUCUCUCCCUGGAGAAGGUUACGAGUUUUGUCAGAUGGCUUGUGUUCUGGUGGUGGCUUCUCUCCCUGGGGUGGUUUGCCGAAUGGGCUUGGUGGCUUGUGUUCGGGGAGUGGCUUCUCUCCCUGGAGAAGGUUACGAGUUUUGUCAGAUGGCUUUUGUUCUGGUGGCGGCUUCUCUCCCUGGGGUGGUUUGCCAAAUGGGCUUGGUGGCUUGUGUUCGGGAACUGGCUUCUCUCCCUUGGGAGGUUCAGUUGGUGGCUGCUGUUCCGUAGGUGGUUUCUUCACCGGCGGCUUGUGCUCCGGAAGCGGCUUCUCUACCUGGAGAAGCUUACGAGUUUUGUCCGAUGGCUUGUGUUGUGGUGGUGGCUUCUCUCCCUGGGGUGGUUUGCCAAAUGGAGUUGGUGGCUUGUGUUCGGGGAGUGGCUUCUCUCCAUUGGGAGGUUUAGUUGGUGAUUGGUGUUCCGUAGGUGGUUUCUGAAGUGGGGGAUGCUUGGGGUAGUCAGCAAGAGACGAGGUAGUGAGAACCACCAGUCCCAGCAGCAACACUAGCAAGCAUGUGGAAGACAUCUUUGAGUUCAGGCUGAGAUCUGUGCAAGGAUAACAGAAUUAGGUGGCCUUUUAUAGAGGCCUGGACCCAACACCCAUAUGACACGUGUCAUGCACUCAUGGUGACACAUAAUUCUAUGGGACCAUUUGGGUCCUACAGAAGUUGCAAAGUUGGACUACUGAGGUGUGAUCACAACUUUUGUCCUUAUUGCUUUCUCUGCGGCCAUUGCACGAUUUCCUUUAGCAUCAUUUUCUUGGCUAAAUAAGCGUAUUAUAUUUGUGGCAGACCGUCCACGUGUCAUAAACAGAUAUAUUAUAAUAAUGUAGUAUGCUUUUCUCCAAUGGAACAUGACACUCUUCUAAGUCUUGUUUUAAAUAUUGUGCAGGAUUACUUUAUACGUUGCAGUUCCAAGUCAAAAUUGGUGGGCAAACGUUGGCCUUUUUUCAUUUCACCUAAGAUUAAUGCUCACCUGGGAUAGGCACUACAUGACUUAUCUGCUCUUUUACUGUAAAGUUGCUUUGUGUAUGAGAUACACCUCCCCUGCACACCCUCAACAUUCGUUGCUCUGUUUUCCUUGUGUCCAGACGAGGAUAUUAAUUGGAGGCUGACAAAACGACUGCUAGCCCAGGAUUUACAAGGUCCUGGUUUGAGGCUUCGGUGAAAGUAUUUUUGAAAAGACACACAUAGAGAUAGUGCGUUUGGUGCAAUGCAGCACUGUGAGCCAUUCUGACGCGUUCUUAAUUUCAAAACUAAUGAAUGCUUCAAAAUUUUAAGAAGUGACAUUUCCAAAUAUUUGAGUUCGUUUAAUUGAACAUUGGAUAACUAGUGAUCAUAGAUUAUUAUCUGUGCUUGGCACUAUAAGAGGGUAUAUGCUUCUUUUUCUGGCCCCUCCUUCAAGGGAGGAGGGACAAUGUGAUCUGUAACGUUAGAAGCUAUUCCAUGUCAUCUUUGGGCUCAGUUCAAAACUAAAAGAUAAUGGGGGGGGGGGGGGGGGGCAUAUCAUUUUAUAUUUCUUCUAGAAGGUUUGUUCUGGAAAUAUUUCACAGGAGCAUAUCUUUUUCUUCUAUUACGUCAUCCGCAGCCUCCAAUAGGUCGGUUAACAAGCCACCGAGUUGAAAAGUUGGAAAAAUGGGAACACAGCCCGCCUCUUGUAUUCAGUAGUUAAAUAAAAGGUCACUAGAAGUGAGAUCCCUUUUGGCGUCUUGAUUUUCAAUCCAGCACCUCUGUGACCUGACAAACCAAAAAAACUAAAAAAUAAAAAACAGUACGUGGGUUGGUGUUAAGCAUCAAGACAUGUUAAUGAAAGAAGGUAGAGAAUAGGAUAUUGAAAUCCCAAUCCUGAUAACAUGAUUUUCUUUGCUAACAACCAUAUUAUAUUUUAUCAAGAAAGAGUAAUGCAUGUGGCGUCCAUCAAGACCCAUUAGAGUUCCGCUAAAGCUAUAGUUCUGUCAACGUUAUCAUUUACGUUUCCUCUAGAUAAUGGCAUUUUCCUCUAAAGCUCUUGCACCAUUAGGCUUCAAGUCAAAAUUUCACAUGUGAACUUUGGAAAUUUUCUCCAUUUGCCCCUAAGGAUACAGUUAGAAUUGACUUAAAAUCCUGAUUGAUAUGUACUAUUAACCAAAGAAUAUUGUAUAUAAUAAUUGAAAUAUUGUUGAUUCAUCGUGGAAAUACAUUUUGUAAGGAAAGUUGUUGAGAAUUUAGUAUGCUAUAUGGAGAAAAAAGUCAUGACUUAAGGUUGUGUAUGUAUAUUCUAUAUCAAAUAUUAGGUAGGAAUGUGGGAAAGAGCAGAGUGUAAUGAUAAGAAACAAAGAAAUAUAAGAUAUUCUUGAAAGUGGAAAAUAUAAAAUGGCUAACGAGUCAAAUUUAUGAUGCGUAAGGGGGAUCAUGUCACAUAAGAAAACCAUGGCAUACUAAAGACGUACGUGUGGUAUGGAGUAAUAAUUUUGUUAAAAUAAGUUUCUUGUUGGAGUACAUUAGGUGACUAUUCAUAACGUAUCAAAUUAAAGAGUCAAGUGCAUCAAUGAAGGCAUAUGUAGAAAAUUUGUUUGUGACAUGUACCAUAAAGAUAAGAUUGACUUGAUAGAAUUUAGUCUAAGUAGGAGUUGUUAAAGGUGUCUUAAAUUUCUAAUUGAUGUAUAUUUUUUUCUAAAAAAAUAUUAUAUAGAUAUUUUAAUAAAUGAUUAAUUCUUUGUAAAAAUACUUACAUAAUAAAAAACAUCAUUAAAAAUAUCUUUAUAAAUAUUUUAAGUUACAAGAAGGAAAAAAACCACUGUGAGAUAAUGAUGAACAUGCAACACUGUACCAAGUAAAUAAAAAUGUGAUAAAAAAAAAAGAGAAACACUCGAUAAAGGAAGGCUCGUAUAUAAAGAGUAAUAUUUUUAAUCAUAUGAUAGAAUGAUUUUCUCUCAUUCAUGAAUAUAGGCAAGAUUGGGGAACCAUUAUAAAAUUUUGUACACCUCGUGUAAAUUGAUGUUUGUCUUCAUAUUUUACACCAACAAAUGACAUUGAAGUUGUCAUUGAUAAAAGGGAAAAGGCAUGCCUCCACACCAUGUGCUUGAUUCGAAUGGUUCAAGUUUGAAGAAUUUUCUCCGGAAGAUCUAAAACAUUUUCGCCUUUAAAUUUCAUUUGAUUAUUAAUAUCCGAAAAAAUAGUUAAAUACUCUUUCUAUUUUUGAGUUGUUGAAUUUUUUGAAAGUUUUUAUAUUUGUUAUCAAGAAUUUCUAUUUUAUUAAGGGUGAAUAUUUAUAAAUAAGAUAUUAUAUAAUAUUUGGAUAAGAGAGAAUGGUGGAAUAUAAUAAAGUUUUAAUCCUUCCCAAUUUUGAACCUUUUUUUUUUUUUUUGAUAUAAUCGCCUUUCUCUUGCAAUCCUAUUAUCAGGUACCUUAUAUUUGCUGAUGCUAUCUGGAACUAAAUUCCAAUCAGGCAUUGUCCAAUUACUAAUAGGACAGAUCAUAUCUCUCUGUUUCUAAACUAACAUGUAUCGUAAUGUGACCUCAUAAGGAAGGCUAGGAAGAUGGAGGAUUUUGUGGGAAGCGACCAGAAUCAGAUGGAAGAGAGAUAGCCCUGUUGACCUAAUGGCUGUAAUAGGAGAAGCGUGUGGUUUUAUGGGACUUAACUGAUACUAAACCUGUAUGAUGCUUGGAGUGGUGUUUCUUUCAUUUUGUUAAGAAAAUAUGGCAGCAUACAUGCUUUCAACUGAGUGCAUCAGAGCAUCCAUAACAGAUGGUCUGCAACCCUAGGUGCAUGCCACUUUCUGACUGAUAAUGAAAUUGUCAGGUACCUGGCCUUGACUAAGCUCAACAGCAUCACAUAAAGAGAAGCUUUCAUACUUAGAUUACUGUUUAAAGUUUUUGCUUAUUUGAUUUCUUAAUGCCAUUAUGACAUUAUUGAUUCAAUUCUGCUUCCGAUUUUCGAAGUUCUGGGCAUCUACUGAUUGCAUCAUUAUAUGAGAAGUUGCAUGAGUUUAUGUAUCCUGUUAUUGUUCCUUUGCGAUUUCACUGCUCACGGGACUAACCUCUCCAUUCAGUCGAAAUGAAUUGUAAUUUCUUUACUGGUAGCAGUAGUACUUUUCAUAGCAAAGAUAAUAGAAAAUAUGAAAUAUAAAUAGAAGGAAAUCUGGAUUGUAGAUAGCACCAUAAGUAACACUCAAUAUUCACUACAUAAUAAAUAGACAGUGUUACAUAGGUAGAGAAACCUACAAUGAGUACUCAUCACCAUUCUCAAACAGAAACAUAGCAGCGACUUAUACAUAGAACCUAUAGGCUCGCAGGGAAAGAGUAACAUGAUAAGUUCACAGCGGGUAGCAGCUCUUAUUUUACGUAUUACUCAAAAUCUCAAACUAACCAAAGUCACUCAGUUGGGAUGGGUAGGAGAUGGUGGUUUGUGGGGUGGCUUCUGGGUAGGAGCUGGUGGCUUCUUUGUUGGAGUUGAAGGAGGCAUAUUCUUCUGAGGUGGCUUGUAUGACUCUUCGGCACUCUCUGCAGGAGGGUGCCCAGGGUUGUGACCAGAAGGAGGUGGCUUCUGUCCCUUUGGUGGUUUGCCUAAUGGGCUUGGUGGCUUGUGCUCCGGGAGUUGUUUCUCUCCCUCGAGUAGGUUUCGAGUUUUGUCAGAUGGCUUGUGUUCUGGUGGUGGCUUCUCUCCCUGGGGUGGUUUGCCGAAUGGGCUUGGUGGCUUGUGUUCGGGGAGUGGCUUCUCUCCCUGGAGAAGGUUACGAGUUUUGUCAGAUGGCUUUUGUUCUGGUGGCGGCUUCUCUCCCUGGGGUGGUUUGCCAAAUGGGCUUGGUGGCUUGUGUUCGGGAACUGGCUUCUCUCCCUUGGGAGGUUCAUUUGGUGGCUGGUGUUCCGUAGGUGGUUCCUUCACCGGCGGCUUGUGCUCCGGAAGCGGCUUCUCUACCUGGAGAAGCUUACGAGUUUUGUCAGAUGGCUUGUGUUGUGGUGGUGGCUUCUCUCCCGGGGGUGGUUUGCCAAAUGGACUUGGUGGCUUGUGUUCGGGGAGUGGCUUCUCUCCAUGGGGAGGUUUAGUUGGUGGUUGGUGUUGCGUAGGUGGUUUCUGAAGUGGGGGAUGCUUGGGGUAGUCAGCAAUAGACGAGGUAGUGAGAACCACCAGUCCCAACAGCAACACUAGCAAGGAUGUUGAAGACAUCUUUGAGUUCAGGCUGAGAUCUGUGCAAGGAUAAAAGAUUUAGGUGGCCUUUUAUAGAGGGCUGGACCCAACACCCAUAUGACACGUGUCAUGCACUCAUGGUGACACAUAAUUCUAUGGGACCAUUUGGGUCCUACAGAAGUUGCAAAGUUGGACUAUUGAGGUGUGAUCACAACUUUUGUCCUACUUGCUUUCUCUGCGGCCAUUGCACGAUUUCCUUUAGCAUCAUUUUCUUGUCUAAAUAAGCGUAUUAUAUUUGUGGCAGACCGUCCACGUGUCAUAAACAGAUAUAUUAUAAUAAUGUAGUAUGCUUUUCUUCAACGGAACUUGACACUCUUCUAAGUCUUGUUUUAAAUACUGUGCAGGAUUACGUCAUAAGUUGCUUGUUCCAAGUCAAAAUUGGUGGGCAAACGUUGGCCUUUUUUCAUUUUCCCUAAUAUUAAUGCUCACCUGGGAUAGGCACUACAUGAUUUAUCUGCUCUUUUACUGUGAAGUUGCUUUGUGCAUGAGUUACACCUCCCCUGCACACCCUCAACAUUUGUUGCUCUGUUUUUCUUGUGUCCAGACGAGGAUAUUAAUUGGAGGCUGACAAAACGACUGCUAGCCAAGGAUUUACAAGGUCCUGGUUUGAGGCUUUCACGAAAGUAUUUUUGAAAAGAUACACAUAGAGAUUGCGCGUUCGGUGCAAUGCAACAAUGUGAGCCAUUCUGAAGUCUUAAAUUUCAGAUUAAUGAAUGCUACAAAAUUCUAAGAAGGGCCGUUUCCAAAUAUUUGAGUUCAUUCAUCCGAACAUCGGGUAUAUGCUUCUUUCUCUAGCCCCUCCUUGAAGGGAGGAGGGACAAUGUGAUCUGUAUCGUUAGAAGCUAUUCCAUGUCGUCAUCUUUGGGCUCAGUUCAAUACUAAAAGAUAUGGGCGGGGCCCUUAUCAUUUUAUAUUUCUUCUAGAAGGUUUAUUCUGGAAAUCUUUCACAGAAACAUAUCUUUUUCUUCUCUACGUGAUCCGUGGUUUGAAAGUUGGAAAAAUGGGUCCGUUAACAAGCCACCGAGUUGAAAAGUUGGAAAAAUGGCAACACCGCCAACCUCUUGUAUUCGAUAGUUAAAUAAAAGGUCACUGGAAGUGAGAUCCCUUUUGGCCUCUUGAUUUUCAUUCCAGCAUCUCUAUGGCCUGAUAAAUUAAAAAACUAAAAAAAAAGACAGUACGUGGGUUGGUGUUAAGCAUCAAGAGUCAAGACAUGAUAAUGGAGAGAAAGGAUAUUCAAAUUCCAGUUCUGACAACAUGAUUUUCUUUGCUGAACUACCAUAUUAUAUUUGAUCAAGAAAGAGUAGUGCAUGUGGCCAGGAUCAAGACAUACAUUAAUUUCCACAUGAUGAAGACAGUUUCUGAGAGUUUCUUCUAAAGCUCUUGCGCGAGUAGGCUUCAAGUCAAAAUCUCCCAUGUAAACACUGGUUUUUCUUUCAUUGCCACUAAGGAUGCAGUUAAUAUUGACUUAAGAUCCUACGUGAUAUAUUUUUUUAAAAGAGCUAUAUUGUAGAUAAUAUUUGAAAUAAUGUUGAUUCGUUGUGGAAAUAUAUUUGUAAGGAAAGUUGUUGACAAUUUAAUAUAGUAUAAGAAGAAAAAAGUUAUCAACUAGCUAGAGAUGAGUAUGUAAAGUGAGGCUCACGAUUCAACGCGUAAAUAUAAGAUAUUUUAAGGCUCAAUAGUUAUGAUAUCUAUUUUAUUUUUUGUAUCUCAUAUAUUCAAAGAUAUAGUAAAAUGAUUUUACAUAUAUAUAUAUAUAUAUAUAUGAACAUAACUAUUUGUGCCAAUUGAUUUUUAUCUUUAUUUUGUAUAUUAGUAAUUAUAUUAAAGUUUUUACUAAUAUAAUAACUAAUAUAAAAGCUUUUUCUAAAAGAGUCAACAGAGCAAAACACUUAUUAUAAAAAAUAAUUUUGAUUGAAGGUGGAGUCAAUUAUUCUUUAUUUAACAUGUAAUGCAUACGGCGUGUACUUCAUAACUAAAGUAUAUAAGUGUAACAUCUCUUAUAUAUUCUCAUUCAAUCUCGAAAGUGGAAAUUUUAAAAAGAUUAAACGGUUCAAAUUUGUCGUGCAUAAAGGGGAUCAUGUCACAUAAGCAAACCAUGGCAUACCAAAGACAUAGGUAUGGACUAAGAAUUUUUUUCAAAUAAGUUUCUUAUUAGGGUACAUUAAUAGGUGACUUUUUAUGACAUAUCAAAGGAGUCAAGUGCACCAAUAAAAACAUAUAUAGAAAAUUCAUGCAUGACAUGUAUCACUAAGAGAAGAUUGACUUGAUAGAGUUUAAUCCAAAUAGGAGAUUGUUAAAAGGUGUCUCAAAUUCUUGAUUGAUAUAUAUUUUUUUUAUUAAAAAGGUUAUUAUAUAGAUAUUUCAAUAGACUAUUAAUUCUUUGUAAAAAUAGUUAUAUAAUGAGGAUGGUGAUUAAAAAUAUCUCUAUCAAUAUUUUGGAUUAUAAAAAGAAAAAAAAUGAGAUAAUGAUAAACAUAUAAAACUUGUACAAGUAGAUAAAGAUGUGAUGAAAGACACUUGAUGAAUGAAGGCUUUGUAUUUCAAGAUAUAAAUAUAUGGAGCAAAACUCUUAAUUAUAUGAUCAAAUGAUUCUCUCAUAUUCAUGAAUAUAAGCAGGAUUGGGGAACCAUGAUAGAAUCUUAUAUGCCUCUCCAUGUAGAGUGAUCGAUGUUUAUCUUCAUAUUUUACACCAGUGAAUGACAUUGAAACUCUUAUUGAUAAAAGGGAAAAGGCAUGGCCUCCACCCCAAGAAAAACAAGUAACCUCGGUUUAAAUCACUAGUCUACACCCCGAAGAGAGAACUAGCCAAACCUACUAAAAGAGAAACUUAACAAUUUAGAAAGAAACCGUCCAUGAUAAAGGGCCCCUAAAGGUCCAAUUCAGUGAGGUCGUGAACAAAAACACUUUCAUGUCAAAACAGAGAUAGGUACCACCAAAAUGUAAAGGGAAAGAUGUAAACCACGUCGAACUUUGGUAAUCAAUGGUAAAGAUAGCAUGAUAGCUAAAAGCACUAAAGCUGUGCUUGGUAUGCAAAAAUGAAAAGUGGAAAUCAGCGUCUUAUUCUUUUUCACCUUUAUUCACAUAUUAGGAUAACUAAUAUCUAAUGUUUUUUAUGUCUCAAAUUCUAUUCCAUGUUAUGGUAAACUUUCAUCUUGUUUAGAUCACUUUUGUCUGGUUUGGGCUCAAGACGAUAAGCCUAUAGAGACUUCAUAUUGGGUUGAAUCGAUGCCCUUGAUCUGAUCUGUUCGUUAGAAAAAUCUGAAUUAUUAUAAGCAUUUAGAUAAAAAAUAAAUAAAUGUGAAACACAAACUACUCCCUGCACAACCUUGACCCUAGUUACUCAGUUUCACUGCUCACAGGACUAACCUCUCCAUUCAGUCGAAAUGAAUUGUAACAAGAAGAUUUUUGACAGGAGGACGGUAGUUUAAAAUAAUAAUUUCUAAAGUACUUUUGUGAAAAAAAAUAAUUCCAAACGUGGAUUUUAUCAAGUAAAAAGAAAAAAAAAAGUUAUUUUCUUUUAAAAUCUGUUCUUCUAAAGAUGAUAUAUAUACCAAAAAAAAAAAUUGUUUUCUGAAGGUAAAAUUUUUAAAAUUCAUUUUUAAAAAAAUUUACACACUAAAAUUAUCUUUUCAAGAGAAGAUUUUUUUAAUUUUAAAUAAUUAUUAAUUUAUAAUUAAUUUGUUAUUAAUUAUUUAUUAAUUUUUUUAUUUGAAAAAUGCAUUUAUAAAAAACAAAUUUGUUAUUAAUUUAUUAAAUAAUUUUUACAAAAUAAAUAAUUUUUUUUUAUUUUAAUUUUAAAAUUAAUUUUAUUAUAUAAAUUUUAAAAUUAAAAAUAUUAAUAUUUAAUUUAAAAUUUAACUAUAAAAGGAAUAAAAUAUAGAAAAAUAAAUUAAUUUAUUAUUCAAUAAAUUAAUUUUCAAUAAAAUUUUCAGCAUUAAGAGAUAAAUUUUUAAGUAUUAAUCAAUUUAAAAAGAAAUAAUGAUCAUUUGUAUAUUAAGAUAUUUUAUUUAGUAAUUAUGAAUGAUAAACAACUAAAGUAAUUUGAAAAAAUAAUAAAAUAUUUAAAAAAUAAUAAUUUAAUACACGUAAAAUUAGAAAUGAUUAACUAUUUUUUAUUAAGAAAAAAUUGAGGAAAUAUUUUGUUAUUUAAAAUUUUUUAUUUGUUUUCAAUUUUUAAUGUUAUAGGUUUCAAGAAAAUUGAUCAAAUAAAAAUUAAGAAGUCAUUUUUUCAAAAACUAUAUAUCUAAAUAAAAGCCUUGAAAUUCAAAUACACAAUAUCAUAAAUAUAAACACCAAGUCAAUCCUUAAUUAUCAAAUGUUUUUAAUAUUAAAGAAUCAAAAUCACCUACUAUCAUGAUAAUAAGAAAACCAAUAAUAUUGUUCAUAUAAAUACUAAAAAGCUAACAAAUAUCCCAAACAAUUAAUAAAGUAUCAAACAUGAUAAAAAGUCAAUUAUUAUCAUGAAUGCAAAAAAUCAAUAAUUUUGUUUAUAUGAACCAUCAACAAAGAAAAAAAAAAUCAAUAUCUAAAUAUUAAACAUAAUUUAUAUUUUUAUAAAUAUUAUUGUUGAUAAAUAUCUUAACAAUUAUAAUUUUAGUAAAUAAAAUUAAUUAAUUUUAGUUUAAGAAUUAUUUUUUUAUACUUUCGUAUUCUUAUCAAAAAUCCCCAUUUUGCAUGUCUCCUUUGGCAUGACUUUCUUACCUAAACAAGCAUAUAUAUAUAUAUAUAUAUAUAAAAUAUUUGGUUAAGAAAGAGUACUAAAGUUUAUAUGGCACACAUCAAGAUAGAAACAGAAGUGGAAGAUAAUCCAAAUGUAUGAACAGAUAUAUUAUAUCCAUGUAGUGGUAGUGACUUCAUUAUUUACUUUUAUCUAAUGGAGCAUGACACACUUCUUCUGAAUAUUUUGCACGAUUAUGUUAUGUGUCAGCUUGUUCUAAGUCAAAACUAGUGAUAAAAAUCGGUUUUUUUUGCAUUUCCUUCAUGAAGAUGGCACCUGGAUGGGGCACUACAUGAGUGGCAUAGCACGAAGUGAUUUAUCUGCUCCCUUUACUAUAAAGUGCUUUGUGUAUAAGUUACACCUCCCCUGCACUGCCUCAACAUUUGUUGUUCUGUCUUCCGUCUGUCCAAACGAGGACAAACGUAUGUUGUAGGUUGACAAAACCACAGCUAGCCUAGGAUUUGCAAGGAUCUAGUUUGAUUCGUAUGCAAAAGGAUUGGUGAAAAGAUUCACAAAGAUAAUGCUUUUUGCAAUGCAAUCUUGUUCUAAUUCAACAGUGUGGACCAUUUUCAUGUAAUGCUUCAACUAGAUGUCAGUUUCAUGAAUUUUUGUUCAUCUAAUUGAUCACUGGAUAGGCCAUAACCCGAAGAAAUUCAAAAUUCCCUUCAGUACUGUAGCUAAGGAAAGAUCCCUAUCUACCACUGGGAUUUUAAGAGGGUAAAAAUGUAGGUGGGUGCCUAUAUCAUUUGCACUUCACUAUAGGCCUCUUUGGGAAGAUUUCUUCUGAAGACAUUUCAAAGAAACAUAUUUUUCUCUUCUCUCCGUAAACGGCAGCUGCAAGUCAGUCCAUUCACAGGCCACCGAGUUGAAAAGGCUGGAAAAUUGGCCAAAGCACCCGCCUCCUGGAUUCCAUGGGUAAGGAAAAGGUCACUGGAGGUGUGAUCCCUGUUGGCCUCUUGAUUUCCAUUCCGCCAUCUAUAUGACCUGAUAACCCAAAAACACAGAAGGAAAACGUCACCUGGGUUCAUAGUAAGCAUCAAGUCAUGAUAGAGACCAGACAACAUGACCAACAAAGAGUAGCGAAUGGGGCCAACAUCAAGCCCCAUUACGGUUAGAAGAUGGAAGAAGUAGAAGACAAUCCAAUUCUGAUAGAUUCGGGCAAAUGUAGUGCUGUUCAAACUUAAUCAUUUACUAUUUCUUCAUGAAUCACGGCAUUUUUCUUCUGAAAAUUUUCCAAGAUUAGGCCUCUGAAGAAAAAUUUCAUAUGUAAAUUGGUAUAUUAAGGAAAAGGCGUUACAAAGGUGAAAAAAAACCAAUCAAAUCUUAUAUAUGACAUCUCAAAAAUAUGAACUUGCUAUAAAUAUUUAAAAUCAAAAUCUUGCACAUCACCUCGUAGUACGAACUUGCUAUAAAACUUGAAAAUCAAGAAGAAAGGGGCAGUAUUGGACGAGACUACUUAGCACAUAUUAUUAUGAUGUUUUUUCAUUUUCUUAAUGUUGUUUUUAUGUCUUAAAUUCUAUUAUUCUAUGUUACGGUAAACAUUCAUCUUGUUUGUGUGGAAUAGGAUCACUUUUCUCUGGGUUGAGUCGAUGCCCUUAGUUAAUUUGUUCAUUUGAAUAAACUAAAUUAUUAUAAGUAUUUAGAUAAGAAAAACGUGAUACAUAAAUUACGCCUCUCGGCACAACUUCAACACUGGUUACUCUGUUUCAGUUUCCUCACACAAGAUUAUUGGUUCUAGGGUUUAUUUGGUUUUGGUUUGAUUCUAAUUGCUAAACUUUCUCAAGGAAGAUGUUAUAUAGGGAGUGAGAAACCUUCACUCUUGGCUACCUCCAAGAGAAGAGCAAGUGGUCUGAAUCAAAGAUAUACUGCUCACUUUUUCUUCUUCUAAGGACAGCUAUGACCUUGCUUUAAGGUUCGAAUAGCCUAAUGCAACCUCCCAUUUCUCAAGUCAGCUGAUGAUGUAAGUCACCUUGGCUUUCCACAUUCAUACGGUGAGGACGUUUGUGGGUGUAAUUCUCUUAACAGUUUUCAUUUUAUAUGGAAAAAUUCAUAAUUAAGGGUAAUUACUGAUUCCAUUUGACAGUGACCAAGUUUAAAAUAUUAAUUCAUAUAUUAAAUGCACAUUAAAAAAUCAUGGAAUAAAUAUAUUUACUAAUAUAUAGUUCUUUUGCCAUGUUCUGUCACAGAAGCAUCGAACUUUCCCUAGAAAUUUUUGCAUGGUAUUCUACUUAUGAUUUUGAAAACUCUAGGCACCUGAGGCCACUAAUUGCAUGGUUGGAUGAGGAGCUGCAUGAGAUUAUGUAUCGUGUUGUUCCUUAACUACAAAUAUCAGUUUUAAGUAGCAUCUCCAUGUGACAUUUUCCUGAUGCAAUUUCGCUGUCCACCAACAAAUUUCACCAUGCAGCAAGAUGAAUUGUAAUUUCUUUAUUGUUAUCAACAGCUUUAAUUAAUCUUGAUAUAUAUAUAUAACUUAGUAGAAGUAUAUUAAUCUAGAUUGUAGUUGCACUAAGAUAAUAGGCAAUAUUAUAACAGUGCCACAAUGCUCAUCGCCAAAUAGAAAGGUAGAAAAACUACAAUGAGUAACUCACAACAUUCUCAAACAGGACAUAGCGGCGACUGAUACAUAGAACACUAUUGGCACUCAGGAAAUGAUAAGAUCAGUGCCCAGCAGGCAGCACGUCUUAUUUUACAUACUACUUAAAACUAACCAAAGUCAUUCAGUUGGGAUGGGUGGGAGAUGGUGGUUUGUGCGGUGGCUUUUGGGUAGUUGGUGGCUUCUUUCCUGGAACUGAUGGUUUUUUUGUUGGAGUUGAAGGAGGCUUAAUCGUCUGAGGUGGCUUGUAUGAGUCUUCAGCACUCUCUGCGGGAGGGUGCCCAGGGUUGUGACCAUAAUGGGGUGGCUUCUCUCCCUUAGUUGGUUUGCCAAGUGGGCUGGCUGGCUUGUGCUCCGGGAGCGGCUUCUCUCCCUUAGGUGGUUUGCCAAAUGGGCUUGCUGGCUUGUGCUCUGGGAGCGGCUUCUCUCCCUCAAGAAGUUUACGGGUUUUGUCAGAUGGCUUGUGUUCUGGUGGUGGCUUCUCUCCUUGGGGUGGUUUGCCAAAUGGACUUGGUGGCUUGUGUUCGGGGAGUGGCUCCUCUCCCUUGGGAGGUUUAGUUGGUGGCUGGUGUUCCAUAGGUGGUUUCUCAACCGGGGGCUUGUUCUCCGUUGGUGGUUUAUGAACUGGGGGAUGCUUGGGGUAGUCAGCAAGAGACGGGGUGGUGAGAACCACCAGUCCCAGCAGCAACACUAGCAAGUAUGUGGAAGAGUACAUCUUUGAGUUCAGGCUGAGAUUUGUGCGAGACUUGAAGAAUUAGGUGGCCUUUUAUAGCUGGCUGCACCCAACACUCACAUGACACGUAUCAUGGUGACACAUGUGCUAUGGGUCCAUUUGGGUCCUACAGAAGCUGAAAACUUUUGACUAUUGAGGUGUGGUCACAACUUUUGUCCCUAUUGCUUUCUCCGCAACCGUUUUACAUGUUUCCUUUGGCAUAAUUUUCUAAGCUAAACAAGCAUAUAUCAUAUUUGGUUAAGAAAGAGUAAAGUGUAUAUGGCACACAUCAAGGAAGAGAAACAGAAAAAGUGGGAGACAAUCAAUUGUGAUAAACAGAUAUAUUAUAUUCAUGUAGUACUAGUGACUUUAUCAUUUACUUUUAUCCAAUAGAUCAUCACUCUUUCUUCUAAAUAUUUUGGAGGAUAAUGGUACAUGUUGCUUGUUUCCAAGUCAAAAUUGGUGGCAAAAAUCGGCAUGAUACGAAAGGAUUGGUGAAAAGAUUCACAUAGAUGGUGCUUUGUGCAAUGCAGUCUUGCUCUAAUUCAACAGAGUGGACCAUGGUGAUGUAUUUUAAAUUUUAAAUUUUAAAUUAAUGCAUGCUUCAAAGUUUUAACUAGAUGUCACUUCCAUGGAUUUUUGUUCAUUUAAUUGAGCACAGGAUAGGCUAUCAAACUUGAAGUAAUAUAAAAAUCCCUUCAUUACUGUAACUAAUGAAAGAUCAUUAUCUGCGCUUGGUAUUUUGCCAAGGUAUUUGCUGCUCUUUCUAGCCCUGUCUUACAGUUAAGGACAAUGUGAUCUAGUUAACCUUAGAAGCUAUUCCAUGUCAGAUACAAGAGAUCAAGCACAUUAUCUUUGGGCUCAGUUCAAAACUAUAAUAUAUGGGUGGGGUGGAGGCCCAUAUCAUUUGCAUAUCACCACUAUUGGUUUAGUUUGGAAGGUUUCUUCUGGAAGAUUGCUGCUUUCUGGAAUCAUUUCAAAGAAAUAUAUCUUUUUGUUCUCUUGGUGACGAGCAGCGGCAAUCAAGUCUGUUGACAAACAACCGAGUUGAAAAGUUUGAAAAUUGGUCACAGCCCACGUCCAUGGUUAAGGAAAAGGUCACUGGAAGUGAUCCCUUCUGGGCCUCUUGAUUUCCAUUCUGACAUCUAUAUGACCUGAUAAAUAGAAAGAAAAAAAAACAGAAGAAAAGCGGCACCCGGGUUCAUAGUAAGCAUCAAGACAGGAUACUGAAAGAAGGGAGAAAGGAGAUUGCAAGUCCAAUCCUGAUAAAAUGAUCAACAAAGAGUAUCAAAAUGGGGCCAACAUAAAGACCCAUUGAGGUUAGCAGAUGGCAUGGCAUUUUUCUCCUUAAGUUUUCCAUGAUUAGACUUGAAGUCAAAAUUUCACAUGUAAAUUUGUAUUUCUACAUUUCCCACUGACGACACCCAACUUCAACUUGAGUUAGAAUAACAUUGUGUGAACUUAUCUGGCCCUCAAAAUUUACUGUGAAGUGCUUUCUGCGUGUGAAGAUUCAGAAAAGCACCAAGGGAACAUGUAUGGUCUGCCUUUUUCUGAUGUUAUGUUUGUCUCUAAUUCUGUUCCAUGUCAUGGUAAAUGUUCACAUUGCUUGUAUGGAACACACCAGGAUCACUUUUUCGGGUUUAUUUUGAGGCUUCAUAUUGGGUUCAUAUUGGGUUCAAUGCUUUUAAUGUGUUCAUUAGACAAAUCUGAAUUAUCAUAUGCAUUUAGAUAAGAACAAUAAUGUGAAACCCUAGUUACACCUCCCCUGCAUAACCCCAACCCUGCUUACUCUAUUUCAGUUUACUCACACAAGUUUUACCGGUUCUUAUAAGUCAAGAAAAGGCAACUGAUGUUGGAUUGACUCUCUUCCAUGUAUAAAAAGCAACUUUUAUAUAUACAUAAAAUAACUUCUUCCCCUCACCAAUGUGGGAUAUCAUGGAUUUAUUCUGGAAACACAUCAAAGGAACAUCUUUUCUCUUGGGUGACCCUAAGUGGUGAGUCAGACCAUUUGCAUGCCAUUGAGUUGCACAGUUGGAUAAAUGCACCUACCUCCUGGGCUCCAGAGUUAAAAGGGUGGAUCCCUGGAUCGCAACCCUCUUGGCAUCUUGGUUUCCAUUCCAACAUCCACAUGACUUGACAAAACAAAAAACAGAAUAAAAUCAUCACUAUUUUCAUGCUAAGCACCAAUACAUGAUGGAAAUCAUUGCUUAAAGAUUUGGGGUCAUUUAGGUUUUGACUGCCUCCUAACACCUCACCUAAUCACAAGUUUUUAUGCUUACAAAUCAAAUAUCGUUCUUCAUUAUAUUAAAAUCAUUUUAAGAUUUCAGAUCCAUCUGCUAAUUAUGAUUAUGAUAACAUUAAUUCACCUGUGCUUCUCAUUUUCGACACACAAGGCAUCUAGGUUUGCAGGAUUUCCUUAUUAGAUGAGAUAAAUGAGUACGCAUGGUUAUGUAUGCAGCAUUCAUUAACCAUGGUAUGUGACAUUUAGAAUUAAGAUAGCAAGCAAACUUUCCCUGCAGCUUGAGUAAAUUGUGAUUUCUUAGCCUCUAUGAGUGGUUCCCAAAUCAAAUUAACAUAGUGAAAUAUACGUAGUCCAGUGAAAGGAAAUGUAAAUUAUAAACUAACAGCACUACACUACUGGUAACACUCGAUACUCUCUAUAUAAUGCAAUGAAAUAUACGUUAUACGUUGCUUGUUCCAAGUCAAAAUUUGUGGCCAAACGUUGGCCUUUUUUCAUUUUCCCUAAGAUUAAUGCUCACCUGGGAUAGGCACUACAUGAUUUAUCUGCUCUUUUACUGUAAAGUUGCUUUGUGUAUGAGUUACACCUCCCCUGCACACCCUCAACAUUUGUUGCUCUGUUUUCCUUGUGUCCAGACGAGGAUAUUAAGUGGGGGCUGACAAAACGACUGCUAGCCAAGGAUUUACAAGGUCCUGGUUUGACGCUUCCGCGAAAGUAUUUUUGAAAAUAUACACAUAGAGAUUGCGCGUUCGGUGCAAUGCAACAAUGUGAGCCAUUCUGAAGUUUUUAAUUUCAGAUUAAUGAAUGCUACAAAAUUCUAAGAAGGGCCGUUUCCAAAUAUUUGAGUUCAUUUAUCCGAACAUCGGAUAAGUAAUGAUCAUAGAUUAUUAUUAUUAUCUGACGUUCUUAUAAUGGUUGGCAUUAUAAGAGGGUAUAUGCUUCUUUCUCUAGCCCCUCCUUCAAGGGAGGGACAAUGUGAUCUGUAUCGUUAGAAGCUAUUCCAUGUCGUCAUCUUUUGGCUUAAGUCAAUACUAAAAUAUAUGGGCGGGGCCCCUGUCAUUUUAUAUUUCUUCUAGAAGGUUUGUUCUGGAAAUCUUUCACCGAAACAUAUCUUUUUCUUCUCUACGUGAUCCGUGGUUGGAAAGUUAGAAAAAUGGGUCCGUUCACAAGCCACCGAGUUGAAAAGUUGGAAAAAUGGCAACACCGCCAACCUCUUGUAUUCGAUAGUUAAAUAAAAGGUCACUGGAAGUGAGAUCCCUUUUGGCCUCUUGAUUUUCAUCCCAGCAUCUCUAUGUCCUGAUAAACUAAAAAACUAAAAAAAAAACAGUACGUGGGUUGGUGUUAAGCAUCAAGAGUCAAGACAUGAUAAUGGAGAGAAAGGAUAUUCAAAUUCCAGUUCUGACAACAUGAUUUUCUUUCCUGAACAACCAUGUUAUAUUUGAUCAAGAAAGAGUAGUGCAUGUGGCCAGGAUCAAGACAUACAUUAAUUUCCACAUGAUGAAGACAGUUUCUGAGAGUUUCUUCUAAAGCUCUUGCGCUAGUAGGCUUCAAGUCAAAAUUUCCCAUGUAAACACUGGAUUUUCUUUAAUUGCCACUAAGGAUACAGUUAAAAUUGACUUAAAAUCCUACGUGAUAUAUAUCUUUAACAAAAGUAUAUUGUAUAUAAUAUUUGAAAUAAUGUUGAUUCGUUGUGGAAAUAUGUUUGUAAGGAAAGUUGUUGACAAUUUAAUAUAGUAUAAGAAGAAAAAAGUUAUCAACUAGAGAUGAGUAUGUAAAGUGAGGCUCACGAUUCAACGCGUAAAUAUAAGAUAUUUUAAGGCUCAAUAGUUAUGAUAUCUAUUUUAUUUUUUGUAUCCCAUAUAUUCAAAGAUACAGUAAAAUGAUUUUAUAUAUAUGAACAUAGCCGAUAGUAUCAUGUUAAAACCUUAUAUGACUCUUUGUGCCAAUUGAUUUUUAUCUUUAUUUUGUGUAUUAGUAAUUAGUAUUAAAGUUUUUACUAACAUAAUAAUUGAUAUAAAAGCUUUUUCCAAAAGAGUCAAACAGAGCAAAACACUUAUUAUAAAAAGAAUUUUGAUUGAAGGUGGAGUCAAUUAUUCUUUAUUCAACAUGUGAUGCAUACAGCGGGUACUUCAUAACUAAAGUAUAUAAGUGCAACAUCUCUUAUACAUUCUCAUUCAAUCUCGAAAGUGGAAAAUUUUAAAAGAUUAAAUGGUUCAAAUUUUCCGUGCAUAAAGGGGAUCAUGUCACAUAACCAAACCAUGGCAUACCAAAGCCAUGAUAUGGACUAAGAAUUUUGUUAAAAUAAGUUUCUUAUUAGGGCACAUUAUGUGACUAUUUAUGACAUAUCAAAGGAGUCAAGUGCAUCAAUAAAGACAUAGAAAAUUCAUGCAUCACAUGUACCACUAAGAGAAAAUUGACUUGAUAGAGUUUAGUCCAAAUAGGAGAUUGUUAAAAGGUGCAUCAAAUUCUUGAUUGAUAUAUAUUUUUUUUAUUAGAAAGGUUAUUAUAUAGAUAUUUCAAUAGACUAUUAAUCCUUUGUAAAAAUAGUUAUAUAAUGAGGAUGGUGAUUAAAAAUAUCUCUAUCAAUAUUUUGGAUUAUAAAAAGAAAAAAAAUAUGAGAAAAUGAUAAACAUAUAAAACUUGUACAAGUAGAUAGAGAUGUGAUGAAAGACACUUGAUGAAUGGAGGCCUUGUAUUUCAAGAUGUAAAUAUAUGGAGCAAAACUCUUAAUUAUAUGAUCAAAUGAUUCUCUCAUAUUCAUGAACAUAAGCAGGAUUGGGGAACCAUGAUAGAAUCUUAUAUGCCUCUCCAUGUAGAUUGAUCGAUGUUUAUCUUCAUAUUUUACACCAAUGAAUGACAUUGAAACUCUGAUUGAUAAAAGGGAAAAAGCAUGGCCUCCACCACAAGAAAAACAAGUAACCUCGGUCUAAAUCACUAGUCUACACCCCGAAGAGAGAACUAGCCAAACCUACUAAAAGAGAAACUUACCAAUUUAGAAAGAAAUCUUCCAUGAUAAAGGGCCCCUAAAAGUCCAAUUCAGUCAGGUUGUGAACAAAAACACCUUCAUGUCAAAACAGGAAUAGGUACCACCAAAAUGUAAAGGGAAAGAUGUAAACCAAGUCGAACUUUGGUAAACAAUGGUAAAGAUAGCAUGAUAGCUAAAAGCACUAAAGCUGUGCUUGGUAUGCAAAAAUGAAAAGUGGAAAUCAGCGUCUUAUUCUUUUUCUCCUUUAUUCACAUAUUAGGAUAACUAAUAUCUAAUGUUUUUUUUAUGUCUCAAAUUCUAUUCCAUGUUAUGGUAAACUUUCAUCUUGUUUAAGUGGAAGAGUAGGAUCACUUUUGUCUGGUUUGGGCUCAAGACGAUAAGCCUAUAGAGACUUCAUAUUGGGUUGAAUUGAUGCCCUUGAUCCGAUCAGUUCGUUAGAAAAAUCUGAAUUAUUAUAAGCAUUUAGAUAAAAUAAAUAAAUAAAUGUGAAACAGAGACUAUUCUCUGCACAACCUUGACCCUAGUUACUCAGUUUCACUGCUCACGGGACUAACCUCUCCAUUCAGUCGAAAUGAAUUGUAAUUUCUUUACUGGUAGCAGUAGUACUUUUCAUAGCAAAGAUAAUAGUAAAUAUGAAAUAUAAAUAUAUAGAAGGAAAUCUGGAUUGUAGAUAGCACCAUAAGUAACACUCAAUAUUUACUACAUAAUAAAAGAGAUAGUGUUACAAAGGUAGAGAAACCUACAAUGAGUACUCAUCACCAUUCUCAAACAGAAACAUAGCAGUGACUUAUACAUAGAACCUAUAGGCUCGCAGGGAAAGAGUAACAUGAUAAGUGCACAGCGGGUAGCAGCUCUUAUUUUACGUAUUACUCAAAAUCUCAAACUAACCAAAGUCACUCAGUUGGGAUGGGUAGGAGAUGGUGGUUUGUGGGGUGGCUUCUGGGUAGGAGCUGGUGGCUUCUUUGUUGGAGUUGAAGGAGGCGUAAUCUUCUGAGGUGGCUUGUAUGAGUCUUUGGCACUCUCUGCAGGAGGGUGCCCAGGGUUGUGACCGGAAGGAGGUGGCUUCUGUCCCUUUGGUGGUUUGCCUAAUGGGCUUGGUGGCUUGUGCUCCGGGAGUUGUUUCUCUCCCUCGAGUAGGUUUCGAGUUUUGUCAGAUGGCUUGUGUUCUGGUGGUGGCUUCUCUCCCUGGGGUGGUUUGCCGAAUGGGCUUGGUGGCUUGUGUUCGGGGAGUGGCUUCUCUCCCUUGGCAGGUUCAGUUGGUGGCUGGUGCUCCGUAGGUGGUUUCUUCACCGCCGGCUUCUCUCCCUGGAGAAGGUUACGAGUUUUGUCAGAUGGCUUCUGUUCUGGUGGCGGCUUCUCUCCCUGGGGUGGUUUGCCAAAUGGGCUUGGUGGCUUGUGUUCGGGAACUGGCUUCUCUCCCUUGGCAGGUUCAGUUAGUGGCUGGUGUUCCGUAGGUGGUUUCUUCACCGGCGGCUUGUGCUCCGGAAGCGGCUUCUCUACCUGGAGAAGCUUACGAGUUUUGUCAGAUGGCUUGUGUUGUGGUGGUGGCUUCUCUCCCUGGGGUGGUUUGCCAAAUGGACUUGGUGGCUUGUGUUCGGGGAGUGGCUUCUCUCCAUUGGGAGGUUUAGUUGGUGGUUGGUGUUCCGUAGGUGGUUUCUGAAGUGGGGGAUGCUUGGGGUAGUCAGCAAGAGACGAGGUAGUGAGAACCACCAGUCCCAGCAGCAAUACUAGCAAGGAUGUGGAAGACAUCUUUGAGUUCAGGCUGAGAUUUGUGCAAGGCUAGAAGAAUUAGGUGGCCUUUUAUAGCGGGCUGGACCCAACAACCAAAUGACACGUAUCAUGAUACACAUAUGUGUUAUAAGAUCCUUGUGGGUCCUACAGAAGUUGAAAACUUUGACAAUUGAGGUGUGAUUACAACUUUUGUCCCUAUUGCUUUCUCGUCAGCCGUUUUGCAAGAUUUUUGACAGGAGGACGGUAGUUUAAAAUAAUAAUUUCUAAAGUACUUUUGUGAAAAAAAAUAAUUCCAAACGUGGAUUUUAUCAAGUAAAAAAAACAAAAAAAAGUUAUUUUCUUUUAAAAUCUUUUCUUCAUGAUUCAUAUACCAAAAAAAGAAUUGUUUUCUGUAGGUAAAAUUUUUAAAAUUCAUUUUUAAAAAAAAAAAAUUACACACUAAAAUUAUCUCUUCAAGAAAAUAUUUUUUAAAUUUUAAAUAAUUAUUAAUUUAUAAUUAAUUUUUUAUUAAUUAUUUAUUAAAUUUAUAUGUGAAAAAUGCAUUUAUAAAAAACAAAUUUUUUAUUAAUUUAUUAAAUAAUUAUUUACAAAAUAAAUAAUUUUGCUUUAUUUUAAUUUUAAAAUUAAUUUUAUUAUAUAAAUUUUAAAAUUAAAAAUAUUAAUAUUUAAUUUAAAAUUUAACUAUAAAAGGAAUAAAAUAUAGAAAAAUAAAUUAAUUUAUUAUUCAAUAAAUUAAUUUUCAAUAAAAUUUUCAGCAUUAAGAGAUAAAUUUUUAAGUAUUAAUCAAUUUAAAAAAUAAUAAUAAUCAUUUGUAUACUAAGAUAUUUUAUUUAGUAAUUAUGAAUGAUAAACAACUAAAGUAAUUUGAAAAAAUAAUAAAAUAUUUAAAAAUAAUAAUUUAAUACACUUAAAAUUAGAAAUGAUUAACUAUUUUUUAUUAAGAAAAAAUUGAAGAAAUAUUUUGUUAUUUAAAAUUUUUUAUUUGUUUUCAAUUUUAAAUGUUAUAGGUUUCAAGAAAAUUGAUCAAAUAAAAAUUAAGAAGUCAUUUUUUCAAAAACUAUAUAUCUAAAUAAAAGCCUUGAAAUUCAAAUACACAAUAUCAUAAAUAUAAACACCAAGUCAAUCCUUAAUUAUCAAAUGUUUUUAAUAUUAAAGAAUCAAAAUCACCUACUAUCAUGAUAAUAAGAAAACCAAUAAUAUUGUUCAUAUAAAUACUAAAAAGCUAACAAAUAUCCCAAACAAUUAAUAAAGUAUCAAACAUGAUAAAAAGUCAAUUAUUAUCAUGAAUGCAAAAAAUCAAUAAUUUUGUUUAUAUGAACCAUCAACAAAGAAAAAAAAAAUCAAUAUCUAAAUAUUAAACAUAAUUUAUAUUUUUAUAAAUAUUAUUGUUGAUAAAUAUCUUAAUAAUUAUAAUUUUUUAUAUAUUAAAUUUAGUAAAUAAAAUUAAUUAAUUUUAUAAUAUAAGAUAUAUAUAAUAAUUAAGAGACUAUUUGUCCCAAACAAUUUAUUUAUUUUUUUUUUAGGAAAUUGUCUCUUCAAGAGACGACUUCUCCCAACAUUUUUAAAAAAAAAAAAAAAAACAUCUAUUCAAAAGACGAUUUCUCCUCAUUUUUUAAAAAUGAAUUUUAGAAAUCAUAUUUUCAAAAAUGAAUUUUAGAAAUCAUAUUUUCAAAAGACGAUUUUUUUUUAUAUAAAUUAUUUUUUAAAAUGACGAUUUUAAAAGGAAAUAACGAUCUCUCUCCUACUUGGCAAAAACUAUGGUAAAUUUGGAAUUAUUUCUUCCACAACCAUAGUUUAAGAAUUAUUUUUUUAUACUUUCGUAGACUUAUCAAAAAUCCCUAUUUUGCAUGUCUCAUUUGGCAUGACUUUCUUACCUAAACAAGCAUAUAUAUAUAUAUAUAUAUAUAUAUCACUUUUGUCUGGGUUGAGUCAAUGCCCUUAACUAAUUUGUUCAUUUGAAUAGUCUAAAUUAUUAUAAGCUUUUAGUUAAGAAAAAUGUGAAACAUAAAUUACACCUCUCGGCACAACUUCGACACUGGUUACUCUGUUUCAGUUUAUUCACACAAGAUUAUUGGUUCUAGGGUUUAUUUGGUUUUGGUUUGAUUCUAAUUGCUAAACUUUCUCAAGGAAGAUGUUAUAUAGGGAGUGAGAAACCUUCACUCCUGGCUACCUCCAAGAGAAGAGCAAGUGGUCUGAAUCAAAGAUAUACUGCUCACUUUUUCUUCUUCUAAGGACAGCUAUGACCUUGCUUUAAAAUGUUCGAAUAGCCUAAUGCAACCUCCCAUUUCUCAAGUCAGCUGAUGAUGUAAGUCACCUUGGCUUUCCACAUUCAUACGGUGAGGACGUUUGUGGGUGUAAUUCUCUUAACAGUUUUCAUUUUAUAUGGAAAAAUUCAUAAUUAAGGGUAAUUACUGAUUCCAUUUGACAGUGACCAAGUUUAAAAUAUUAACUCAUGUAUUAAAUGCACAUUAAAAAAUCAUGGAAUAAAUAUAUUUACUAAUAUAUAGUUCUUUUGUCAUGUUCUGUCACAGAAGCAUCGAACUUUCCCUAGAAAUUUUUGCAUGGUAUUCUGCUUAUGAUUUUGAAAACUCUAGGCACCUAAGGCCACUGAUUGCAUGGUUGGAUGAGGAGCUGCAUGAGAUUAUGUAUCCUGUUGCUCCUUAACUACAAAUAUCAGUUUUAAGUAGCAUCUCCAUGUGACAUUUUCCUGAUGCAAUUUCGCUGUCCACCAACAAAUGUCUCCAUGCAGCUAGAUGAAUUGUAAUUUCUUUGUUGUUAUCAACAGCUUUAAUUAAUCUUGAUAUAUAUAUAACUUAGUAGAAGUAAUUAAUCUAGAUUGUAGUUGCACUAAGAUAAUAGGCAAUAUUAUAACAGUGCCACAAUGCUCAUCGCCAAAUAGAAAGGUAGAAAAACUACAAUGAGUAACUCACACAACAUUCUCAAACAGGACAUAGCGGCGACUGAUACAUAGAACACUAUUGGCACUCAGGAAAUGAUAAGAUCAGUGCCCAGCAGGCAGCACGUCUUAUUUUACAUACUACUUAAAACUAACCAAAGUCAUUCAGUUGGGAUGGGUGGGAGAUGGUGGUUUGUGCGGUGGCUUCUUUCCUGGAACUGGUGGUUUUUUUGUUGGAGUUGAAGGAGGCUUAAUCGUCUGAGGUGGCUUGUAUGAGUCUUCAGCACUCUCUGCAAGAGGGUGCCCAGGGUUGUGACCAUAAUGAGGUGGCUUCUCUCCCUUAGGUGGUUUGCCAAGUGGGCUGGCUGGCUUGUGCUCCGGGAGCGGCUUCUCUCCCUUAGGUGGUUUGCCAAAUGGGCUUGCUGGCUUGUGCUCUGGGAGCGGCUUCUCUCCCCCAAGAAGUUUGCGGGUUUUGUCAGAUGGCUUGUGUUCUGGUGGUGGCUUCUCUCCUUGGGGUGGUUUGCCAAAUGGACUUGGUGGCUUGUGUUCGGGGAGUGGCUCCUCUCCCUUGGGAGGUUUAGUUGGUGGCUGGUGUUCCGUAGGUGGUUUCUCAACCGGGGGCUGGUGCUCCGUAGGUGGUUUAUGAACUGGGGGAUGCUUGGGGUAGUCAGCAAGAGACGGGGUGGUGAGAACCACCAGUCCCAGCAGCAACACUAGCAAGUAUGUGGAUGACAUCUUUGAGUUCAGGCUGAGAUUUGUGCAAGACUAGAAGAAUUAGGUGGCCUUUUAUAGCUGGCUGCACCCAACACUCACAUGACACGUAUCACGGUGACACAUGUGCUAUGGGAUCCAUUUGGGUCCUACAGAAGUUGAAAACUUUUGACUAUUGAGGUGUGAUCACAACUUUUGUCCCUAUUGCUUUCUCCGCAACCGUUUUACAUGUUUCCUUUGUGGUGUUUAAUAGUGUUUUUUUCCUUAAUUCUAAAUAAACCUUAAUACUUAAUAAUGUUAAAUAUUAGGUUAUUUAUUUUUAUAAUAUUUUAUUUAUAUUAAGUAUUAAAAAGUAAAGAAAAAUCAAUAUAUUUAUUUUUCUAUUUAGAAAAAACUAUAUAUUUUUAAUUUUUUUAUUUAAUAAAAAAUUUAUAAUAAAUCAUGAAAAAAUAGAAAAACAAACAACCUAAAUUUUAAAAAUAAAUUGUUUUUAGUAAAAACCCAAAAAAACAAACACCACCUUAACUAAACAAAUAUAUAUUAUAUUUAGUUAAGAAAGAGUAAAGUGUAUAUGGCUCAAAUCAAGGAAGAGAAACAGAAUAAGUGGAAGACAAUCAAUUGUGAUAAACAGAUAUAUUACAUGCAUGUAGUACUAGUGACUUUAUCAUUUACUUUUAUACAAUAGAUCAUCACACUCUUUCUUCUAAAUAUUUUGGAGGAUAAUGGUACAUGUUGCUUGUUGCCAAGUCAAAAUUGGUGGCAAAAAUCGGCAUGAUACGAAAGGAUUGGUGAAAAGAUUCACAUAGAUGGUGCUUUGUGCAAUGCAGUCUUGCUCUAAUUCAACAGAGUGGACCAUGGUGAUGUAUUUUAAAUUUUAAAUUUUAAAUUAAUGCAUGCUUCAAAGUUUUAACUAGAUGUCACUUCCAUGGAUUUUUGUUCAUUUAAUUGAGAACAGGAUAGGCUAUCAAACUUGAAGUAAUAUAAAAAUCCCUUCAUUACUGUAACUAAUGAAAGAUCAUUAUCUGCGCUUGGUAUUUUGCCAAGGUAUUUGCUGCUCUUUCUAGCCCUAUCUUACAGUUAAGGACAAUGUGAUCUAGUUAACCUUAGAAGCUAUUCCAUGUCAUAUACAAGAGAUCAAGCACAUUAUCUUUGGGCUCAGUUCAAAACUAUAAUAUAUGGGUGGGGUGGGGGCCUAUACCAUUUGCAUAUCACCACUAUUGGUUUAGUUUGGAAGGUUUCUUCUGGAAGAUUGCUUUCUGGAAACAUUUCAAAGAAAUAUAUCUUUUUGUUCUCUUGGUGACGAGCAGCGGCAAUCAAGUCUGUUGACAAACAACCGAGUUGAAAAGUUUGAAAAUUGGUCACAGCCCACGUCCAUGGUUAAGGAAAAGGUCACUGGAAGUGAUCCCUUCUGGGCCUGUUGGAAGCAGGGGAGGUUAACACACCAAGCAACAAAGAACAGAGAUAUGCUGCUACUGAUCUAUAUUUUUUAUUUGAUCAUAAGGCUAAAUUUAUACAGAUUGUGUAACAGAUAUGACCUCAAAAAAAAGCAUCAAAUCAAGCUACUUGUUGAACAAACAACUACCUUCUACAAAAUAACAUCAAAAUUUAACUUAAAAGCAAAAACAUAAAAAUAGCAACAGCAAAAAUAGAAACAUAAAAAUAGCUUCAGCAUUCUAGUAAUCUCGUUGACUUCAAUUGCAUGUGGUUGACGAUUUCAGCCUUUUCCUCAGCAGCUACUAAGGCAUAACUCUCAACACUCCUCCUUGACUUAGGAGGUGCAAACUCCAAGUCUUUCUCAUAGAAACUCAAAUCUUAUUUUAGGAAGAGCUUUAGUCAGAAUAUCUACAUUUUGACUGUCUGUAUUGCAGUAGACUAGUUGUAUAUCUCCUUCUUUCUGUACUUCCCUCAAAAAUUACAAUUUAAUCUUGAAGUGCUUUGUUUUACCAUGAAAAACUGGAUCAUUUGCAAUAGAUAUAGUGGCCUGGUUGUCUACAAACACCUUUGUACUCACUUCUUGCUUCAUAUCCAAAUCUGUCAGCAACUUUCCAAGCCAUAAGGCUUGAUUUACAGCUGUAACAGCAGCAAUAUACUCUGCCUCAGCUGUGGAUUGAGCCACGACUUCUUGCUUCCUUGAACUCCAUGAAAAAACACCAGAACCAAAACUAAAACAAUAGCCUGAAGUACUUCUCAUAUCGUCAACACAACCAGCCCAAUCACUAUCAGAAAAUCCAUGAAAAUUGAAACUUUGAACUUGACUGAACUUAAUGCCAUAAUCCACAGUGCCUUUAACAUUUCUUAUCACACGCUUUGCUGCCUGGAAAUGAAUUUCACUAGCACAAUGCAUGUAUCUCGAAAGUAGACUUACAGCAUGCAUUAUAUCGAGUCUUGUUGCAGUCAAGUACAUUAAGCAUCCAAUCAUGCUUCGAUAAAGUCCUUCAUCUACCUUUUUAGCACCGUCCUCCUUACAGAACUUCUCUUUCUGGUUCAUAGGGGUAGAUGUAGGUUUGCAUUCCUCCAUUUUGAAUUUCUUCAUAAUUUCUUUGGCAUAUUUUUGUUGGCAGAUGAAAAUCUCAUUCUGCUUCUGGUGUACUUCCAUUCCCAAGAAGUAAGACAUCUCAUCUAGGUCUGUCAUCUCAAAAACCUGCUCCAUUUCAGCCUUGAAUUUGUUCACAAACCCUGCAUUACUUCCUGUUACAAGCAAAUCAUCAACAUAUAGAGAAACAAUUAAUAUAUCUUCUUCAAUCUUCUUAAUGUAGAGUGUAAAUUCACUCAAGCUCUUGUGAAAGCCUAAAGUUAGCAGGUGAGUGUCAAUCCUGCUGUACCAAGCUCUAGGGGCUUGUCUUAACCCAUACAAGGCCUUCUUAAGAAGGUAUACUUUUUCUUCUUUUCCUUUGAUAGCAAAACCUUCUGGUUGUUCGACAAAAAUCUCUUCCUCUAAGUAGCCAUUCAAAAAUGCUGACUUCACAUCUAGUUGAUAAAUCUUCCAUUUUCUUUGAGCUACAAGAGCCAACAACAUCCUGAUUGUAUCCAAACGAGCUACUGGUGCAAAGGUUUCCGAAAAGUCAACACCAAACAUUUGUGCAUACCCUUUGACAACCAGCCUUGCUUUAUGUUUGUUUAUAGAACCAUCAGAGUUGAGUUUGGUUCUGUAAACCCACUUAACCCCAAUAGGUUUUUUGUGUGAAGGUCUAUCUACUAGCUCCCAAGUGUUGUUCUUGUCAAUCAUAUCUAGCUCCUCCUGCAUUGCAACCCUCCAUCUUUUAUUUUCAGCAGCUUCAACAAACCCUGCAAGUUCAAGAACAGCUAUAUUACACCUUUGAUAAAUAUCAAAAAGUGUCAUGAAACCUCUAACUGGAAGUUCAUCAACAUCUUCAUCAAUAUAUUGCUGAUUCUGCUCAUCCCAACUCCAUUUCUCCGUUUCCAAAAACUUAACAUCUCUACUUACCACAAUUUUACUAUUUUGUGGCAAGUAGAUUCUGUAAGCUUUUGAGGUGCUGUUGUAUCCAAUGAAAAUUCCUGGUUCUGACUUUUUAUCUAGCUUGUCUCUUUUCACCUGAGGAACAUAAGAGAAACACAAGCAACCAAAGGUCUUUAAAUUCAUUAGCAUAGGCUUAUAAGCAAACCAGGCCUCAAAAGGUGUCUGUUUCUGCAAUGCUUUUGUUGGUAGUCUAUUUAGCAAAAAUACUACUGUAUUUGCAGCUUCAACCCAAAAACUUUUUGGCAGCUCUUUCUCAUGCAAAAGACAUCUUGUCAUUGAUUACUACUCAAAAAGUGCUAUUUGAUAGCCUUUAAUUAAUCCUUUUUAACACUUUUGAGUAGUAGUUUAGGCCUUUUAACUCAAUUGGCAUGUUAAGGAUCCUUUAAAGCAAUUUUGAUCACUUUGUGCAAGUUUUGGUGUUUUUGUUAGUAUUUCGAUCACCAAAGCAAGUCAAGAAUGAGGAGAGCUAUGAGGAAUCUUGGGCAAAGCUUAGAAUUCAAUUGCCAAGAGUGAAUCCGGAUUGCAAGGAGAAAAAGCAAAGAGGAUCAGUCAUGGAGCAUAUUCUUGAUGACAGUCGUAGCAGCCACUUUUGGAUCACUUUCUGAAGUCCAAAUGAUGCAAGCUAUAUACCAUUUCAAAGCUCAGGAAGUCAACAAUCCAAUGCUUCAAACGGUGUGCGAUUCGGAAUUGAAACGAAGAAGUUGCAGCCAUUACAAGCCAGACACUCUAAAGUGUUGCGGAAUCAGCCAUGUGUUGCGAGAAUUUCGCAGCACUUUUGUACAGUAAGGUGUUUCUCCUUCUAACGAUGCACGAACCAUGCCGCGAGAAGGGAGCUGGAAACUUCAAGAUGGAAGCCAACUUUGCAGCCUAGUGAAGAUAGCUCGGUCUUGCAAGAUAAUUUCGCAGCCCUCUUGGGUGUCUGCGAAAUUUCGCAGGCCUCAUUUUUCACCUGCGAAAUGGCUCUUGAAGCCUCCCGAAGCUUGCUACCGACAUUGGGAGAUAUUUUCCAUUAGAUUUUUGUUGUCUAAAUCCCAAAAUACUCCUUGUAAACCACCAAUUACAUGAUUCCUUAGUUUUUAAGUUAGUAAAAAGACCAAAUAUCUUUGUAACAAUUAGUUUUAUAUUUUGUUGUUAUAAAUACCUCUCGGGAGCCUGUUCUCAGGGAGGAGUUCCUUCUGUAAACGUUUGGUAAGCAAGUAAAGUCUAUUUUCUUUCUACUGCCUUACCUUCUCACUUUGUAUUUUCAUUUUAUUUCUAAGUUAUGAAUUCUCUGAGGAGUUUUCCCCAAAGAAUGAGUAACUAAACCUCCAAUUCCUUGGAGCUAAGGUUGCCGGGGAAGGUUCCAAGUGCAAGAAUGCAAAGCUCUGUGGUUUUAGCUAGUAAUGAAGAGGAAGUGAAAUCCUUUAGUGAUUUCAAUGUUUUUAGUUAACUUAAAACACUUUGGAGUCACCUGGGCCAACACUUGGUAAGGCAAGUGAUUUCCAACCAUGGAAAUGCACUAGUUUACCCCUUGCGAGCCUCUGGUAGGUGACUUCAAGGUAGGAUUUUCUGGAAUUACCAACACUUGGUAAGCUUUUGGACUCCUAGGAGACAUCCAUUAGUUAUCUCUUGCGAGUUUGUGAAGGGAAUCCAAGGUUAAAGAUCACCUUGAAUGGUAAGUGCUCGUGAGAGGCAUGAACCAUUGCAAGUUGUAUCAGUGAGAGAAUUAAAGUGAAAUCUAAUUGAAGGAGUCUUUGUACAUCACCGGUUAGAGAAUUGACUAUAAGUUGAAUCUCUAAUGCGAGGAAAUGAACCAACUGACCAGAGCCGUGUCUUUUGCAUGAGGAACCACCCCAGUGAACCUAAAUCUCCAAGGAAUGUUUUUUUCUUCCUAAAUUAUUCCAAACUUCUGUUAAGUUAGUUAGUUUAAAUCUCAACCUUUACAAAUCAAAGUUUGUGUUUUAUUCCUUAAGCUAACCGUGAAAUGAAACAAGACCAAUUCACUUGGAAUUGGUAUCAUUGAUUGCCUGCAAAUCAUUCCCAGUGAACGAUCCUAGAGCCACUAUACUAUAGUAGCUUUGUAUUUGCUACCCUAGUGUAUGGUGUUAUAGGUAUAAAUUUUGUUGAUCACUUCCUCAAUCAAGGAGCACCAGCUGAACACAAAUCAGCUGAGACACCAAUUAGGCAUGAGUCAAAUGGCGCCGUUGCCGGGGAAUGAAUGUCAAGUUCAUUGUGAUACCAUUGUUGAGCACUUGUGAUUUUCAUCACAAGUUGGUAAAGUUUCUUUCACUUUACUAAUUUUCAUUCUUUCUUUGUUUAUUUACAAUCUAAGUUUAUCUUUUUAAAUUUUAGUCUAGUUUAAUUUUGUUGUUGUAGCCCUGUUUUUCUUGUUGUCCUCUGUUUUCAUUUUUUUUUUCAGGUAGAUACUAGUUGUGUAUGCCCAAGUGGAUACGAGACAUAGGAGGUAGGCUUGUUAAGUGUGAUACACCUCAGAAAGGAGAAUUUGAAGUAAUCUUGAAUAUCAUGGAGGCUGCACCUGAAGAUCAGCAUAGUCACCAAGGUCGUCAAGACAAUCUCAAUGAAUUCAGAUCAAUGAGGGACCGUAUGCAUCCACCUCGUAUGAGUACACCAUCAUGUAUAGUGCCCCCUACAGAGCAGCUAGUGAUCAGACCAUAUCUUGUUCCACUUCUACCAACUUUCCAUGGGAUGGAAAGUGAGAAUCCGUAUGCACACAUCAAGGAAUUUGAAGAUGUUUGUAAUACAUUCCAAGAAGGAGGAGCUUCAAUUGACUUGAUGAGGCUUAAGUUAUUUCCUUUUACUUUAAAGGAUAAGGCCAAAAUUUGGCUUAAUUCUUUAAGGCCAAGGAGUAUCCGCUCUUGGACUGAUUUACAAGCUGAGUUCCUUAAGAAAUUUUUUCCUACUCAUAGAACAAAUGGCUUGAAAAGGCAAAUUUCAAACUUCUCAGCUAAAGAGAAUGAGAAAUUCUAUGAGUGUUGGGAAAGAUACAUGGAAGCUAUAAAUGCUUGUCCUCACCAUGGCUUUGAUACUUGGCUAUUGGUGAGCUAUUUUUAUGAUGGUAUGUCCUCCUCAAUGAAGCAACUCCUCGAGACAAUGUGUGGAGGAGAUUUCAUGAGCAAAAAUCCAGAGGAAGCUAUGGAUUUCUUGAGCUAUGUAGCUGAUGUUUCAAGGGGAUGGGAUGAACCAACUAAAGGAGAAGUGGGAAAGAUGAAGUCUCAGUUGAAUGCUUACAAUGCAAAGGCUGGGAUGUAUAAUUUGAAAGAAGAUGAUGACAUGAAAGCAAAGUUGGCAGCUAUGACAAGAAGAUUGGAGGAGCUGGAGCUGAAAAGAAUGCAUGAAGUGCAAGCUGUUGCUGAAGCACCAGUGCAAGUGAAGCUGUGUCCCAAUUGUCAAUCAUUUGAACAUUUGGUGGAGGAGUGCCCUGCAAUUUCAGUUGAAAGGGAAAUGUAUAGAGAUCAAGCAAAUGUUGUUGGACAAUUUAGGCCCAAUAACAAUGCUCCUUAUGGAAAUACCUACAAUUCAAGUUGGAGGAAUCAUCCAAAUUUCUCAUAGAAGGCCAGAGCAACUCAAUACCAACAGCCGGAUCCACCAUCUCAGCAAUCUUCAAGUAUUGAACAAAUAAUAGCCAAUCUCAGCAAGGUAGUGGGAGAUUUUGUGGGAAAGCAAGAAGCCACCAAUGCUCGAGUUGAUCAAAGAAUGGAUAGAAUGGAGAGUGUGUUGAACAAAAGAAUGGAUGGAAUGCAAAAUGAUAUGAACCAAAAGUUUGAUAACAUCCAAUAUUCAAUUUCAAGGCUUACAAAUUUGAAUACACUGCAAGAAAAAGGAAGAUUUCCUUCUCAACCUAACCAAAAUCCCAAAGGUGUCCAUGAAGUGGAAAGCCAUGAGGGAGAAUCAUCACAGGUGAAAGAUGUGAAAGCUUUGAUCACUCUAAGGAGUGGUAAGAAAAUUGAGCAGCCAACACCCAUGCCACAUGUUGAGAAAGAAGAAGGGAUAAAGAAAGGAAAGGAAAUAGAAGAUAAAGACAGUGAGAUCAGUGAAGAAAAGAAGGACUCUGAUUCAACAAUCAAAGCAAUUCCAGAGAAAGAGCUUCUGAAGGAAGAAAUGCUGAAGAAAUCAACUUUUCCACCUUUUCCUCAAGCAUUACAGGGGAAAAAGGGGGUUAGAAAUGCAGCUGAAAUCCUUGAAGUCUUAAGACAAGUAAAAGUUAAUAUUCCACUGCUGGAUAUGAUCAAACAAGUUCCAACGUAUGCAAAAUUCCUAAAGGACUUGUGUACUAUCAAAAGAGGGGUUGACUGUAAACAAGAAAGCCUUCUUGACUGAGCAAGUAAGUGCAAUCUUACAAUGCAAGUCUCCUUUGAAGUACAAAGACCCUGGAAGUCCUACCAUUUCAGUCAUGAUUGGAGGAAAGGUAGUGGAGAAAGCCUUGCUAGACUUGGGAGCAAGUGUGAAUUUGCUUCCAUACUCUGUCUACAAGCAACUGGGACUUGGAGAGUUGAAGCCAACAGCAAUCACUUUAUCUUUGGCAGAUAGAUCAGUGAAAAUUCCAAGAGGAGUAAUUGAGGAUGUAUUGGUUCAAGUGGAUAAUUUCUACUAUCCAGUAGAUUUUGUUGUUCUUGAUACUGAUCCAACUGUAAAGGAAGCUAAUUUAGUUCCUAUCAUCCUUGGAAGGCCAUUUCUUGCAACUUCAAAUGCAAUCAUCAACUGUAGAAAUGGGCUUAUGCAACUCACUUUUGGUAACAUGACACUGGAUCUCAAUAUUUUCUAUAUGUCUAAAAAGCAAAUCACUCCUGAGGAAGAAGAAGGUCCAGAAGAGCUAUGUAUUAUUGAUACUUUGGUGGAGGAGCACUGCAAUCAGCAUAUGCAAGAUAAGUUGAAUGAAAGUCUUGUGGAUAUUGAGGAAGGUUUUUCUGAAUCUCCUAUUGGGCUUGCUACUCUACAAAGUUGGAGAAAGAUAGAAGGAAUUCUACCUUUGUUCAAUGAAAAAGAGGAGGCAACUGUUGAAGAAGAAAUUCCAAAACUCAAUUUGAAGCCUUUACCUGUGGAGCUGAAAUAUACAUAUCUUGAAGCAAAUAAUCAAUGUCCUGUUGUGAUAUCCUCAUCUCUGACCAGUCAUCAAGAGAAUUGUUUAAUGGAAGUUCUCAUGAGGUGUAAGAAGGCAAUAGGAUGGCAAAUAUCUGACUUGAAAGGCAUUAGUCCUUUAGUUUGUACUCAUCAUAUAUAUAUGGAGGAGGAAGCAAAGCCAAUUCGUCAAUUUCAAAGAAGGUUGAAUCCUCAUCUACAAGAGGUGGUGCGAGCUGAGGUGCUGAAGCUACUUCAAGCAGGAAUCAUUUACCCUAUUUCUGAUAGCCCUUGGGUGAGUCCUACUCAAGUGGUACCAAAGAAGUCAGGGAUCACAGUGAUUCAAAAUGAAAAAGGGGAAGAAAUUACUACACGCCUCACUUCAGGUUGGAGGGUGUGUAUUGAUUAUAGAAAGCUGAAUGCUGUCACCAGGAAGGAUCAUUUUCCAUUGCCAUUUAUUGAUCAAGUGCUGGAGAGAGUCUCUGGACAUCCAUUUUAUUGUUUCUUGGAUGGGUAUUCAGGCUAUUUUCAAAUUGAAAUUGAUUUGGCAGAUCAGGAAAAGACCACUUUUACAUGUCCAUUUGGAACAUUUGCUUAUAGAAGAAUGCCUUUUGGUUUAUGCAAUGCACCUGCUACAUUUCAAAGAUGUAUGUUGAGUAUUUUCAGUGAUAUGGUGGAGAGAAUUAUGGAGGUUUUCAUGGAUGACAUCACCGUAUAUGGAGGUACAUUUGAGGAGUGCUUGGUUAAUUUGGAAGCAGUUCUUCAUAGAUGCAUUGAAAAAGAUUUGGUGCUGAACUGGGAGAAAUGCCAUUUUAUGGUACGUCAAGGAAUUGUCCUUGGCCAUAUCAUCUCUGAAAGAGGCAUUGAAGUUGAUAAAGCAAAGGUGGAGCUUAUUGCCAAAUUACCAUCUCCAACAACUGUGAAAGGAGUAAGACAGUUCCUUGGCCAUGCAGGGUUCUAUAGGAGGUUUAUAAAAGGUUUUUCAAGUCUUUCAAAACCUCUUUGUGAGCUGUUAGCUAAGGAUGCUAAGUUUAUAUGGGAUGAAAGGUGUCAGCAUAGCUUUGAUCAACUGAAGAAGUUUUUAACAACAACUCCAAUAGUGAGAGCCCCUAACUGGCAAUUACCUUUUGAACUGAUGUGUGAUGCCAGUGACUUUGCUAUAGGAGCUGUGCUUGGCCAAAGAGAAGAUGGGAAGCCCUAUGUGAUUUACUAUGCAAGUAAAACACUAAAUGAAGCUCAGAGGAACUACACAACUACAGAGAAAGAAUUGUUAGCUGUGGUAUUUGCUUUGGACAAAUUUCGAGCUUAUUUAGUGGGGUCUUUCAUCAUUGUCUUCACUGACCAUUCAGCCUUGAAGUAUUUAUUGACAAAGCAAGAUGCAAAAGCAAGGUUGAUUAGAUGGAUUCUAUUGUUACAAGAGUUCGAUCUUCAAAUCAAAGAUAAGAAAGGAGUGGAGAAUGUAGUAGCUGACCACUUGUCAAGGUUAGUUAUAGCACAUAAUUCCCAUCCCUUGCCUAUCAAUGAUGAUUUUCCUGAAGAAUCACUCAUGUUCCUAGUGAAAACUCCUUGGUAUGCUCAUAUUGCUAAUUAUUUAGUAACUGGGGAAAUUCCAAGUGAGUGGAAUGCACAGGACAGGAAGCACUUCUUUGCCAAAAUUCAUGCUUAUUAUUGGGAAGAGCCCUUUCUCUUUAAGUAUUGUGCAGAUCAGAUUAUUAGGAAGUGUGUCCCUGAAGAUGAGCAGCAAGGGAUUCUAUCUCAGUGUCAUGAGAAUGCAUGUGGAGGCCACUUUGCCUCUCAGAAAACAGCCAUGAAGGUAUUACAAUCAGGGUUUACUUGGCCAUCUCUUUUCAAAGAUGCCCACAUCAUGUGUAGAAAUUGUGAUAGAUGCCAAAGGCUUGGAAAGCUAACAAAAAGAAAUCAAAUGCCUAUGAACCCCAUUCUGAUAGUUGAGAUAUUUGAUGUUUAGGGCAUUGACUUCAUGGGACCUUUCCCAAUGUCUUUUGGUAAUUCUUACAUUUUGGUGGGGGUAAAUUAUGUUUCUAAAUGGGUUGAGGCAAUCCCCUGUAAGCAAAAUGAUCACAGGGUGGUUCUCAAGUUUCUUAAAGAGAACAUUUUCUCAAGAUUUGGGGUGCCCAAGGCCAUAAUCAGUGAUGGAGGAGCUCAUUUUUGCAACAAACCUUUUGAAGCUCUGUUAUCCAAGUAUGGAGUGAAGCAUAAGGUAGCCACACCUUAUCAUCCUCAGACAUCCGGGCAAGUUGAGCUAGCUAACAGGGAAAUAAAGAACAUUUUGAUGAAAGUGGUGAAUUCCAACAGAAAAGAUUGGUCUAUUAGGCUUCAUGAUUCAUUGUGGGCAUAUAGAACAGCUUAUAAAACUAUUCUUGGGAUGUCUCCCUAUCGUCUUGUCUAUGGCAAAGCAUGCCAUCUCCCUGUGGAAGUUGAAUACAAAGCUUGGUGGGCAAUAAAGAAGCUGAAUAUGGACUUGAUCAAGGCCGGAGAAAAGAGAUUUCUAGACCUUAAUGAGAUGGAGGAAUUAAGAAAUAAUGCUUAUAUCAAUUCCAAAGUUGCAAAACAGAGGAUGAAGAAGUGGCAUGAUCAACUCAUCUCCAACAAGGAAUUUCAGGAAGGGCAAAAAGUUUUGAUGUAUGACACAAGACUCCAUAUCUUUCCUGGGAAGCUCAAAUCAAGGUGGAUUGGUCCAUUUGUUAUUCACCGAGUAUAUUCCAAUGGAGUGGUGGACUUAUUGAAUUCCAAUGGCAAGGAUAGCUUUAAAGUCAAUGGAUAUCGUCUCAAGCCGUUCAUGGAGUCAUUCAAAUCAGAAAAGGAGGCAAUCAACCUCCUUGAACCUCAAAAAGCCUAAGUGAAAAGGGUUUGCUGGACGUGGCUUUACCACAGUCCAAAAUUUUUGUAAAUUUUGUAAAUUUUCAAGUUGUUUCUAUACUUUUGAUUUUAGUUUUUGAUCUUAAAUCAUGUUUUUAGGUGUGUUUUAAUCGUUUUAAAUGAUCCCAGGUGGAAGAAAUUUCAAGGGGAUUGAAAGAAAAAAAAUCGGGUCGAAAUUGGAGCCGAAACAGAGCAAAAACAGGGGAAAAACAGAGCUCUGCGAAAUUUCGCAGGGUGAAGGAAACCUCUGCGAAAUGAGCAUUUUGUUGCGAAACCAUUCCGCAGCACUGUAGAAGCCUCUGCGAGUGUAUUUCGCAGCUGCGAAAGUGAAUUUGGCACACGAGUGCCACUUCGCAGUACAGUAGCAUCCAUUUGGCAGCUGCGAAACUCAUUGCGAAAUGGAAAAGCGUGAUUUCGCACCAAAAGUCCCAUUCCGCAGGGUAUUUCGCAAUUGCGAAAGUGGUUUUGGCACACGAGUGCCACUCCGCAGCACAGUAACAUCAAUUUCGCAGCUGCGAAACUCACUGCGAAGUUGCUGCGAAAAUGGCAAGUUGCUGCGAAAUUGGCGUUUAGUUGCGAAACUUAAACUGACCCCUGAGCUUCCGUUUUUCCUAUUUAUACCGGUCAAAAGUGCUGCGAAAAGGGUUUCAAAAAUCAGAGCACCAUUCUCGCAGCCCCUUCAUCUUCUUCGCCAAGCCACGCCGUCCGAACCUCCGGUCGUCUUCUCCGUUUAGCAGCGCCGGCCAAAGAUCGAUAUUCCAAAAUGGCACGAACGCGAGGGGCAAAAUCUUCAUCCCCUUCGAAUCGCAAAAGGAGUCUGCGAAAGGAGCCAAGUCCAGGUUCUGCUCCAGAACCUGCUCCAAAGCCUUCGCCGUCGAGACCACAACCUUCUCCAGUGAAGCCGGCGCCACUAAAGCCGCCGGCAAGACGAUAUUUGACAAGGUCAGGCGGUUGGCCAUUGAAGAAGAAGCCCAGGGUUGAGAGCUCUGAACCAAUUGAUUUGACUGAGCAAUCCCCUGAGCAGUCCCCAAAUCCUUCACCAGUUCAAACUCCAGUGCCGUCACCGGUUCCCUCGCCAAUUCCCUCACCUGAAGCAACUCCAAUUCCAUCGUCGGUACCAUCUCCGGCACCCCAAGAAAAAGCUCAGGAGCCUCAAGCGCCAAUUCCAGAGCCCCAAAUUGCAGCUGAAGCACCUCUGGAAGAAGUGAUCCGAAGGCCAAUGCUGCCCCAGCCCCCAAUCGAAGGAAACUUGGAUUGUCGAACACGGGCAUUCCAUUCUGAGCUUUGCUUCGAUUUAACAGCAUUCAGAGUGAGGCCAGAGCUUGCCCAAUCCUUCCAGCUGCUGAGGAGAUAUCAUAUGGAGCAUCUGCUAGCUCCAAGGGAUUUUUUCUAUCCCCGGGUAGUCACGGACUUCUACCAGACCAUGACAACCAAAGAAGUAAGAAAUCCAACUCUGAUCCAUUUCAUAAUUGAUGGAAGGCAUGGUAUUUUGGGAGCAAGACACAUUGCUGAAGCUCUGCAAAUUCCUUUUGAGCCAACCCAAUUCGACAAUUUUAAAGCUUGGGUAAAUCCUACUGAGUUAGAGAUGGUUCGCACACUAACCAGAGGAGCUGCAAAUCGAUCACACCUGUUGAGGGGGGAGCUACCUCCAGUGAUGUUUUUGAUUGAUGCCUUUUUGAGGCAUAAUAUCUAUCCCCUGCAGCAUUGGACCCAAAGAAGGGGAAUUCUCCUGGAAGCUUUGUACAAGAUGUCAGAAGGAUUCUUCUUUGGGCCCCAUCAUCUUAUCAUGGCAGCCCUUCUAUACUUUGAGGAAAAGGUUCACAAGAAGAAACUUCAAAGAGCAGAUUGCAUUCCACUCCUCUUCCCAAGGCUGCUAUGCCAAGUUUUGGAGCAUCUCGGAUACCCCUCUGAGCCUCAGCAGGAAAGAAAGAGAAUAUGCCGUGAGCCAUUUACUCUUGAUAAAUGGAAUAAUAUGACGGCCUACAAAAUUGAUCAGCCUGGGCAGCCUCAGCCAGCAGCAAGGAGAGCCUCCCCAAGACAUGCACCUGAAGGUAUAACACUUGCUACUCCUGCCAUCCCUCGAGCUUCACCAGCUGCACCUGCUGCAUCACAGCCAUCCACAUCAGCUGAGCCGAGGAUGGCCAUCCCUAUAUCCGAAUAUCGAGAGCUGUGCCGAGCAUUGGAGACUCUUACAGCUUCCCAGAGCAAUCUUGCUCAAGAGUUGGCAGCCAUCAAAGCAUGCCAGGAGCAGAUGUUAGCCUCUCAGGCUCAACAAGCUGCCAUCCUAAGGCAGCUUCAAGUCCAUUUCGAUCUGCCACAAGCUGUAGAGCCCUCCACUGAGACUCCACCAGAGCCACACUCUCAGCCUUCAGAGUCUCUUCCUCCAGAGCCAGAAGCCCCAACUGAUCCACCUACAGAGGAGGCGGAUCCUUCUGCUUAGCACCAUCACCCCACUCAUCAGACAUUAUAUAUAUUUGCUGUUUAUGUUUUUAUGCAUGUUUGUUUUGUUUUAGUUGAAAUGAAAUCCCAGUAUUUUGGUACUAUAUAUGGGAUUCCUUGUGAUUACUUGUCCUUAGCAUUGUACUCGAAUGAAUUGAAAGUAAUACAAGUUGAAUUUUUCUUGUUAAAAGUUAGCAUUAAAAUUCUCCUUAUUUCCUUUUCUCACAUAUUCUAUUCUUUUUGAAACAUGUGGUUUUCCCCAAUCAAUAUUCGAAUUUGAUAUCAGCAUGGAGGUACCACUUCCUCCCUUUUAUUACAGUCACUCAAAUCACAUUGAGGACAAUGCUCAGUUCGGUUGGGGGGUAUGAGGAAGGAAGUAUUCUAAAUCUUUUUGGUAUUGCAAUUAUAUUGGUUAAUUAGUUGUAGAUUUUACGUUUUACUCUUGUUACUCUAUUCUCCAUGAAUUUUGAGGAAAAAUUUUCAAAUUAAACCAAGAGAAAUUGAACUGUUGUUUUUCACUUGACUUAGAGUAUGGAUUAUGCUUACUAAAGUGGUUCAAUUGUUGAAACUUCUACUGAAAUUGAAUUGAGUUCUUCCAUUUUAAGCUAUCCACACACUGUGCACAUUAGUUUCUGAUUAUAAGAUGAAAAGCUAUUUCCCUCUUGACUUAGGAUAAUUUUGGGACUUGGUAUAUUUGACCUCAUUUGAUAAAAAUUGAAACACCCUGCAAAAGGCCAAUGAGCCUUUGAAAUAAAGAAAGAUGUUUGCUUGCCUUGAAACCCGAGCAAGGUCUGAGGGGCAUAUGGUGAAAGCCUUUAAAGCCUGGUGCCCUAAGCCUUAAUUGGUUGGGAGUCACCGACCUCAAUGCUCGUUACAAGGGUGAAUAGGUAGAGCUAGCAUAUGGUAGAUGCUUGGGUAUUAGAAAUUCAUUCUUAAAAGUCCAGGGAAAAAUCCGAGGAGUUAGUGGUUGAAAGAUCCUUAAAACUUGGUGCCCUAAACCUUAAUUGGUUGGGAGUCAUCGAUGGACCCCCAUUACAUGGACAAGUCAGAAAGAGUACCCCAUAAAGCUACUUUAAAAAAAAAAAAAAAAAAAAAAAAAAGAUGAUGAAAGUGUGUUCUUUUCUUAUUGAUUUUGGUCAGAUUGCUAAAGUGUUGAAAAGAGAUAGGUUGGGGGGGGAGACUAGUUUAGCAUAUUAUUCUCGGAAUCUAAGGAACCAAUACACAUAGAUUUUUGUGGAAGAUUGAAGUUUAGUUCUUAGAAAGUGAAAUGAUUUUAAAACUUCAGUUUGCAUAAUGCACUCCCUUGAUUGACAGUGUUUAGCAUAGGUGUUAUGACUCUUGUUGAGAUUUGGGUUUGUAUUUCUUUAAUGAUUCAUGUGAGAAGUAAAUCAUCAUGCCACUUAAGAAUUAUUUUCCUUUCAGCAUGAUGUUGUAAAUUUUAGAUUAGUUUGCUAUUUAUUUUUAUUUUUCUCUCCUUUAUUGCUAAGGGACUAGCAAUAUGUCGGUUGGGGGGAGUGAUUACUACUCAAAAAGUGCUAUUUGAUAGCCUUUAAUUAAUCCUUUUUAACACUUUUGAGUAGUAGUUUAGGCCUUUUAACUCAAUUGGCAUGUUAAGGAUCCUUUAAAGCAAUUUUGAUCACUUUGUGCAAGUUUUGGUGUUUUUGUUAGUAUUUCGAUCACCAAAGCAAGUCAAGAAUGAGGAGAGCUAUGAGGAAUCUUGGGCAAAGCUUAGAAUUCAAUUGCCAAGAGUGAAUCCGGAUUGCAAGGAGAAAAAGCAAAGAGGAUCAGUCAUGGAGCAUAUUCUUGAUGACAGUCGUAGCAGCCACUUUUGGAGCACUUUCUGAAGUCCAAAUGAUGCAAGCUAUAUACCAUUUCAAAGCUCAGGAAGUCAACAAUCCAAUGCUUCAAACGGUGUGCGAUUCGGAAUUGAAACGAAGAAGUUGCAGCCAUUACAAGCCAGACACUCUAAAGUGUUGCGGAAUCAGCCAUGUGUUGCGAGAAUUUCGCAGCACUUUUGUACAGUAAGGUGUUUCUCCUUCUAACGAUGCACGAACCAUGCCGCGAGAAGGGAGCUGGAAACUUCAAGAUGGAAGCCAACUUGGCAGCCUAGUGAAGAUAGCUCGGUCUUGCAAGAUAAUUUCGCAGCCCUCUUGGGUGUCUGCGAAAUUUCGCAGGCCUCAUUUUUCACCUGCGAAAUGGCUCCUGAAGCCUCCCGAAGCUUGCUACCGACAUUGGGAGAUAUUUUCCAUUAGAUUUUUGUUGUCUAAAUCCCAAAAUACUCCUUGUAAACCACCAAUUACAUGAUUCCUUAGUUUUUAAGUUAGUAAAAAGACCAAAUAUCUUUGUAACAAUUAGUUUUAUAUUUUGUUGUUAUAAAUACCUCUCGGGAGCCUGUUCUCAGGGAGGAGUUCCUUCUGUAAACGUUUGGUAAGCAAGUAAAGUCUAUUUUCUUUCUACUGCCUUACCUUCUCACUUUGUAUUUUCAUUUUAUUUCUAAGUUAUGAAUUCUCUGAGGAGUUUUCCCCAAAGAAUGAGUAACUAAACCUCCAAUUCCUUGGAGCUAAGGUUGCCGGGGAAGGUUCCAAGUGCAAGAAUGCAAAGCUCUGUGGUUUUAGCUAGUAAUGAAGAGGAAGUGAAAUCCUUUAGUGAUUUCAAUGUUUUUAGUUAACUUAAAACACUUUGGAGUCACCUGGGCCAACACUUGGUAAGGCAAGUGAUUUCCAACCAUGGAAAUGCACUAGUUUACCCCUUGCGAGCCUCUGGUAGGUGACUUCAAGGUAGGAUUUUCUGGAAUUACCAACACUUGGUAAGCUUUUGGACUCCUAGGAGACAUCCAUUAGUUAUCUCUUGCGAGUUUGUGAAGGGAAUCCAAGGUUAAAGAUCACCUUGAAUGGUAAGUGCUCGUGAGAGGCAUGAACCAUUGCAAGUUGUAUCAGUGAGAGAAUUAAAGUGAAAUCUAAUUGAAGGAGUCUUUGUACAUCACCGGUUAGAGAAUUGACUAUAAGUUGAAUCUCUAAUGCGAGGAAAUGAACCAACUGACCAGAGCCGUGUCUUUUGCAUGAGGAACCACCCCAGUGAACCUAAAUCUCCAAGGAAUGUUUUUUUCUUCCUAAAUUAUUCCAAACUUCUGUUAAGUUAGUUAGUUUAAAUCUCAACCUUUACAAAUCAAAGUUUGUGUUUUAUUCCUUAAGCUAACCGUGAAAUGAAACAAGACCAAUUCACUUGGAAUUGGUAUCAUUGAUUGCCUGCAAAUCAUUCCCAAUGAACGAUCCUAGAGCCACUAUACUAUAGUAGCUUUGUAUUUACUACCCUAGUGUAUGGUGUUAUAGGUAUAAAUUUUGUUGAUCACUUCCUCAAUCAAGGAGCACCAGCUGAACACAAAUCAGCUGAGACACCAAUUAGGCAUGAGUCAGUCAUCUCCAUUAUUGUUUUAUUUUUUCUUUCCACCACCCCAUUUUGUUGUGGGGUGUAUGGUGCAAUGAGCUGGUGAUCUAUGCCUGCAUCUUCACAAAAUUUGUUGAAUUUUUCUGAAGUAUAUUCUGUACCAUUAUUCGACCUUAUAACCUUGAUUCUGUAUUCACUUUGAUUUUCAACCAUGGCCUUAUAUCUCAAAAACACAUCAGCAACCUCAGCUUUGUAAGUGAGAAAAUAAAUCCAACAAAAUCUUGUGAAGUCAUCAAUAAAUGCAAUAUAGUACUUACUCCCUUUCAAAGAUGGUGUCUUUUGAGGUCCACUCACAUCUGUGUGAACCAAUUGUAGUUUCUGUGUUGAUUUCCAUGCUGCUUUUUGAGGAAAAGGAAGUCUUGUUUGCUUCCCAUAUUGAUAGGCUGCACAUAUAGGAAGUUCUUCUUCCAAAUCAGGGAGUCCUUCUACAAUCUAAUUCUUCUUCAUGUAGAGCACGGUAUUGUGGUGGAAAUGCCCUAAUCUUUUAUGCCAAAGCAUUGUAUUGUUCUCGUGUUGUGCAGCAGUAAUUUGCUCAUCUUCUAACAUAUUUAAGGCAAAACUUUUGCCUUUCAUUUUUAUGUUGAACACCUCUUUGCCUUCAGCAUCCUUGAUUAUGCAAUUUUUGUCUUCAAAACAAACUUUAAACCCUUUCUCAACAAGCUGUCCAACACUUAGCAAAUUUUGGUCAAUGUCAGGCACAAACAAAACAUCAGAAAUGAGCUUUAAACCUGUUAGGCUUUCAAUAGCUAAUGUUCUUUUACCUUUUACUGGAAUAUACUCACCAUUUCCUAUUCUAACUUUGGAAAUAGUUGUCCUAUCAAUCUCCCUAAAGCGAUCUUGAUCAUGUCAUGUGGUUUGUGCAACCACUGUCCACGAGCCAGCUUUCAGAGGUGCUACCGUUUGCAAAACAUGUUGCUGAAAAUAGUUGUUCCUCCUGGUAUUGUUCAGCUGCUACAUUGGUUUCUCCCUGCUGCUGCUGAGUUCUACAGAUCCUUUCUAUGUGUCCAUGUCUACCACAUUUGUUGCAUUUCACAUCUGGUCUCCACCAACAUUUUUGUUGAGGAUGAUUUGUUUUCUUGCAAUGAGGACAGGGUGGAUAGGUUCCAGUUUUUUUAUUGUUGUUGUUGCUUGGCUUAUUGUUGUUCUUUUUGUUCUUCCUCCUUCUUGUGUUACCUUCAUUGGUCUGUGUCUUUGCUUGAAAAGCUCCUUCUACAGAACUUCCUUGCCUCAUGAGUCUUCUUUGUUCCAAAGCUUGUAAAGCAUUUAGUAGUUCUGCCAAGGUGAUACUUGACAAAUCUUUUGUGUUUUCCAAAGAAGAAAUUGUAGCUUCAUAUUUUUCAGGAAUUGUGACAAAAUUGUUUUGAACAACUCUUUCAUCAGAAAACUCUUUACCUAGCAACCUCACCUUGUUUGCUAUGGUAAGAAGUUGUUCUGCAUAAUCUUUUAUGGUUUGAGACUCUUUCAUCCUCACCAUUUCAAAUUCUCGAAUUAGAUUCAUUACCUGCACAUUUCUGACUCUUUCAUUGCCUUGAUAUUCUUCCCGUAGAUGCUUCCAGAUUUCUGCAACAGAUUCAAGUUGCAUGAUUCUGGUGAGAAUUAAUGGUGAGACUACAGAAAAUAAGCAAGCCUUGGCCUUAGCCUUCCUCGUCUUUUUCUCCUUAUGGUUUUUCAUCUGUGACACAGUUGGAUUGGCUCCAAGUGGAGAAAUUUCAUAAUCUUCCUCUAUUGCUUCCCAGACAUCAAGAGCCUGUAGAUGAACAGUCAUCCUGACAGCCUAAGUUUGGUAAUUUUCUCCAUUGAAGACUAGUGGUGCUGCUGUGAAGCUUGCUUCUUCCAUUUCUGCAAGGUUUUCAGAUUCAGGUUUGGUAUACGGUGUUUAGGCUCACACACCUCACUGGUCCCUCAAGACAAAAAUUGCUCUGAUACCAAACUGUUGGAAGCAGGCGAGGUUAACACACCAAGCAACAGAGAACAGAGAUAUGCUGCUACUGAUCUAUAUUUUUUAUUUGAUCAUAAGGCUGAAUUUAUACAGAUUGUGUAACAUAUAUGACCUCAAAAAAAGCAUCAAAUCAAGCUACUUGUUGAACAAAAAACUACCUCCUACAAAAUAGCAUCAGAAUUUAACUUAAAAGCAAAAACAUAAUAAUAGCAACAGCAAAAACAGAAACAUAAAAAUAGCUUCAACAUUCUAGUAAUCUCAUUGACUUCAAUUGCAUGUGGUUGACGAUUUCAGCCUUUUCCUCAGCAGCUACUAAGGCAUAACUCUCAACAGGGCCUCUUAAUUUCCAUUCUGGCAUCUAUAUGACCUGAUAAAUAGAAAGAAAAAAAAACAGAAGAAAAGCGGCACCUGGGUUCAUAGUAAGCAUCAAGACAGGAUGCUGAAAGAAGGGAGAGAGGAGAUUGCAAGUCCAAUCCUGAUAAAAUAUCAACAAAGAGUAUUAAAUGGGGCCAACAUAAAGACCCAUUAAGGUCAGCAGAUGGCAUGGCAUUUUUCUCCUUAAGUUUUCCAUGAUUAGGCUUGAAGUCAAAAUUUCACAUGUAAAUUUGUAUUUCUACAUUUCCCACUGACGACACCCAACUUCAACUUGAGUUAGAAUAACAUUGUGUGAACUUAUCUGGCCCUCAAAAUUUACUGUGAAGUGCUUUCUGCGUGUGAAGAUUCAGAAAAGCACCAAGGGAACAUGUAUGGUCUGCCUUUUUCUGAUGUUAUGUUUGUCUCUAAUUCUGUUCCAUGUCAUGGUAAAUGUUCACAUUGCUUGUAUGGAACACACCAGGAUCACUUUUUCAGGUUUAGGGGGAUACAAAAGGCUUCAUAUUGGGUUCAAUGCUUUUAAUGUGUUCAUUGGACAAAUCUGAAUUAUCAUACGCAUUUAGAUAAGAACAAUAAUGUGAAACCCUAGUUACACCUCCCCUGCAUAACCCCAACCCUGCUUGCUCUAUUUCAGUUUACUCACAAGUUUUACUGGUUCUUAUAAGUCAAGAAAAGGCAACUGAUGUUGGAUCGACUCUCUUCCAUGUAAAAAAUGCAACUUUUAUACAUAUAAAAGAACUUCUUCCCCUCACCAAUGUGGGAUUUCAUAGAUUUAUUCUGGAAACACAUCAAAGGAACAUCUUUUCUCUUGGGUGACCCUAAGUGGUGAGUCAGAUCAUUUGCAUGCCAUUGAGUUGCACAGUUGGAUAAAUGCACCUGCCUCCUGGGCUCCAGAGUUAAAAGGGUGGAUCCCUGGAUUGCAACCCUCUUGGCAUCUUGGUUUCUAUUCCAACAUCCACAUGACUUGACAAAACAAAAAACAGAAUAAAAUCAGCACUAUAUUCAUGCUAAGCACCAAUACAUGAUGGAAAUCAUUGCUUAAAGAUUUGGGGUCGUUUUAGGUUUUGACUGCCUCCUACCACCUCACCUAAUGACAAGUUUUUAUGCUUACAAAUCAAAUAUCGUUCUUCAUUAUAUUAAAAUCAUUUUAAGAUUUCAGAUCCAUCUGCUAAUUAUGAUUAUGAUAACAUUUAUUCACCUGUGCUUCUCAUUUUCGACACACAAGGCAUCUAGGUUUGCAGGAUUUCCUUAUUAGAUGAGAUAAAUGAGUACGUAUGGUUAUGUAUCCAGCAUUCAUUAACCAUGGUAUGUGACAUUUAGAAUUAAGAUAGCAAGCAAACUUUCCCUGCAGCUAGAGUAAAUUGUGAUUUCUUAGCCUCUAUGAGUGGUUCCCAAAUCAAAUUAACAUAGUGAAAUAUACGUAGUCCAGUGAAAGGAAAUGUAAAUUAUAAACUAACAGCACUACACUACUGGUAACAAUCGAUACUCUCUAUAUAAUGCAAUAAACAAUGUCACAAUUGCCUACAAGCAAGGCACAAACACUAGAACAAGUAAAGCACAAACCUUUCCCAACAGUUCCCAGUGACUGAUGCAUAUCAUACCCUCAACUCACAGAAGGGGAUGAUAUCAGUGCACUGCAGCACUUAUUUUACACAUACUACCACUACUACUACUACUACUACUACUCAUUAGCCAAAGUCACUCAGUUGGGAUGAGUGUGAGGUAGAGGUUUGUGGGGUGCUAUGUGGAAAGGAGUUUGGCUUCUUCUCAGGAGAUGGUAGCUUCUUUGCAGGAGUUGAAGGAGGCUUAAUCUUCUGUGGUGGAUUGAUUGUAUGAGUCUUUGGCACUCUCUUCUCUAGUACAGGUGAAUACCCAGGGGUGCAUCCAUAAUGCGGUGGCUUCUAUCCCUUAGGUGGUUUGCCAAAUUCAAAAUCGAAGGAUUUUUUUUUUUUAAGUAUACGUAUCUUUGAAAGCUUUUAUUUUGUAUGGCAAAUGGAAUGAGAGGAGCAGUCAUAUUCUAUUUGGCCAGAGCAACAUAUCACAAAUGAACAAGCUAUUUACUGCCACACUGGGCAAAACAUACAUAAUCCUUGUACUUCAAACAUCCAUGAAUUCUCAUCAUUUUCAGGACACGUUGCAUGGUCUAUCAUUCUAUAUGUCGGCAUAGUAAGUGCAGCUAAUAAGCCUAUUCAGAGCUGAAAUUCAAAAUCUAUUCACAGGAUAAUGACCUUAUUAUUGGAUUUUGCUCACUGUCAUACACACAUAUCAGAUAAAGCCCCACAUGCUCAUAAGCUACAAGCAACCUACAAGCACUAAAAUGAGUGUUAGACGUAUGAAACAUUCCCCAAUACUAGUAGUAUUACCUGUUCCAUAGAACACUAAAUUAGAAGAGAGAAGAUGUGAGACUCCAGCUUUUCUUUCUACAUAUUACUCAUAUCAAGUUGGAAUAGUUAGGCGGUAGAGGCUUGGGGUGGCUUGUGUAGGGGACUAGGCAGCUUCUCUCAGGAGUUGAUUUCGUCUUAUUCUGGAUGUCCAGGUUUCGUCCUUUCGAAUUUCCCAUGCAAAUCAGCAUUCUCCUUGGGAAACUUCACUCCGUUGGGAAACUUGUGUGAAUCUUUGGCAUUCUCUACCAGAGAAGGCCCAGGGCAGUGACCAUAAGGUGGUGGCCUUUUUUCAGGUGGUGGCUCCUCUCCCACUGGAGGCUUGUGGUAAUCAGCAAGAGAGGCAGUGGAGAGAAUCAUCACCCCAAGGAACAGCACUAGCAAGUAUUUGUGAGCCAUAUUUGGGAUCUGAUGAUGAAGACUAGAAGAUAGGAGUUGCCUCAUAUAAUGGGUUGGAGACUAUAUCUCAAGGGGACGUGUAUUUAUGCAUAUGAUCUAUAUAGGACCAUCCUCCUAAUAUUUUCAAAAUAAUGUUAUUGUCUCUCUUGGGUGACAGUUUGAUUUGGUCUAUUUCCAUGCCACUGAGUAGAAAAGUUUGACAAUUGGCUACACCACCUACCUGGAUUACAUGGUUGAAAGUGAAGAUCAGUACAGUGUGAUCACACUUGACCUCUUGUUCCCCAUUCCAGUAUCUAAUUAACCUGACAAAAGUAAAAGGAAAGGAAAAAGGGAAAAAAUAGAAUAAUGUUCAAAUAAAAACGAGAAAAAAUAGCAUAAUGUUGAUGAAUCAUGAUAAGCAUCAAGGCAUGAUAGUGAGAGAGAGGAAAGAAGACAGUGUAAUUUGCAAUCCUGAUAAUCAUUAUAUAGCAGUAACUUUAAUCAUUUUUCUAUCACAGGGAACAUGACACUCAUCUUCCUAUGGAGAUAUUGCAUAAGUUUUUUUCUUUGUAUGUCAACACUAACCAAUGAAGCAUGUUAGCUGGUUUGAAACUGAAACUGUAGCCCUCUGUUUGGUUCUUGAAAAACUUGAGAGAAAAUGGAAGUAAAGUUAAAAGGAAAGAAAAAGUGAAAAAAAAUAAAAAUAGAUUGAAAGUUAACAAAUUAUUUUUACAUGUUCCCUCAAAUUUCUUUCACUUAUUUUUCCUUUUCUAUAUAAAGAUUAAAUGAUUUAAAAAUCAUAAAUUUCUAACUAAUUAUAACUAUAUUUGAUUUUCUUUCAUAUUUUCCAAGAUAAAGUCAGACAUGAGAAAAUCAUUUUCCUUAAAAAAGAAAUUCUUUCCUUUACAGUUUCUUAGAACCAAACCUGGCACAAAAGUCCAAAUUGGGGUUUCUCCAUGUUCCAUUUUUUAUGGCUACCUUUAUGGACCAUAUAAUAUAGAAUGUACUUCUGCAUACCUUCAAGAUCAAGCUGAACUAUAAGAAAAAGACAAGCCAUGGCCCACGGAGCAGGGAUACCAAGCUGCCUUCUCCUAGAUUAAGUUCCAAGAUUUCAGUCUUCAAACCUGCUAAAAGCUAAAGGCAUGUUUCCAGCCUGCGGCAGAUAACAUGCACUGUCCAACAAUAAAUUGCAAACACAUUCGAUGCAGUUUAUUAGUACAAUAAGAUUAAAUCCACCAAAUCUUUUACAGUUCAACCAACACUUGAACUAGUAGCUAGCUUCACUACUGGGUAAUAAUAUAUAAACCAAACUCUUGAUAGGAACCAACCUAUCGCAGAUCGAACUUCUUACAUCCACCAUGAAUUACUGAACCAAAAGAAGAAUCGAAGAGACUGCCAAGGAGGAAAGCCUUCCUAUAACUAGAUAUUUAUAUUCCAAAUUAGGGAGAGCACCCACUGCCCAGGCCUCGCCCAGCAUAAACAGAUAGUAUACAUAUACAUGCAAAAAGCUCCAACCUUCAAGAUUUUAACUAUUAACUUAACACAAUUAAAAAUGUAUCCAAAAAGCAAAUCCCCUUGAACUCCUGAAGCAAUUACUCCAACCAAAUAAAGAUUUUAAGAGUUCCAUGUUCAUAUCCUGCAAGGAAAUCAUUCAAUGUUCAGACCUCUAAUUUCUGUCUUUCUAAAUGCCCAGCCAAAAGGCAUAAAGUAUCAUCCAAAUUGGAUGCACAGCAUAUGUUCUUAAAUCAUGGGAUUUCACCAUAAGUUACUACACUCUAACAGGGCCCAGAAAUUGACCUCCAGAUAUGCCUAUCAAAAAAUUAUCCCCACAUACAUUUUUCUGCUGAAAAGACAAUAUUGUUACAUUUGACAUUCAACCACUACUUGAACUCAACAACCAGGGAAAAGAAUAUAGUAUUUCUACCAAUGAGGAUGAGAGGGGCUGGUGAAUUAACAGGUAAAAGUUUGUUUUGGGUUCAUUGUUUGCAUAAUAAUGUAAAAAUGGAGUAGUAUAUUAUAAAUUAAUGUAAAAAUGGAUUAGCAUAACAUAAAUUGCCAUAAGAGAACCACAAACUACAAAGAAACUUAUUUUCCAAACAAGGAAAAUUAUUCAUAGCCAUUAUUACAUAAGAAAGGAAAUUGAUAAAAUUAUUAUCCAGUUCCCCAUCAGGAAAUAUGAAAGUACUCCUAAAAGCCUCAAUUCUAACCAGAAAACCAUAGAAAUGUAUUAGAAAUAUUGUACAGGGUUCUCUCCAAUAUUAGCUUCAGUUGCUAAGGAGAUCAGAACCUUGAAAGUAAGUCACAAAGGUCGUGUGGGUUUCCCAGAGUCUUCAACAACCAGUAUUCACAUAUGUACACAUUAAAAUUAAAUAAAGCAGGUAUCAAUUCCACAGGCUUUAAGAUUUGAAUUGCUUCUCCCUGGAAUCAUACACCACUCAUAUUGUCACUGACUUUCAAUUACUUCUCCCUGCGAUCAUAUGCCACUCAUAUUGUCACUGCCUUAGGGAACAAAGUGAAAAUCUGCAAUUUCAAUUAAUUCCAACAUAAAAAUAAAAAUCAAUCCUCAAAAAAUGGAUUGCCAGGAGGUAAAUAUAAUAGAAGACGAACAACUCUCACAACCAAGUUAAAGAAACCAGCCGCUAGGUACCUUUGAGUUCUAUACUACCAGGAACAAAUUGGAUGAGAUUAUUUAAAGGCUAUUCCACAGUGGAAAUUCAUUCGUUCAAAAAACAUUUGUCAUGCAUAUAGGCAAUCUAUCCUAUGCAUUCAUACAUCAUGGUCUCAUGCAAUCUUAAUAAAAGUGGUCCUGGAAAAAGAGAGAAAAAAGUAAUUACAAGCCUGUGCGACCAGAUUUCUUUUGUUUUUUUUUUUUUUUUCCUUUGCCAAACAACCAUGUUCAUAGUUUCAGAAGUUCAUUCUGUCUUUAAGAGACCAUGGCAGUGACUUGGCCAUUCAGCUAAGANNNNNNNNNNNNNNNNNNNNNNNNNNNNNNNNNNNNNNNNNNNNNNNNNNNNNNNNNNNNNNNNNNNNNNNNNNNNNNNNNNNNNNNNNNNNNNNNNNNNUCACCAAGGACUCCUCAACCUCAAAAUAAUAGAGAAAGUCUAGGACACCAUGUCACUACUGAGGACAACCCAACACCACAACAUUUCAGUCCGUUCAAAAAGAGUAAUUGGAAUUGUUGCAAAAAAUGUUCAACUAGUCCCAACAGGAGGCAAAUUCCUCCAUUUCUUCAUCGGGUCCGGAUCCUUUGCUCAAAAAGGUAAUUUUCUUACUGCCCUAAAAGAAAAAGGGAAAAUGUGAGUCAUUGGAUUGUUGACUCAGGAGCUUUUGAUCACAUGACUAGAGUGCCACAAUUUUUCAAAAUUAUACACCUUGUUUUGGGGAUGAUACAAUUCGUAUGGCUGAUGGUUCUCUCUCAAAGGUGACUGGUACAAGUUUUAUUGUCAUCUCUAAGGACCUAACUCUUGACUCUAUUCUUUUGGUUCCAAACUUGGAUUGCAAUCUAUUGUCCAUUAGUAAACUCACUUAUGAAAAGAACUAUGUUACUAAAUUUUUCCCAAACCAUUGUGUUUUUUAGAAUUUGAAUUCGGGGAAGACGAUUGGCAAUGUUGAAGUGUGUUUAGGACUCUAUGCCUUCAAAGUGAAUUAUUAUAUUGAAAGACAAUCUUAACCAACAGUUGGUGAAAAAUGGUGUCUUUUUGUCUUUAGUUCUAAUAAAGAUAGUGAUGUUAUGUUAUAGCACUAUUGUCUAGGACAUCCUAGUUUCUUAUAUCUCAAAAAACUCUUUCCAUGGUUUUCAGUGUGAAAUUUGUCAACUAUCCAAGCAUCUUUGCAAGCCCUAUCCAUAGUUUUAAAAGACUUAAGGCACACCAAGACGCAAAGUCCUCUUGGAGCCUUAGGCGCAAGGCACACCUAAGGCGCGAACUUUAGUAAAGUGAGGUGCAUCCUGUUUUACAUAUAUAUUUUUAUAUAAUACAAUCAAGUGCCCGAAAAUUUUCCUCUAAUUUUCCCCUUCUUCUUCAUCCUCUUCUCUUCUUCACAUUGUUCGGGAGGCUAGGACAUUUUUUUUUUUUUACAUGUCUAAAACAAGCAUAUAUUGGGUUUUGGAAGAAGAACAAGCCAAAAUGACAUCGUUUUGGAGCCUAAUCUUUUAAAUAAAUAAAUAAAUAAAUAAAAACCAGCCAAAAAUGACACCGUUUUGGCCCCUGUUCUUUUAAAAGAACAAACCAAACAACGUCAUUUUGAUCUCAGGAAAUUAAAAAAACAAAACCCUCGUCAUUCUCCCUUUGCUACUCUACAACUCAUCGUCAAAGGGUAAAAAGAUGACCAAAAGAAGAAGAAGAAAAAAAAAAAACGACGACAGAGGAUAGAGGUGCACCUGUUGAGGGCGUUGCGCCUAGCCAAGAGGCGAGCGCCUUGCACACUUAAUCAACGCCUCUGUGAAGGGGCGGCUCCUGCAAUCAGGCGAAGCGCUGAAGGGUGAUGUCACAUCGUCUAGAGCCUAGGCGCACCUUUCACAACUAUGACCCUAUCCAACUCAACCAUACAAACCAUCUCAUCUUUUUUCCAUACAUAGUGAUGUUUGGAGGUCAUCUAAAAUAAAGAACAUAACAGGGACUAGAUGGUUGAUGAUCAUACUAGAAUUUCUUAGAUAUUUCUAAUGAAAAAAAAAUCAAAAAUUAGUCAAAUUUUCUAAAAGUGGACCAGAAUUUCUUUAUUGAAUUAAAAAGUUGAAAUUAAUAUUUUGGAAAAGUUAGGGCCGCUCAAGAGGUAGAAAUAGCGCUCGAGUGGUAGAAAUAGCGCUCGAGUGGUAGAAAUAGCCCUCAAGUGGUAGAAAUAGCGCUCAAGCGCUAGGACCGCUCAAGCACUUAACUAGCGCUUGAGCGCUCAUAUAGAAUCUGCCAGAAUAUGGAAGAAUAUUUUUUGGAUAAUCAUGAAAAUUGGAUUUGGAAACUUUAGAAUAUCAAUCUCCUUCGGCCUAGAGGUUUAUAUAAACCCUAUUAUAACCCUUUAGGGUUAAGAAAUUCACCAAGUGGUUUACCCUAACUUGUCAUACCAUUCCCGAUCUCUCAUCAAGGAAUCAAAGUGUUUAAUCUUGGGUUGUUUGAAGACCUGCAUCCCUUCAACAAGGCUAAGGUGUAUUCACUAGAACAAUUGAAAUUGUUGCAUUGCGGACAUGAAUCAAGUUGCAGGUUCUAGAGAGUAAGUCUUUAGAAUAAAGCAGACAAAGAGUUCUAUGUGACUUUAUCUCAUAUAGUGGAUUUAGCUUUGAGGUCUUAGACCUCGUGGGUUUUUAUCUCCAUAGUUAGUGUGGGGGUUUUCCACAUAAAAAUUAUUGUGUCUCUUGAUCUUAUGUUUGAUUUUAGAUAUUCUAUUUAUCCCUGAUAUCUCACAGGUUAACUUUAGGUUAAAAAUUCAACUCCCUAUUUAAUAAUUUUUAAAAUACACCCAUUCACGAGUGUUAUCCUACUGGACAUUGGUUUUUCACCAUAUAUAACACUCAUACCAAAACCCAUGCAACAUGGACUCCAACCUUAAGCUUAACUUUCUACGAAUGGAAAAAAAAAAAGACAUAACAUAAAUAGACAGAUUUAACAACAUGCUCCUAAUCAAGGUGAAUGUCCCUCUUUUUGAAAGAUAUGACCUUUUCCAUACGAGGAGCUUUCUUUAAAAUUUCACCUCUACCAAUUCCCAUGCCUUUACAAAGUUGUGGAAAGCUCCAAAGAGAAGGCCCAGACAUGUAAUGGGUAGAUUCCCUACCUUAGAACCUUACACCAAAGCUAAACCCCUAAUAUUUGUGACUUCUAUAAGAAUCAAUUCAUUUUUUUCCAUAUUUAUUUCUAAAUCAGACAUUGCCUCAAACCACAUGAAGUUAUAACUUGGAUGUUACAGAUGCUCUUAAUUAGUGUCACAAAAAAAUAGGGUAUCAUCAUCAAACAAGAAAUGUGACACUUCCAUCCCCUCCUCCUGUCUUCCUCCCACUUUGAAACUUGAGAUGUAACCCCUUUUAUCUAAUUCUCCUCAAAAUUCAAUUGAAAGCCUUCAUUGCCAAUAUGAAAAUGUAAGGGGAGAGAGGAUCUUUCUACCUCAAAUCCCUUGAGCUCUCAAAGAAACUGAAUAGGACACUAUUUACUAGAAUAGAGAAUUGAGUAGUGGAAAUGAACCAUUUGAUCCACCUCACCCACUUAUGAUCAAAGUCCAUUUUAUCCAACAUCAUUAACAAAAAGUUCCAAUUUACAUGGCCAUCGUCCUUUCCAAUGUCUAACUUGCAAAUUACCCCACUAUUGGGACUCUUUAACCUUGAAUCUAGAGCAUCAUUUAUGAUUAGAACUGCAUCUAGAAAUUGUCUGUCUUCCACAAAAGCAUGCAAAUAAACUAAAACUAUUUUACCCACCACAUUUUUUAGUCUUUUAGCCAAGACUUUUUCCAAUAGCUUGUACAAAAAAACCCCCAACUAAGCUAAUCAAUGUAAAAAAUUUUAGGUUCUCUGCUGCACCUAUAUUAGGGAUCAAGACCAAGAACAUGACAUUUAAAUUUUGCUCAAAGGAACAAUUAUCAAAAAACUCCCCAAGCUCAUUUGCCAAAAUAUUAUAAUAAAUCCAUUUGGCCCCUACAGCUUUAUCCCCACUCAAGCUAGACAAGGCAACAAGAAAUUCCUCAUCAAAGAAAGGUAACUCCAAUUUCCUAGAAUCAGCACAUAGCAUAACUUCAAAGGUCAUCCCAUUAAUGUUGAGUCUCCACUCGCCCAUAUCAGAUAGGAGAUUUUGGAAGGCCCUAAACUCCCCUUCCUUUAUAUUUGCUUCCCAAGCAACCAUUUUGCAUUCACUCAAAUUUUAAACAUGAAGUUUUUUAUUCUUUGGGCAUUGACCAUUUCAUGGAAAAUUUUGGUGUUUUUAUCCACCCCCUCUUUUAACCAAAUUUCUCUUUAUUUUUGCCCCCAUACAUAUAGAUUCUUCUAACAAGGCCCACUUGCUAAACUCAAUCACCACUAACCUUUGGCCUCAACGAUUUCAAGAGAUAAGGUAACUGCUCUCUACUUUGAGUCCCAGAAGUUGAUCCAGUUUAGCACCUCUAGGUUUUUUGUUGAGACAUUCCCAAAACCUUCUUCAUUCCAAGAUUUUAAAUCUCGUUUGACAGCCUUUAGUUUAACUUCCAAAAUAUGACCAUACAAGCCAUCCACAUUAUAACCAUCAACCAACUCCUCACAAAAUCUUUUAAGCCUUUUGUUUUAGGCUACAUAUUUUAAAAUGUAAACUGUGUUUUCCCACUCCUUAUCCUACCUCCAUCUAAAACUAUGGGGUAAUGACCAAAAAUUGGUUUAGGUAAAAUACUCUAGAUUAAAGUAGAAAAACGAUUCUACCAAUCAUCUGACACUAGGAAAUGGCCAAGCUAGCCUUGAAGAAGACAAAAGAUUAUGAACACCACUCCAAGUGAAUAGCCCUCCAACUAGCGAAAGAUCCCAAGGUCAAGUCCUCUAUGUCCUCUGAAAAGAACCUCAUAUCAAACAACAUUCUAAGGCAAUUCCUCCUUUUCAUGGGGAACUUGACCAUAUUAAAAUCCCCUCUGAAGCACUAGAGGUCAUCCCAAAGGCCUCUUAUGGCACCCAACUCUACCCAGAAAUCCACUCUUUCUCCCCUUUAAACCAACCCAUAAACUCUUACGUAUACCUAGACAAAGCUAUCUUCACAAUUCAUAGACAAGCAAUAGAGAAUGCUUCCACCUCCUUACCAAUUAACUCUAAUACCCUACUAUCUUGGAAAACCAAAAUGCCUACUAUCAAGCUUCUAACUUCCAAUACCAUUUCAAAAAUUUUCCUACUCCUAAACUCCUUACCAGUUGAACGAACAUCUAUCGAACCUUGGUUUCUUGUUAACAAACUAGAUCAACCCCUUGAGACCUUAUCAAUGACUUUAUUAUCAUAUACUUUUCCUCAUCAUUUGCUCAUUUGACAUUCCAAGACAGGAUUUUUAGCUUCAUCAUGCAACCUAUGUUGGAUCCUAACUGCUACUCUUGGAGCCCUUUUCCUUUUUGUUGAGCUUUUAUAAUUGACUAAGCAUCCCAACUUGUUGAGGUCCCUCUCAAACCAAGAUAUCGAGGUUAACUUCCUCUUCACCUCCAACGAAAAAACAGAAACCCCUCUCCUUAGCCUGCCACACAAGGGAAAAGAUCUCUUUUUCAAAUCCAUCAACUGGCAUUCUUGAGAAACUAUUGAAAUUUGCCAACUUACAAGAUAUACAAUUGGAGGAGUGCUUCUCUACCAAACAACUACUAAAAUUCACCUCAAAGGUGACCUUUUCCCCUGAUCUCUCCCCGGCCUCCAUACCCACUGACCCUUUCACAAAAUUUUCUAGAAUUUCCACUAUCAAGCCGUUACGGAGAACCAUCCUCAACAAACUCCUUUGACUAAUGUGAAAAACCCCACCCAAGAGCAUCUUCCAGAAGUUAACUUACAAGAUUAACUAUAAUCUUGUGAAGACUCGUUACCUAAUGGGUAAAAAAUUUGAAAUUCUAUUAGUAUAAUUCUUUUUAGGCACAAAAGCUGUGAAAAUAGCAUUGGUGCUCUAAUUAAUAACCCCAUAAUUAUUAAGCAAUAAAACAACUUUUAAUAAAUUCUCUUUCACCACAUCCCACCAAUCCUAAUGCAAAAAAGCUAGGAAAAAGUCAUCAUUGCUCUAAGCAUUUCUCCUCACUAGUUGAAAGACUGCUUUAUGAACUUCCUCUUCGACAAAAGGACAAUCCAACCAAUUAGCACCAUUUUCCAAAAUGAGAGACCAACCCCCACUCUUCUAUCCUCUAAGGAUCUUCAUAUAACCAUUAAUGCCUUUCUAUACCAGCUAGUAUAUAUCGGGUUUUGGGCAAGUCCUAUAAAUUGGUUUGAGUAAGAUUUUUAAUUACCCUGUUCUUUCUUUUUAGUUGAUAAAUAUGCAUAUAUGUAGUAAUUCAUACAUCAGAAAAGAUUUUGCUAAAACAAAAGAAUUGACAUGCAGAUAGUGACUUCUUGAUAAGAGUAAUAGCUUAAGGGAGGAAAAUGAACUCCUCCAGUGGCCCCAAAGUGGUAAGUUCCUUCAGAUCCCAUGUUGCUAUUCUGCAUUUCUUUGUGUUUUGGCAUCAGCCCUCUUAAUUAAUUCACUAUCCAGCUUCUCAAAUUCCUCGGAUUCUUCCCUUGUUCUUGUGGAAACAUCUGCAUCUUGUCCUUGCAUUGUUAUGGAUUGGUGAUUAUCAUUCUUUGAGAACUGUGUGGCAGCUGCUCGUGCACCAGCUAUGGCUGCAAGGAGACCUUCUGGUUUCUUGUCUUCAGCAGCUUUGGAGCCAUCAAAGCAAGAAACAAGUAAUCCUGGUUUCAAAGAGAGGGGAUCUUGUGGUUCUGGAAGCAGAAACUUGACAGGUAGUGGAGCUUGAACAGGACGAAGACCCCUAACUGCUGCCUCAUAUAUCUGCAACAAUUUCAGGGGGGAUAAGUAAUUAAAAAUCAGUCACUCUAUUGCAUUAGUUAGACUUGCUUUCAAUGCGAUAGCAAAGAAAGAAUCAUCAAUGAAAAAAGAAAAAAUAAAUGAAAAAGAACAAAAAGGAGAGGGAAAAAAAAAUGAUGGGUGCUCAAUUUGUACUUUUCUUUCCAGGUUAUAAAUACGUUGGUACCCGCGCAUCUCAAAUGGUAUGAUUAAUUUCUGCAUCAGGUCAGGAGAACUAAGUCCAUCAAUAUACUAAAAAGCAAAUAUACCAAAAGGCAAGCAAAAAUGUUUAACCAUCUUGAGUGUCAAACUCUCCAAGAAACUAUAUACUUUUAGCUGAAUGAAAACACAUGCCUGUGGUUGCUCACAGAGCCAGCAAAACUCUGUUUGCGCUUCUAGCCUUACCUACAAAUAGAGUUUAGGUUAUCCAACCAAAAUGGAGAUACAUCACACAAAACAAACUGUACCUAAUCAGUUUACGAAGGGGACGGGGGGAAGCAAAAAGCAAAAGUAAAUUUCUAAGAUGCCCACCCCUUCAGGUACCUCCUUCCAGCACGCCAGCUCUUCACAUUUAACACAACCAACUACUUCAAUACAACCUGUGGCAAGAAUAGAGUUUGUUGGAUUUAUUGUAGCAUGCCAUACAGAAAAAUUUAGCAUUUCAGUAAGAAUAAGAAUAAGAGAGCUACUUUCCACUAAAAUACGAAUCACCCAUCAACUGUUGCAAACAGACAACAAUGUGAAUAACAGGUUUUAUAUAUAUAUAUAUAGAGAGAGAGAGAGAGAGAGAGAGAGAGAGAGAUAGAUAGAUAUAGAGAGAGAGAGAGAGUCAAAUAAUAAUAAAGGACAAAAAUAUUUCUUUGAGAAAGACUAAUUAGAAAGAAGAAACAAAGAACCCACAUGAAAUCAAUUUAGAUAAGAGAAAUACCUUUAAGAAUCUAGUUCUUUUUGCAAAUUGCAACUUAGAAUUGGAAUGCCACAUAUUAUUAUAAGGUAUCACAAGAGAUUAUUGCUUCAUUUUUUUUCUUUGCCAGAUCAGUUUUAAUAAAUAUAAAUAUAAAAAUAUAAGCAUGUACACACACACACGCAAACACAUUAUGUGUGUAUGUUUAUGGAUAUGUAGAUAUAGGUUUUUAAUAAUAGAGCAUGAAAACAUAUCUAGUCAGAAAUUCCAAAAAUCCAAAACCAUUAGCAACACCUAACAGUCUUGAAACUGGGUAAUGUUCUGGAAACUUGAGGUCUGCUAUCCCAUUCACAGCAUAGAUCUCCCUGUAGAAAUUCUCCAUUGCUUUGAUUGUGUCUGAAUCUGGGACCUUACUAGCAGCAUGAAUCCAGAGUCGGCCUUCAUAAAACAAAACAUGUAUAUUAAGAAAUAUCCUUGUAGAACAGUAACAUUUUUGCCAGCAUGCAAUUCGUGUUAAUAAUCCUUGGUUCUCACCACUCAUUGUACAUUACAAUGUAAAGACCUAAUAAGCCCUAAUAUAGGUAGGUGUCUGUGCAGAGAGAGAGAGAGAGAGAGGGGAGGGGGGUGAAAGGAAAGAUGAUUAUAGAACAAAUACAAGUUGAAUCUCCUGAAAUAAUGUCCAUCAAGUUAUUUCCUAGCAACAAGUACUGAUUAUGCUUUUCCUGAUAACAUGAUUUUCUUUGCUAACAACCAUACUAUAUUUUAUCAAGAAAGAGUAGUGCAUGUGGCGUGCAUCAAGACCCAUUAGAGUUCCGCUAAACCUAUAGUUCUGUCAACGUUAUCAUUUACGUUUCCUCUAGAUAAUGGCAUUUUCCUCUAAAACUCUUGCACCAUUAGGCUUCAAGUCAAAAUUUCACAUGUGAACUUUGGAAAUUUUCUCCAUUUGCCCCUAAGGAUACAGUUAGAAUUGACUUAAAAUCCUGAUUGAUGUAUACUUUUAACCGAAGAAUAUUGUAUAUAAUAAUUGAAAUAUUGUUGAUUCAUCGUGGAAAUACAUUUUGUAAGGAAAGUUGUUAAGAAUUUAGUAUGCUAUAUGGAGAAAAAAGUCAUGACUUAAGGUUGAGUAUGUAUAUUCUAUAUCAAAUAUUAGGUAGGAAUGUGGAAAAGAGCAGAGUGUAAUUAUAAGAAACAAAGAAAUAUAAGAUAUUCUUGAAAGUGGAAAAUGUAAAAUGGCUAAAAGUCAAAUUUAUGAUGCAUAAGGGGGAUCAUGUCACAUAAGAAACUCAUGGCAUACCAAAUACGUGUGGUAUGGAGUAACAAUUUUGUUAAAAUAAGUUUCUCGUUGGAGUACAUUAGGUGACAAUUUUUUAAUAUCAAAUUAAAGAGUCAAGUGCAUCAAUGAAGUCAUAUGUAGAAAAUUUGUUUGUGACAUGUACCAUAAAGAUAAGAUUGACUUGAUAUAAUUUAGUCCAGGUAGGAGUUGUUAAAGGUGUCUCAAAUUUCUAAUUGAUAUAUAUUUUUUUCUAAAAAAAUAUUAUAUAGAUAUUUCAAUAAAUGAUUAAUUCUUUGUAAAAAUACUUACAUAAUAAAAAACAUCAUUAGAAAUAUCUCUAUAAAUAUUUUAAAUCACAAAAAGAAAAAAAAAAUCACUAUGAGAUAAUUAUAAACAUGCAACAUUGUACCAAGUAAACAGAAAUGUGAUAAAAAAAUUUUGAGAAACACUAAAUAAAGGAAGGGCUUGUAUAUCAAGAUGUAAAUAUAGAGAGCAAUAUUUUUAAUCAUAUGAUAGAAUUAUUUUCUCUCAUUCAUGAUUAUAAGCAAAAUUGGGAACCAUUAUAAAAUCUUGUACACCUCGUGUAAAUUGAUGUUUGUCUUCAUAUUUUACACCAACAAAUGACAUUGAAGUUGUCAUUGAUAAAAGGGAAAAGGCAUGGCCUCCACACCAUGUGCUUGAAUCGUAUGGUUCAAGUUUAAAGAAUUUUCUCCAUAAUUUGAAGAUCUAAAACAUUUUCACCUUUAAAUUUCAUUUAAUUAUUAAUAUCUACAAAAAAUAGUUAAAUACUCUUUCUAUUUUUGAGUUGUUGAAUUUUUUGAAAGUUUUUAUAUUUGUUAUCAAGAAUUUAUAUUUUAUUAAGUGUGAAUAUUUAUAAAUAAGAUAUUAUAUAAUAUUUGGAUAAGAGAGAAUGGUGGAAUAUAAUAAAGUUUUAAUCCUUCCCAAUUUUUAUCUUUUUUUUUUUUUUUUUUUAUAAUCGCCUUUCUCUUUCAAUCCUAUUAUCAGGUACCUUAUAUUUGCUGAUGCUAUCUGGAACUAAAUUCCAAUCAGACAUUGUCCAAUUACUAAUAGGACAGAUCAUGUCUCUCUGUUUCUAAACUAACAUGUAUCGUAAUGUGGCCUCAUAAGGAAGGCUAGGAAGAUGGAGGAUUUUGUGGGAAGCGACCAGAAUCAGAUGGAAGAGAGAUAGCCCUGUUGACCUAAUGGCUGUAAUAGGAGAAGCGUGUGGAUUUAUGGGACUUAACUGAUACUAAACCUAUAUGAUGCUUGGAGUGGUGUUUCUUUCAUUUUGUUAAGAAAAUAUGGCAGCAUACAUCCUUUCAAUUGAGUGCAUCAGAGCAUCCAUAAUAGAUGGUCUGCAACCCUAGGUGCAUGCCACUUUCUGACUGAUAAUGAAACUGUCAGGUACUUGGCCUUGACUAAGCUCAACAGCAUCACAUAAAAAGAAGCUUUCAUACUUAGAUUACUGUUUAAAGCUUUUGCUUAUUUGCUUUCUUAAUGCCAUUAUGACAUUAUUGUUUCAAUUCUGCUACCGAUUUUCGAAGUUCUGGGCAUCUACUGAUUGCAUCAUUAUAUGAGAAGUUGCAUGAGUUUAUGUAUCCUGUUAUUGCUCCUUUGCGAUUUCACUGCUCACGGGACUAACCUCUCCAUUCAGUCGAAAUGAAUUGUAAUUUCUUUACUGGUAGCAGUAGUACUUUUCAUAGCAAAGAUAAUAGUAAAUAUGAAAUAUAAAUAGAAGGAAAUCUGAAUUGUAGAUGGCACUAUAAGUAACACUCAAUAUUCACUACAUAAUAAAAUAGACAGUGUUACAAAGGUAGAGAAACCUACAAUGAGUACUCAUCACCAUUCUCAAACAGAAACAUAGCAGCGACUUAUACAUAGAACCUAUAGGCUUGCAGGGAAAGAAGGGAAAGAGUAACAUGAUAAGUUCACAGCGGGUAGCAGCUCUUAUUUUACGUAUUACUCAAAAUCUCAAACUAACCAAAGUCACUCAGUUGGGAUGGGUAGGAGAUGGUGGUUUGUGGGGUGGCUUCUGGGUAGGAGCUGGUGGCUUCUUUGUUGGAGUUGAAGGAGGCGUAAUCUUCUGAGGUGGCUUGUAUGAGUCUUCGGCACUCUCUGCAGGAGGGUGCCCAGGGUUGUGACCGGAAGGAGGUGGCUUCUGUCCCUUUGGUGGUUUGCCUAAUGGGCUUGGUGGCUUGUGCUCCGGGAGUUGUUUCUCUCCCUCGAGUAGGUUUCGAGUUUUGUCAGAUGGCUUGUGUUCUGGUGGUGGCUUCUCUCCCUGGGGUGGUUUGCCGAAUGGGCUUGGUGGCUUGUGUUCGGGGAGUGGCUUCUCUCCCUGGAGAAGGUUACGAGUUUUGUCAGAUGGCUUUUGUUCUGGUGGUGGCUUCUCUCCCUGGGGUGGUUUGCCAAAUGGGCUUGGUGGCUUGUGUUCGGGAACUGGCUUCUCUCCCUUGGGAGGUUCAUUUGGUGGCUGGUGUUCCGUAGGUGGUUCCUUCACCGGCGGCUUGUGCUCCGGAAGCGGCUUCUCUACCUGGAGAAGCUUACGAGUUUUGUCAGAUGGCUUGUGUUGUGGUGGGGGCUUCUCUCCCUGGGGUGGUUUGCCAAACGGACUUGGUGGCUUGUGUUCGGGGAGUGGCUUCUCUCCAUUGGGAGGUUUAAUUGGUGGUUGGUGUUCCGUAGGUGGUUUCUGAAGUGGGGGAUGCUUGGGGUAGUCAGCAAGAGACGAGGUAGUGAGAACCACCA